rnacentral:lncRNA from 1 species
UUUUUUAAAAAAAAAAACAAAGAAAGGAAAGUCACGUGAGUGACUUUCUUUCUUCCUUCCUCUUUUCUUUUCUUUUUCUUAUUUUUUUUUUUUUUUUUUUUAUUUUUUUUAUGUUUUUUUUUAUUUUUAUUUUUAUUAUUAUUUAUUUUAUUGAUUUAUUUAUUUAUUUGUUAAAGUCUUUUUCUCCAAGUCUCAGCUGCAGGGGUAUUUUGGUCUUUGAUCUGUACCAGAGCCAACCCUAGUUUGUCACUAUAAAUACACUGUCCAAUCAUUGGGAAAUGGUCCGAAAAUCACUGUAGCCGCAUCAGAGUCAGAAAACGGGUCAGAUUGGUCCCCAUCACAUAGAAAACACUUUUCCCUUUUCUCUCUCUUUCCAAAUACGAAUCAAACACCAAAAAUCACAAAAAAGAUGAACAUCACCAACAACAUUCAUGAAUAUUCAUGAACAUUCAUCCUCAUAACUUUUUACCAGAAAUCAACAUAAACACCACAAAUCCAUAAAACCAACUCAAAUCAACACAUAACAAAACAAAGCGAACCGAACCGGAGCAAAAGGGACGCGCCUGAACCGGAUCGGAGAGAGAGCAGAUCCAAACUUGGAAUCAGCGUGAGGUCGCGAAGAAGAAAGAAGAGAACCGGACCGGAGCAAAAAGAGCAGGUUGGAGCAAAAAGAACAGAUCGUGACGGAUUCAACUCGAGGUAAAGAUGUAGAAACUUUCUCUUUCACGUUUUUGUGCUUUCUUUGUAAAAAAAAAAAUUAAAUUCAAACUCAGAUCUACUCCGUUUGGGACUUGUUUUCAAAAAUCUAAGCUCGGAUUCACGUAAAGCAGGAAAAUGGAUGUUUAAAAGUGCAAAAAAUUUCUGAAUCGGAGCAAAUUUUUUUACUCCGGCGGCGGCGCCGCCACCGUAAGGCGACCGGCCGCCGCGCCGGAGUUAGACACCAAUCGGAGAAGAUGACCGGAAUUCUAGAGAGAGGUCAGACUCUCUCUCUCUAGAAUUCAAAGAGGAGAGAAGUUUUUUUGUGUUUUGUGUUGUUUUUUUUGUUGAAGUCCCUUUUUAUACUACACUUGUUUUUGUCCAAUCCUAUAUACGUGCGUACAUGCUCUUUGGUGCUCCCUCGCGUUAUGAGCCAUCAGAUCUGAAUCGUUCCUUGAUCUGAUGGCUACUGUGUGUUUUGUUUUUGAAUCAUGUGUGUGUCUAUUUGGGUGAACAUUGGUAUGCUUUCUGUUCAAACCGUCGGAUCUAUGAUCUGACGGUCACUGUGUUUCCUUCUCUAUUUUGUGUUUUUUUUAAACCCUUGGAUCUUUGAUCCAAUGGCUAUGAUGAGAUUUUGGGAUUCAGAUCUGGACCUCUGGAUUCAUCCAACGGCCCAGAUUUGAUCCUGCUGAGCCAAUGUUUUAUUAUUUCUUAUUUUUAUUUAUCUUUAUUUUUAAAUACUGUUUUUUUACAUUUUUUGACAUUUUUGUGUUUAGAAAAAUUCUAAAAAAAAGUUUUCUCACUAUUUUAAUUUUCUCUAAUUUUAAAAGUCCAUCCUAUUUAUUUUUUUUCUUUUAAUUUUUUUUUUAUUUAUUUCUUAUAUGAUGAUCUUAAUUAUUAUUUGUCUUAAUUCUUGCUUAUUAUUUCUUAUGUCUCAUUCAUCAUAAUAUUUCUUGUGAUUACUAACUAUUUAAUUUUUUUGUCUUGAAUCAUAGCAUGCACAUUUAAUUUUCCCAUUAUUUUAUUUUGUCAUUGACUUAGUGUGUAUAAAUAGGAAAUUGGUGUAAUUUUAUUUCUUGCAUUUUUAUUUUGGCAUAAAGGCCUUAGGGUUGUAUUUAGGAAUUGAUGUAAUAAUGUAGGUAACACAAGCACCGACACUACCACGUUUUAUUUACCGCUUUCCGUUAGUUUUUACGACGUUACGUUAGUUUUCACCGUUAGUUUAGAAAAAUCAUUUUCUCAAAAAGUCAAAUAUGCAAAACUUCAAAAAUCAUUUUCUUAAUAACAUUUUUCCUUUAUUUUUUCUUAAUCAAACUCUCAAUCAAUUUUAAUUCAACUUCAAUCAUUUUCAAAAUUUAAAAUCAAUUAACUUCACUCAUUUCUUUUAUCUCAUGCCUUGAGGCCUCUUUCUCUUCUUAAAACCCAUUUCGAAAAAUCUUAAAAUCAACCUAACCCACUAAAGAAAUUUUUGAGUGGAACUACGUCGGUUUUGAUCCCUUUCCCAAAAAGGGUACGUAGGCAGAGGACUCGUCCUUCCAAAUCAAAUAAAAAUAACCAAAAACAUACUUCUUCUCCCUCCAUUCUUUCACUUAGAUUUUAGGUAAUAAUUUUUUCAAAUAAGCAACAAAGUUAGCACAAGAUAAUCUAGGUAAGAGGUUCCUAUGGAAUACCAUAGACGCUUAGGGUGCUAGCACCUUCCCUUCGCGUAACCAACCCCCGAAUCCAAAGUCUCGAAGGGGUUUUUACUCAUUUUUUCCCUUCCCAAGAAUAAAAAUCGAGAGUUCAAAGAUUGACGAUUCAAAUCAAUUAAUGGUUUGACAUCCGAAAAUCGUGAGCACAUAUAUCCAUUAAAAUCUUAGUCUAUAUGCAUCAAUAAUUGCAUGAGAAUUAAUGUUGACACAUAUGCAUUGGCUGAAAAACACGAGAAAUUUACUCAAAUGCUCCUCAACAGUUAACUGCCGAGUUAUGGAACCGGCUGCAGUUAACUACCGAGGAAAACUUCGACAAUUAACUGUAAUGGAUUGAUUUUGAACGUUUCAAACAAUUGCAGUAUUAUAUUUAUGCAUAUUAUAUAUAUAUAUAUAUAUAUAUAUAUAUAUAUAUAUAUAUAUAUAUAUAUAUAUAUAUAUAUAUAUAUCUUAAUAAGAAUAUCAUUUAAAUCUUGACCAAAAAAAUAAAGAGCAUUUAAGUACUCAAAAAACAUUUCAAUAAGUGUAAAAAUUAAGCAUUUGAAUAUUGUUUUGCAAAUUACUUAAAUAAAUAAAAAAUCUUUGUGCACAAUUAUUUUAAUGUAGAAAAUAUAACAAUAUAUUAUACCUUAAAAAAAAUCGCUGUGCACAAUUAUUUUAACAAUUUUUUUAUUAUUAUUUUUAUUUAAGUAAUGUGCAAAACAAUAUUCAAAUGCUUAAAUUUUACACUGAUUUAAAUGUUAUUCUUAUUAAGAUAUAUACGCAUAAGUAUAAUACUGCAAUUGUUUGAAACGUACCAAAAUAAUGAUUGAAACAUUCAAAAUAAAUAAAUAUUAUUAAUGACAAUUUAUGGUUUUUGUCAGAAAAAAACAGGUUUGAGGUUUCCUCGGCAGUUAACUGCCGAAGUUUUCAGUUUUCCUCGGUAGAUUACUGCCGAAUUUUUCCUCGGUAGUUAACUGCAGCCGGUUCCAUAAUUCGGCAGUUAACUGCCGAGGGAUAUUUGGAUAAAUUACUCGUGUUUCUCAGCCAAUGCAUAUGUGUCAACAGCGAUUCUCUAAUUGCAUAGAUACAAUGAAGAGCUUUUACUCCAAAGCUUCUUACCUUUGACUGAUUACUCUCAUUUUAACUAGUAUGUAUUCUGAAGCCCAACAAUGUCGUCCAAGUGGUAGAAUAAGUGGAAAAGAGGUUCCUUGUGGACAAUGCAAUCAAGAGAAUGAUUCUGAUUGUUGUGUACAAGGACAAAUGUAUACAACUUAUGAAUGUUCGCCAUCAGUGUCUACUUACACUAAAGCAUAUCUCAUACUUAAUAGUUUUCAAAAAGGUGGUGAUGGUGGUGGUCCUUCGUAUUGUGAUAAUCAAUAUCAUUCUGACGAUACUUCAGUUGUUGCACUUUCCAUCUGAUGGUUCGAUAACAAGAGUAGAUGUCUUCACAACAUUACAGUGAAUGCAAAUGGAAGAAGUGUGGUGGCCAUGGUAGUCGAUGAGCGUGACUCUACAAUGAGAUGUGAUAAAGAUCAUGAUUACCAACCUCCUUGUCGCAACAACAUAGUUGAUGCCUCCAAGGUUGUAUGGGAAGCAUUGAUAUCAAUGGGGUGAUGCCUCAAAAUCAAUGGGGUGGCCUUGAUAUCAUCACAUGGUCAGAUGCUUGAUGUUGCUGAAGUUGGGAAUUUUAUUUCUGGUUUUGUUUCUAUAUUUGUAAUUAGUUCAUUUUGCGAACUUUUUUUCUCUCUUUAGUGUUUCAUGUGUAUAUCGUUCUAUUGUAAAAUUAUGAACUUUUUUUAUACAUACUAUUUUCACACGUAUACAUCAAAGUUUUUUCUAAAUUACAUUUGAAGAAUGGUGGGUAAUUUACCCACCAACCAAUGAAAAUGAGCAAUUUAUUUGUGGGGUCAAGAUAGUUCAUAUAUGCUUAUGUGGCUAAUGUGUAUUGGUUGAGGUAAAUUACUCAUCAUUUUUUCAUGGAUAGCCUAGUUGUUACCAUAUAUCAAAUCCUAAACUAACUAUUUCCCUCGUUCAAACCCUUUUUUUAUAGACCAUAAAUAUUACCUUGAUGUGGAUCACACCAUUGAAAUAAUAGGGUUUGAGUAAAUAAAUUAAGAGCAUUGGUACAUCGAUAUCUUACAAUUUUUUUUUAGAGGUGGUGCAUCUUAUAAACGAUCCUCCUAUUAUGUUUACCAAGUUCACAAACAUAUCUCAAUCAUAACUUCAUAUUGAUGACUCUUAAAGAUGGACGAUAAGAAUAUCUCCCCUCCUCCAAAAGAAGCUCAGAGGCAGAGCCAGAGGGUGUCAUGGCCUCCCCAAAGUUUAAAAAAAUUCCAUUUUUAAUAGGUAUAUAGACACAUUUUUAACUAAAUGUUAUGUUAUAUAUAUUAACGUUUGUAUUACAAAUCAUGUCUUUACACUCUAGUAAGGUGGUUAAGUGCCUCACAUUUGAAGCUUGAAAAUGUAUAUAAAAAUGGACAAAAAGGACCAAAUUGAAAUGAAAAAAAAAUAAAGGAUCAAACUGUUACCUGAAAUUAAGUUAAGGGACUAAAAGUGUAAUUUUGCCUAAAUAUUAAUUAGGACCAACCCAACAUGUUAAAAGGCCUAAAACAUACUUUAUAGUAAGGUUUUUGAAAAUAAAAAUAAAAUAGCAAAAUAUUUAUAAAAAGAAAAAAAAAGUUUUGUUAAGUCCAAGAUUUGAACCUCAAACUAAAAGGAUUUGAGGCAUCAAUGUUAAAUAACAUAAAUGAUAUUCUUUUUCAAAAUUUUGAGAUCUACAAUCGUAGUUGUGUCCCUUGACCUGUGUCGGCCUUGAAGUUAAUCUAACAAUUGUAGGAACGUCUAAUAUGAAUUUAGUCUAAAUGUGUGCUUUACUAAUUUUCGUAAAUUUUAAUAAAAUAUUAUAUAUGUUGCCCAUUUUUACUAGGCUUAUUAACACCUUUUUGGUCCUCGUGUUUUGGCCUACUCACGAAACUGAUCCUGCCCUUUUAAAACAGAACAAAACGGUCCUUCAAUUAUCAUUUUUGUUGCAUUUUUCGUCCUACCUCCUAUUUUCAAACCCCAGAAACGUAGAUAAAUGACAGUUUUAGGAAGUUUUAGACCUACCUCUAUGCUCAACCAUGAAAUCAACAAGGAAUAAAACAUGCGGACACAAAGAAUCUAUUAUAUUCAGCACACUAACAAAAAAAAAUCAUAAUUUGAAACAUAUCUUAGAAAUUAGGGUUUUUUUGGUUAGUGUGUUGAAUAAAGUGGAUUCUUUCUACCCACAUGCUUUAUUCCUUGUUUAUUUCAUGGUUGAGCAUAGGGGGUAGGUCUAAAACUGUUAUUUCUCUGCGUUUUUGGAGAAUAAAAUGGGGGGUAGGACAAAAAAUGCAACAAAAAUGAUAAUUGAAAGACCGUUUUGUUCUGUUUUAAAAGGGCAGGACCAAUUUUGUGAGUAGACCAAAACACGAGGACCAAAAGUGUAAUUAAACCUUUUUACUAUUAUUAUUAAAACAAAUUACCGAAAAUUAUAGGUCCAUCCUUGUACUCGUUUUAAGAAGUCUAAAUUAGAUGCACCCCUAAAUUUACUAAUUAAAAGCAAAUUUAAGGACAAAAUUUGUUAACCAAAAAUGCAUUUGAUAACCAAAAUGACAAACAAAGAGACACGAGAGAAUAUGUUUUAAUAUUUUAAUACAUUCAAUAACUAUAAUGUUAAUGGGUCACAAAUUUAGUGCUCAAAAUGAUUGUUUAUUCAAAAUCAAUUUAUACUUUUUUUUUGUGGUGCAAAUAUCAAGGGUGAUUAAGUGUAUAUGUUUGCCAUUACAGUAAGUAUGAUAAGAUCACGACGAAUCGUCGCGUGAGCCUAACAUACUCACUGUAAUACCAAACAUAUAUUAAGUUUCUAUUGUAAUAGGGAAUAACCUCGCAUUUUAUGAAAAUCGGGACCAAAUUGAUACCUUCAAAAAAGUGAGGGACCAAGCAGGCCAUUAACUCUUUUUUGUAUUACGGCUAUAGACAGACGUUCACAUGAAACAACAUCAUGACAAGCAUUUUCAACUAUUUAUGUUAUUUUUAUCUUUAUUAGUCUUGCACCAAUUGAUUCAGGCAAUGUUCAUGAAUCAUGUACAUCCUUCAUAACCACUUAUGGAAUUAUAUCAACACUACACAAAGAUUCUCAACACAAUGGUGAAGAGGGGAAUUAGACAAUUUAGAUUAUGUAACAACACCCUUACAUUUUUGUAAAUAAUUGAUAUAAUUAAUAUUUUUACCUAGAACAGCAUAUUAGAAUCAAAAGCUAAAGUUGAUGAUAUGGCCGGCAGAAUCUAUUAAGGAUGUUGGCUAGUUGUAUUUGGUGUGAUUGCUACAUCAAUGGAGUGUUAAUAUUUGGACUAUUACUUGGUUCAUGUUCAAGUUACUUACUGCCAACUUGUGUUUCAUUGAUUUAGUUUUGUAUUCAAAGUUUAACAUCAACGUUGCAUGAUUGGAUAUUGUUUUUAUUCUGAAGAAAAAACUAUCAAGUAAAUAAUUAAUUGAUCUAUAUGUUGUUUUUUACAUUUUUUUUUAUUGAAACCCACAGCAUCAAAAACAAUAAACUAUUGUAAAACUCUUUAAAAGAACCAUUUACUAGUCAAGCUGUAGUUGUCAAUGGCUAAACAAAGUAAAAGUAAUUCUUUGACCUUAAAAAUGUUUCAACCCUACAUUGCAGCUGUAGUGAACAUAACCAAAUGAUUUACUUGAUGUGGCUAUUAAUCUCUAUAUAUACCCUUUGAGAAUCCCAAUCCAUGCAUAUCAAACACUCAAAUACUCGGAAGAAAAACACAACUAAAUAGACAACAUGAAGAGUUUUUGCUCAAAAGCAUCCUUUCUUUUUCUAGUUUUUCUGAUUAUCAUGUUGCACUCUGCAGCCCAACAGUGUCGUCCAAGUGGUAGAAUUAAAGGAGAAAAAACUCCUUCCGGACAAUGUAACCAGGAGAAUGACUCUGAUUGUUGUGUACAGGGAAAAAUGUACACAACAUAUAAAUGCUCACCAUCAGUAUCUACUCACACUAAAGCGUAUCUCACGCUCAAUAGUUUUCAAGAAGGUGGAGAUGGAGGUGGACCUUCAGCGUGUGAUAAUCAAUAUCAUUCCGAUGACACCCCGGUUGUUGCACUUUCUACUGGAUGGUUCAACAACAAGAGUAGAUGUCUCAACAAAAUUAAGAUUAGUGCGAACGGAAGAAGCGUGGUGGCCAAAGUUGUUGAUGAGUGUGAUUCGAGAGCAGGAUGCGAUAAAGAACAUGAUUAUCAACCUCCUUGUAACAACAACAUAGUUGAUGCCUCUAAAGCUGUGUGGAAAGCCUUGGGUGUGCCUCAUGAUCAAUGGGGUGGAUUGGACAUUACAUGGUCUGAUGCUUGAUAUACUCUAUGUGUUUCAUGUAAUAUAAAUUGUAUUUUGGUGAGUUUAUUUGUUUAUAAUCUUUUAUGUAUCAUAUUUAUUAGUUUGUAAGUUUUCUUUAUCUUCUUUGCUAUGCAAGUUUUCUUUCAGAUGUAAACGAUCAAGUUUCAUGAUGCUUUGAUUUGUAAAUAUUAGCACUACACUUCCAUAUAAGUUUGAGUUGUUUUACUUUAGUUUUGAUGUGUGAACAAUGAAUUUGCAUAUUAGGGUCCGUUUGUUACGGAUUAAAAUAAAAUUGAUUUUGACAUAAAAUAAUUUAGAGAUUAUUUUUCAGAGAUUCUUUAAAAAAUCAAAAUCUAUUUUUUGUUUGUUUACCAUGUCAAAUAUCAAAAUGAUUUUUAGUUUGUUUGGAUACAACUUUCUAAAAGUGAUAUUUUAUUAUAAAAUUCUAUAAAGGACACAAAAAUAUUUUCAAAUAUAACAUGUUUGUCAAUCCCAUUAGGAACAACACUCACUUCACCUUCUUCUAUGUACACCAAUUGAUCUACCUGUCAAUCCCAUGGCAACCUGCAUUUUCCAGUCUUCCAUUCUGAUCAUCUUGAAACUUCAAGCUGAGCUAGUUUUUUAGGUGAAACUAUUCUUUUUUGUAGAGUUACUUGCCUUUCAAAAUCACCUUGAACCGUUGUUGGCAGGAGCGGGAAGGAUGGUAUUGUCAACAAGCGGUGCCUGUUAACAUUUUAUACUCAAAAGUGAUUCACUUGUUAAAUAUCACAAAUCUGCAAGAGAAUAAGUGAUUCACCUGUUAACCAUUGUUGGCAUGAUUGGGUUUGAUUUUUUGUGUUUGUUAGUUGUUGGGUUUGAUUCAUGAUUUUUUGGGGUUUCUAAUUCAUGAAUGUUGAUGAUUGUUUAAAUGAAGAAUAUGAAGAUGAGGAAGAAGAUGAAGAAAGUAAUAUAAAUUAGGUGUCGGUGAUUCAGAGUUAUAUGAUGAACUUCCUUUAUCUAACGGUCUUCUUUUUUAUGGGUUUAAAAUUAAUAAAAUAGGACUAAAUUGAUGAGACUAAGACAAAGAUAAAGGACUAUUUUGAAAUUUUUAAUAAGUUAAGAGACUAAAUGAUCAAUUUAGCCAAUUUUUAUUUAUUUCCAAAUCUUGUUCGGUUUGUUGCUUUUGUAAGACUUUAGUGUUCUAUUCUAAUACGCCUUGCACUAAAUAGAAUACUUUCUAUGUGUUAAUAUAUUGAGUAAAUUACACUCACCUUCCCUUAAAAAUGUUUGCAUUACACUUCCCCUUCCCUCUUAUGUUAAAAUAUACACUUCCCUCCUCUCUUAUUCAAAAUAUAUUUGAAAAUAGUUCACUCCCCUCCCCUAAGAGAAGCUUGAAUUAUAUUCUCCUCCCCUCUUGUGUUAAAAUCUACACUUUACUCCCUCAAUAUUUUUUUUUUUAUUUCUAACAAUCAAGCAAAAAAAUUAAUUUAACACACUUCAAAGAAAAAUAGUAUUUCAGAUCCAUUUUAAUAUAAUCAAAAUAUGAAUGCACAUUUUCGCUAUUUUUUUUAUUAACAAAUUCAUUAACAUUUAAUAUUAAACUCUAACAUAAAACAUGAAACAACCCAAAAUAAAAUUAAAAUAUGUGAAAAAUUACCAAAGUCGAUUAAGUAUGAUUAUUUAAAAGUGAAUUUUAUACUCCAAAUUAUAAAAUUAAUAACAAAAUAUUUAAAUUUAAUUAUCAUUGACAUCUAAAUUAUAAAGAAAUUAAUAUUUUCUCUUAAAUGAUGGUUCAAAAUUAUUAUAUAUUAUUAAACUAUUAUUUAUGUUAUAAUAGAUUAAAGUGUAGUGCAUGAUUAAUUAUUAAGGGUGAUGGUUGCAAUUCAAGUAUCUCAUGGGCGAGGAGAGGAGUGUAAAUUUUACUUUUUAAGGAAAGAAAAUGUAUAUUUUAAAAGAGGGAAGAUGAGUGUAAUUCAAGCUUCUCUUCGAGAGAGUGUAAUCUACUCUAAUAUAUUUCAUUAUGUUUUUUUUUAGGGAAUAUUUCAUUAUGCCUUGUUAAAGAAAAAUCGUAUAAUUUGUUUUCUAAUCUAGUUCAAAUACAAGAUAAGAAAACUUUACUAGAAAACAAAAUAUGAUAACUGUGAUAGCUUGUCAUAUUCCCUAAAAAAAUAUGAGUUAAUAGUGUUUUUCACCCCCGUAAUAUAUGUUAUAUUUUGUUUUUUCUCCUAUAAAAUAUUCGGUUUGAAUUGCAUCCUUGUAAAAAAAAAAAUUUCCGGAAAACACCCCUCCUCCAUCCAACUCAGCAAAUUCGCUUACGUGGCGCUAAUUUGGCUUUUUUUUUUUAAUUGACCAUGUGUAAAAAAUAUAUCCACAUCAGAUUUUAUUUUUAAAAAAUAAAAAAAUCCAAAAAAAUCAUAAAAAUAUUCAGUUUUUUUUUCAAAAAUUUGAUUUUUUUUGAAAAAAAAUAUUAAGGUUUUUUCCGAAAUAUAAAAAAAAAAAACAGAAAAAUAGUCUUUUUUUUUUUUUUUGGAAAAAUCGAAAAAAAAAACUAUUAAGAUUUUUUUCGAUUAAAAAGAUUUUAAAAAAUUCUGGAAUUUAAUUUUCAAAAUACAAAAAAAGUAAAUUUUCAAAAUAAAAAAAAGGUCAGAUUUUUUAAAAACAUUCUGGAAAAAAAUAUAAUUUUUAAAAAUUGGAAUACAAAUUUAGAGGGUUUUAAAAAAGUCGUGGAAAUUUCAUUUUUCCUAGAAUUAAGCUUUUCCUUAGAGGAGGUAGAAAUCAUAAAUCUUAUAUUUGUGGAAUGAAAUGAUUUUUUUCCCAAUAUUUUUAUUAAAAUUGUGGAAUAAAAUUUUCGAAUAAAAAAUCUGAAUUUUUUCUAUAUCUGAAUCUUUUGUAAUUUUGAAAAUUUUUUUUUUUUUUUAUUUUGAAAAAUUAAAUUCCUGAAUUUUUUUUAAAUAUUUUUAAUUUUUAAAAAAAUAUGAUUAUAUUUUCUGAUUUUUUUCUAAUUUUUGAAAAAUAAAAAACAAAUAUGACUAUUUUUUUUGUUUUUUUAUAUUUUGGAUUUUUUUAAAAUUAAUUUUCGAUUUUAAAAUUUUUGGAAAAAAAAGUAAAUAUUUUUAUGUUUUUUUAUUUUUUUAAAAUAUUUUAAAAAUAAAAUCUGAUGUGGAUAUAUUUUUUACACAUGACCAAUUAAAAAAAAAAUGAAAAAAAAUUGUCAAAUCAGCGCCACGUAAGCGAAUUUGCUGAGUUGGAGGGGGGAGAGGUGUUUUCCGGAAGAAAAAAAAAAGUUUUACAAGGAUGCAAUUCAAACCGAAAAUUUUAUAGGGGUGAAAACUGAAAAUGACCUAUAUUACAGGGGUGAAAAACACUAUUAACCCAAAAAAUAUUGAUAGCUAGCUUAUCAUAUAUUGUGGACCAAGAAACCAAACAACCCUAAAAAGAGUCUAUAUAAGUUUUGCACGACAGUGUAUCAGAGAAGAAAAACAAACACAGUUUGCGGUUCUUCAGAAAGAAAAGAAAAAACAAAAUUUUGCAGUUGAACGUAAAAGAUUUCUUUAAGGUUUUCCAAACAGACGUGCGUUGCUGCAUUCAUGUCAAUAUGAAUAUACAAUCGGCAAAGUCUAUGGCUCUGUCGUCGGUGGUUCUCCCCGAUGAUCUCAUCGCAGAAGUUCUUUCCUUCCUUCCCGUUAUAUUUCUUCUUCGAUUUAGGUCUGUCAGCAAGUCUUGGAAAACUCUUAUUUCCAAUCCUGCCUUCGUGAAAUUGCAUCUCAAGAGAUCAGCAACACAAAAUCCACACUUCAUAGUAAUCACGUCAUACGUCAAACAUCUUCUGGGAGGAGGCAUUGAAGUGGAUUACAGUGUUGUUCCAUACCCCAUGUCCCAUCUUAUUAAGAACCCGACUGAAACUUUCCCCCUUCUCGUUGAUCCUUACUAUUUUGUGAGCGACAAAGAAUGUUGUGCUAUAGUUGGUACCUGCAAUGGAUUGAUCUGUUUGUCUGGUGAAAAUUACAAUCCCACCGACGAUUAUAUAGAGUACUGGCUCCGUUUAUGGAACCCAGCCACCAGGACAACAUCUCCAAAAUUUGGCCAAUUUGGCGAAUUUGGAAAAACUAUGGGGCCUCAUGGAAUGUUCAAUUUUAAGUUUGGUUGUGACGAUUCAAGCGGCACUUACAAGGUUGUGGCUUACCGUUACAAUCAUAUUCAACUGAGAAGUGUCGUGAAAAUUAUCAGUUUUGGUGAUAAUGUUUGGAGAGAUGUUGAAAGUUUCCCGGUUGAUCCUCUUGAUGUGGACUGCAUUUGGGGGGACUAUUGUCCGGAUGAAGGUGUGUAUUUGAGUGGCACUCUUAACUGGUUGGCUAUUCACAAUAGCCUCGAUUAUAAUUUUGAGGAUAUUACAGUUGGUCAAUUUGUUAUUGUUUCACUUGAUUGGAGGAUGGAGACAUACAAUCAAUACAAGUUGCCUCGUGGGUUUGAUGAAGUGCCGUCAAAACGGCCAACAGUUGGUGUGUUGGGGGGCUGCCUUUGUUUUUCUUAUUUAUACGUAAAAACAGAUUUUGAUUUUGUUGUAUGGCAGAUGAAGAAAUUUGGGGUUGAAGAGUCUUGGACUCAACUUUUUAAAAUUAGUUACCAAAUUCCUGGUGAAUGGUUUAAUGCGGAAGAUGCAAUAAAGUAUUGUCAAAUGGUACCGUUACUUCUUACGGAGAAUGGUCAUGUGUUGCUCAAGCUUAGAAUCAUGCAACAAGGAUAUGCAUCUCUAUAUAAUUGGAGUGAAAAUAGAGAAGAUAAAAUACAAUUUACUGCAAGUAGACCUAUUACCAACAACAAUAUAACUAGAGAAGAUGCACGCUUGUGUUGGGCUAUGGAUUACGUUGAAAGCUUAGUUUCAAUAUUUUGAAAGUAAGUUGCUUUUCUAUGGUUUACUUUACUUGUUUGAACUUAUGUUUAGUAGUAUAUGUUGUUUUGUUUUUAUUAUAAUUGAUUGAGUGAUUAUUCAUUUUUAUGACUGCUUAGGUUAAUUGUAUUUUUGGAUGACUAUGAGACUAUCUAUUUGCUAUUAUUACAGUAAUCCAUCUCCUUGCUACAUUGUACUAUUUCAUAGUUCGAGAGCUGCAAUUUGUCACCAUAUGUAUAUGAGCGGUGCAAAGAAUUAUCUUUUUUAAUUUAUUCAAAAUUUUAUUAGAAAAUAGAAAUUGCAUUCAAGCAUGAUUCUAAAGAUUUACAGUUUCCAUCUGCUUGCUUUGUCUAAGAUUUAUUGUUUCCUGUUAAAGAAGACAGAAAUUCUUGCCAAUAUACUGUUAUUCCUUACAUGAUUCUGAAUAGAACUUAUUUGAAAAUGUAAGUCUCUUUUUCAGUAAUUGGGGUUGUAACAGAAAUAGAUAGUAAUGCAGCUGCGCAAGCUAAACCUUAUAUAUAUACCUUCAAAAAGCCCAUGUGUCAUCUCUUUCAUGGUUAGGCUGCUACUAGAGCAAGUCAUAAAAAGUCACCUCGGUUCAUAGUAAUGUACCACAGAAGCUGAAAACAAAACACUCGUUCAAAUCAAAAUAUAUCUUGUCAAAUACUCCAUAGUUAAAGUAUCCAUUUUCGAAAAGUAUUUACCAAAUUGCAGUUAACACUUUCUUGAUAUUACUAGUACAAAAACUCUACAAUAACCUCGACAAAUACUCGUUGAUUUUCCCUUUGUUAAUAAUUAGCUUUGAUAUAUACCGAAAGGCUUUUAUGUAAUAAAAUCUGAAUUCUCAGAAUUGUAAGCCGCUCCUACGACCUCCUUUCCUCUUACUAUAGCAGUAAGUUGGUAAAUUUAUUGUCAUUCAAUGCCUCCGAGAUCACUUACAUAGUUUAUCACCGCUUCCUCUCUCGAUAUGUAGAGGAUCGAUGAAGCUGUCUAAGCACAACCUAAAAUACUUCACAAAAUGAUAUUCAGGAAUCAGGAUGUUACACAACAGGGGAAUCACAAAAUGCUGUAAACAUAAUAAAUUAACUUCUGCAAACUAACAAUUCAUUUAAGAAUUAGAGAGCCUAUCCGUACAUAAUCAGAGGUUGUUAUAUAAAAUCCUUCAAAUCCCUUGGAGGUUCCUUUUUUCCUUAAUAUUAGAAUUGAACCAAAGAUUUUGGUUAAUACGAGUGGCUGUUAUUCUUAUAGUUUUAUUACCUGUUGGGAAAUUGUGUUUUGUAUUAGCUAUUCAUGGCGUUAAUAUGGCAGGAAAGGAAAGUAGGACUGCACAGAGCUGAUGCACCAGCAUGGAAUGCCGCUGUCGCUCAUAUCCGAAGGAAGCUGAACUCUGAUAUGCUCAACCUUGUGGAUUUCAAUUUUCAUUUCUACAGAAAUCAGAUUCAUGAACUCUUUUUGUCGAAGUACACUUUUUUUUUUCUGCAUUUUGUUUUCCCUUUUUUUGGUUCUGGGUACCAUAGAUUUCUAUGACAAUUUCAUAGUCGUGUCGGUGUUUAUGCAUUUAAGGGUUUGUGAUUGACUAUAUUGUCCAAUUAGUAAUCUAUAAACCAUUUUAUUAAAUCUUGAUUAUCAUUGACCUAUUCAAUUAUUAAGCUUUGUUGAUGCAUUACAUGAUGUUCAAAUGAAAACGUGGCACAAUGCACAGAAAAUGAGAUAAAAUUGUGAUUGAAGAGGAAAUAUGGAAGUGCUAUUUUCUAGUGUUGUUUUCAAUUGUUAGGAAAAAAAUAACUAUUGGAAUCAAUGGUGACAAUAUAAAAGUUUGCACGAUUUUUUUUUUUGCUACUUACAAUAAAAGUUUCAGUACUACUUCCAUAAAUGUAAAGAGGCAUUUUUUUUUUUUGCUACAAUGCUAACGAAACAAAGAGAAAAGAACAGAAGAAAAAAGAAAAACAAUUAAAAACUAUAGGAAAGAAAGUCCCAGCUGCACCCAUCUUCAGGGGAUACAAGAGACCAUCUAGAGGGGAGGCAUGGUAAACCAUAUCAUUAUCUGAGGAGGCUCCAAGCUUGGCCAAAAAAUUCGCACAUUGAUUUCUCUCUUUGAGAGUGUGACAAACAAUAAUAUUAGUUUGUUCAAUCUAGUCCUUCACGUCUUGAAUCAAAACAGCAUAAACAUGAAAUUUGGGAGUUGGGUCUUUGACGAGGUUAAUACAAAGUAAAGAGUCAGAGUAGCAAACGAGCUCUUCAAUCCCCAAUUUUGUUGCCAAUGUUUCCGUUGAGACAUGCUUCCGGAAAAAAAAUCCGCCCCUUACAUCACUUGGUGAUUGGUGUCUCCCAAAACACUAUGAGUACUUUAAGAUAGAAAGGCUUAGUGCAAGUAUACACUGUCCAAGUUAAAUUGAAGCAAAAACAUCUUUUUUAUUUAGGCCUAAUUCAUUAUUGGUAAAAUAACAUUAGUAGUGGUCAGAUUGUAAUCUUGCAAUCAUACAAGGGACAGUAUUUGGAAUGAAUUUGCAAGCUUUGCAUAAAUUUAUUUAUUUAUAGAAGCACGUUUCAAGACCUUGUAAGGUUUAUGGAGGAACUGGAUGAUAAAAUUUGAGUUACAUUCCUUGGGAAUCAAAAGUUUAGCUAUCAAGCAGUACUUUUUAUAACUAUCAAAUUGUGUGUAUUCCAUUUUUCUUUUGUUCAAAAUUUUGAUUAGUAAUUGCAAUCACUGAUCUCUUAUGCUACAUAUGGAAUGGAGCUAUAGAGCAACCCAUGAAAAUUGAUUAAGACUGCUAAAAUAUAAUUUGAACUUCAAAAAUAUUAGUAGUGAUAUGGUAGUAAAUUUUGUGAUUUUUGCUUGUUUUUCUUUUUUUAGAUGAACUAAGAGCAAACAAAGCUCAUCAUGCUCAAAUGACAUCCCAACAAGACUGGCACCCCAAAAGAGCAUCAAUAAUUUUCAGUACAAUCGAAAUAAAUUUAUUUAAAAAGGUGAAAAUUACAAAACCUUAUGGAUCCAAACCGAAACUUGCGAAGAUUAAGAAAAGCAAAAAAUAAGAAGAGAAAAUCUAUCAACAGGAAAAUCUCUACUCAAAAAGAAGGGAGCAAACUCCACCAAAAUACUCCAUGGAGGGAGUGUCUAUGAGACACUAACAAAUCUGCACAUCUAUUUCCAUCUCUAUCUCUAUGAAUAUGAGAGAGGCCACAAACUGCCGACUUAUUUUGCUCGUUUGUGCAAAAAGCCACCUAGCAGUGUCAAAAUGAACUAACAAACAUACAUACAUUUUUGUAUAGGUUCUCUUUAAGAAAUCAGUAAGGCAUCAAAUAUUUAGAAAAUUAUAUUCUUGUGAAUAACCAGACAAAUUAGCUUAACUCGGCCGUGAUAUACAAAUAUGACAUCUAAGGCCAUGGAACAUAUGUUACUUAUCAAUCAUUAUUUAUAAGUAUAUAUUUCAAUAAAGAGAAAUUUGCAGUAUUGAUAUAAAAGCAAAUGUUAAAUUUAGGAUUUGAACUCAAUCAAUAAAAGUGUGUUGUAUUUUCUAAAUUUAUAACAGAAUGGUAACAACAAGUAUAUAUGAUACAUAGACAUAUGAUAAAAUAAAAGUACAGAAUAUGAUCACUAAAUUAAACCAUAGAGACACAAACAUGAAUUUUAACCUAUAUAUAAUAUCAAGCAUCUGACCAUGUAAUAUCAAGACCACCCCAUUGUUCUUUAGGCACACCUAAAGCUUUCCACACAGCUUUGGAAGCAUCAACAAUGUUGUUUGGACACGGUGGUUGGUAGUCAUGCUGUUCAUCACAUCCCUUUCUAGAAUCGCACUCGUCAACAACCAUGGCCACGACAUUUCUUCCAUUAGCACUGAUUGUAAUGUUGUUUAGACACCUGCUUUUAUGGUUGAACCAUCCGGUGGAAAGUGCAACAACAGGAGUGUCAUCAGAAUGAUACUGCUUGUCACAUUCUGAAGGACCACCUCCAUCUCCACCCUUUUGAAAACUAUUAAGAGUGAGAUAUGCUUUGGUGUGAGUGGACACUGAUGGUGAACAUACAUAAGUUGUGUACAUUUUUCCUUGUACGCAACAAUCAGAAUCAUUCUCUUGAUUGCAUUUUCCUGGAGGAGCUUUCUUUCCUCUAAUUCUACCGCUUGGUCGGCAGUUCUGAGCUUCGGAAUACACAAAACUUGUAAAAAUAAGAGUAAUAGCCAAGAAAAUAAAAGAAACUUUGGGGCAAAAUCUCUUCAUUUUGUCUAUGAAACUCUAUGUUUCUCUUUGUUGUUCUUCUCAGUAUUUGAUGUUUUGGGACAGAUUUUAGUUAGUAUAUAUAGAUAUCUCCUCUUCUGUUUGUAAAGUAAUUCGGUUGGUUUUGUAAUAACAAACAAAAGAGAAAGAUAUACAGAAGUUAGAUUUUGGGUCAAAGGUAUCUGUUCUAUGAUCCUGCUUCUUUUAGUCCAAAUGACAAGUACAAAACUACAGCUUCACUUUUGAGGUCAAAGAACAAGUUCUACACUACCUUGUUUAUCAAAUGCAAUAUUUUGAACAUAACCGGAACUUAUUUUUUGUUAUGUUUGAAUAUUCAGUUUAAUGGUAAUUUGUAGGUUGCUGAAACUUUGUCUUACAUGCACACACACACACAUGUAUAUGCAUUCUCCAAAAACAAAAAAUUGUAUAUGCAUGAAGUGGGAUAUUGCUAUUAGUUCUGCUUUCUGUCUUACAUGAAAUUGUCAAUAGCUUGAGAAAGUAACUAUCAAAGGAUUAAUAAAAAAAAUGGUCAUGCCUGUCUCUAUGAGCAAGCAAAGAAAAUACUAAUUAAAAAAGAUAGUUCGUUUGUAAAUAUGUCUUAAAAUAUUAUUCUAAUCUUUUCAAAGAAAACUGAAGACUUUUAUUUUGGUUGUUAGUAAUAGAACUACGUGCUUUCAUCUUGUAGUUGUUAUUUGGACUAAACAUGACAAGUUACGCCUCCUAGCCUUGAGCCUAAAAGAAUAUUUUCUUUACCAAAUGAAGGAGUUCUCUUACUCUAUAUAUAUCCAUUAAAAUCUUAGUCUAUAUGCAUCAAUAAUUACAUGAGAAUUGCUGUUGACACAUAUGCAUUGACUGAAAAACACAAGUAAUUUACUCAAAUGCUCUUCGGCAGUUCUCUUACUCUAUAUAUAUCCAUUAAAAUCUUAGUCUAUAUGCAUCAAUAAUUGCAUGAGAAUUGUUGUUGACACAUAUGCAUUGGCUGAAAAACACAAGUAAUUUACUCAAAUGCUCCUCGGCAGUUAAUUGCCGAGUUAUGAAACCGGCUGCAGUUAACUGCCGAGGAAAACUUCGGCAGUUAACUGCUGAGGAAACCUCAAACCUGUUUUUUUUUUUUUGACAAAAACCAUAAAUUGUUAUUAAUAAUAUUUAUUGAUUUUGAAUGUUUCAAUAAUUAUUUUGUACGUUUCAAACAAUUGCAGUAUUAUACUUAUGCAUAUUAUAUAUAUAUAUAUAUAUAUAUAUAUAUAUAUAUAUAUAUAUAUAUAUAUAUAUAUAUAUCUUAAUAAUAAUAUCAUUUAAAUCUUGACCAAAAAAAUAAAGAGCAUUUAAAUACUCAAAAAACAUUUCAAUAAGUGUAAAAAUUAAGCAUUUGAAUAUUGUUUUGCAAAUUACUUAAAUAAAUAAAAAAUCUUUGUGCACAAUUAUUUUAAUGUAGAAAAUAUAACAACAUAUUAUACCUUAAAAAAAAUCGUUGUGCACAAUUAUUUUAACGAUUUUUUUAUUAUUAUUUUUAUUUAAGUAAUGUGCAAAACAAUAUUCAAAUGCUUAAAUUUUACACUAAUUUAAAUGCUAUUCUUAUUAAGAUAUAUACGCAUAAGUAUAAUACUGCAAUUGUUUGAAACGUACCAAAAUAAUUAUUGAAACAUUCAAAAACAAUAAAUAUUAUUAAUGACAAUUUAUGAUUUUUGUCAAAAAAAAAAAACAGGUUUGAGGUUUCCUCGGCAGUUAACUGCCGAAAUUUUCAGUUUUCCUCGGUAGAUUACUGCCGAAUUUUUCCUCGGUAGUUAACUGCAGCCGGAUCCAUAAUUCGGCAGUAAACUGCCGAGGGAUAUUUGGAUAAAUUACUCAUGUUUCUCAGCCAAUGCAUAUGUGUCAACAGCGAUUCUCUAAUUGCAUAGAUACAAUGAAGAGCCUUUACUCCAAAGCUUCUUACCUUUUACUGAUUACUCUCAUUUUAACUAGUAUGUAUUCAGAAGCCCAACAAUGUCGUCCAAGUGAUAGAAUAAGUGGAAAAGAGGCUCCUUCUGCACAAUGCAAUCAAGAGAAUGAUUCUGAUUGUUGGGUACAAGGACAAAUGUGUACAACUUAUGAAUGUUCGCCAUCAGUAUCUACUUACACUAAAGCAUAUCUCACACUUUGGUUGCCAGACCCUUUGGUGGGUUACUCUGUUCGUGGUUCAUAUCACUUGCUGACUUCUAGACACGUUCCUCUUAGGGAUCAUGCGUCUUCUCUGAUAUGGCAUAAACAGGUGCCGUUGAAGGUUUCUUUAUUUGCUUGGAGGUUGCUUCGUGAUAGAUUGCCUACUAAAGCUAAUUUGGUUCAAAGACGAGUGCUUGACUCCGAAGCUUCUUUGUGUGUUUUAGAUUGUGGCAUGAGUGAAACAGCGCAACAUUUGUUUCUAUCUUGUGACGCUUUUUCAUCUUUUUGGCCUCUGGUGCGCAAUUGGCUGGGUAUUCUUGGUGUUGAUACCAAUGUUCUUAUGGAUCAUUUUCUUCAGUUUGUGAACUUGACAGGUGGAGGUAAAGCUGCUAGAGAUUUUCUUCAGCUUAUUUGGCUCUUGUGUGUUUGGGUUUUAUGGAACGAACGUAAUAACAGGCUUUUCAAUAAUGUUGUAACUUCAAUUCCCAGGUUGUUAGAUAAAGUCAAAUAUAUGUCUUUAGCCUGGUUGAAAGCCAAGAAGGUUGUUUUUAGUUUUGGUUCAGAUAUGUGGUGUUCAAGUCCCUUACAAUGCUUGGGCAUCACGUAAUGAUUUGUUAUGGUUGUUUGUAUGACUCUAAAUUUUUAGAGUAGCUCUUUUGGCACACCUUGUGCUAGAAUAGUUGCUUUUGGUGAUUAAUAUAAUUCCAUUUUUGAUUGUUCAAAAAAAAAUAUUAAAUAACUUAAAUGAUAUUCUUUUUCAAAAUUUUGAGAUCUACAAUCGUAGUUGUGUCGCUUGACCUGUGUCGGCCUUGAAGUUAAUCUAACAAUUGUAGGAACGUCUAAUAUGAAUUUAGUCUAAAUGUGUGCUUUACUAAUUUUCGUAAAUUUUAAUAAAAUAUUAUAUAUGUUGCCCAUUUUUACUAUUAUUAUUGAAACAAAUUACCGAAAAUUAUAGGUCCAUCCUUGGACUCGUUUUAAGAAGUCUAAAUUAGAUGCACCCCUAAAUUUACUAAUUAAAAGCAAAUUUAAGGACAAAAUUUGUUAACCAAAAAUGCAUUUGAUAACCAAAAUGACAAACAAAGAGACACGAGAGAAUAUGUUUUAAUAUUUUAAUACAUUCAAUAACUAUAAUGUUAAUGGGUCACAAAUUUAAUGCUCAAAAUGAUUGUUUAUUCAAAAUCAAUUUAUACUUUUUUUUGUGGUGCAAAUAUCAAGGGUGAUUAAGUGUAUAUGUUUGGUAUUACCGUAGGUAUGAUAAGAUCACGGCGAAUCGUCGCGUGAGCCUAACAUACUCACUGUGAUACCAAACAUAUGUUAAGUUUCUACUGUGAUAGGGAAUAACCUCGCACUUUAUGAAAAUCGGGACCAAAUUGAUACCUUCAAAAAAGUGAGGGACCAAGCAGGCCAUUAACUCUUUUUGUAUUACGGCUAUAGACAGACGUUCACAUGAAACAACAUCAUGACAAGCAUUUUCAACUAUUUAUGUUAUUUUUAUCUUUAUUAGUCUUGCACCAAUUGAUUCAGGCAAUGUUCAUGAAUCAUGUACAUCCUUCAUAACCACUUAUGGAAUUAUAUCAACACUACACAAAGAUUCUCAACACAAUGGUGAAGAGGGGAAUUAGACAAUUUAGAUUAUGUAACAACACCCUAACAUUUUUGUAAAUAAUUGAUAUAAUUAAUAUUUUUACCUAGAACAGCAUAUUAGAAUCAAAAGCUAAAGUUGAUGAUAUGGCCGGCAGAAUCUAUUAAGGAUGUUGGCUAGUUGUAUUUGGUGUGAUUGCUACAUCAAUGGAGUGUUAAUAUUUGGACUAUUACUUGGUUCAUGUUCAAGUUACUUACUGCCAACUUGUGUUUCAUGGAUUUAGUUUUGUAUUGUAUUGUUUACUUUUAUAGUGAUGUCUUUAGGGGUCUUGUUGGCAUCUUAAUUGGAAUAGGAGAAAAGAAUGCAUUAGUAUUGGUUUAGUAUUCAAAGUUUAACAUCAACGUUGCAUGAUUGGAAUAGGAAUUUUACUUCCCCACGUUUCAGGAUAUAUUGUUUCUAAUCUGAAGAAAAAACUAUUAAAUAAAUAAUUAAUUGAUCUAUACGUUGUUUUUUACUUUUUUUUAUUGAAACCCAACAGCAUCAAAAACAAUAAACUAAUAUAAAACUCGUAAAAGAACCAUCUACUAGUCAAGCUGUAGUUGUCAUUGGCUAAACAAAGUAAAAGUAAUUUUUUGACCUUAAAAAUGUUUCAACCCUACAUUGCAGCUGUAGUGAACAUAACCAAAUGAUUUACUUGAUGUGGCUAUUAAUCUCUAUAUAUACCCUUUGAGAAUCUCAAUCCAUGCAUAUCAAACACACAAAUAUUCAAUAGUAAAACACAGCUAAAAUAGAUAAUAUGCAGAGUUUUUGCUCCAAAGCAUCCUUUCUUUUCCUAGUUUUUCUUGUUAUCACAAAUUUGUUGCACUCUGAAGCCCAACAGUGCCGUCCAAGUGGUAGAAUUAAAGGAGAAAAAGCUCCUUCCGGACAAUGCAACCAGGAAAAUGAUUCAGAUUGUUGUGUGCAAGGAAAAAUGUACACAACUUAUAAAUGCUCACCAUCAGUAUCUACUCACACUAAAGCAUAUCUCACGCUCAAUAGUUUUGAAGAAGGUGGAGAUGGAGGUGGUCCUUCAGCGUGUGAUAAUCAAUAUCAUUCCGACGACACCCCGGUUGUUGCACUUUCUACUGGAUGGUUCAACAACAAGAGUAGAUGUCUCAACAAAAUUAAGAUUAGUGCGAACGGAAGAAGUGUGGUGGCCAAAGUUGUUGAUGAGUGUGAUUCGAGAGCAGGAUGCGAUAAAGAACAUGAUUAUCAACCUCCUUGUAACAACAACAUAGUUGAUGCCUCUAAAGCUGUGUGGAAAGCCUUGGGUGUGCCUCAUGAUCAAUGGGGUGGAUUGGACAUUACAUGGUCUGAUGCUUGAUAUUAUGUGCAUUCAAAAAACAGUAUGUGUUUGGUGUAGUACAGUAAGUGUUUUGGUGAGUUUUAUCUGUUUUUCGUCUUUUAUGUAUGAUAUAUAUAUAUCAAGUGUGCCAGUUUUCUUUUUCUUCGUUACCAUUAUGUAAGUUUUCUUUCAGAUGUAAACGAUCAACUUUCAUGAUGCUUUGACUUGUAAAUAUCAGCACUAGUUCCAUAUUUGAAGUUUGAGUUGUUUUACUUUAGUUUUGAUGUGUGAAACAAAACUAUCAGUCUUAUUUUUCAAGGCAAAUUUCUUUUUUUAUGGUCCUUGUUGAGUUCUACUGAAAAUGAUUUUGCUUGUAAAAAUCACAAAUUUACUUUUUCAUGUUAUGAUUAUCUUAAUUAUAAUCAAUGCAAAAGUCUGCCACAAGAGGUCUAAAAGAGAUAAUUCAUGCAUAAGUUUGCCAUAAGAGGUCUAAAAGUGUUACGUAUUUAUACAAGUUUCUCUAUAAAAGUUUGUUAUCAUAUUCCUCGCUUUGAUGUAUUCUAAAAUUCAAAAAGUAAAAUAUAUUUGUACAUAUCUAAACUUCAUAGAUCAACACAAAAAACAUCUAUGGCAAUAUUGGCUGCAUACUAUUAUGUAAAUCAGUAUAUCUUAUGCAUGAAAACACUCUUGGAAAGAAAAAAAUAACGUAGCAUUCUUGGGAUUGGACUCAGAAACAAAACUUCUGAUUGAGUUAGAAGAGACUUGAAUCAUCUCAUCUGAAUACUCUUACGUGCCCAACACCAUAUUGUAAAUAUGAAUUAUUUCGCAAAUGCAUUGUCAACCAUUCAAUUAGAAAAAUCACAUAAAACUAUUUGUCAUAAAUGGUGUUUCAAAACCACAUAAAACAUCUAGCCCAAGUUAUUUUUUUUCAAACAGGCCAUGAAAUGUAUCCUUACCAAUGAGGAACAUGAAACCUUCAAAUUAAAAUUCCUCACAGCUAUAAAAACAUGAGAACCCCUAGUGAAAUCAUGGGUGAAGGAUAGCUAAGUGAGAUUUAUGAAUUGCAAAAGUCAGCUUGCUCUAUUCUGAUGUUGGUACUUUUCAUUGUUUCAUCACUACUAAAUAAAAUUAGAUGAGUGAUCAUGAGUCUGAAAUAUAUACACAGUACGUGUCAACCACGCAUUAAAUCAAUGUCAGCAUGGGAGUUACCCAUAUCCAUCUGACGCGAUGCUGCUGACCAAGGGCUUAAGGAUGAGGUUGGAGUCAGAUUUUGAUUUGGUGAAAUGCUAUUCAGUGCAGCUGGAUUAUGAGCUCCUUGAUGAUCUGAUUCAACAGUACCUUCUGCAUCUUCUGAGCUUUCCUUUUUCUUGUUCUUUGCCUUCAAUCUACCCCAAAGAAAGCUCCCAAUCAUCACCUACAAUCGUGACUUUUAUGUUCAAUAAGUAGCUCAAUUUUUUUAUAUAAACAUGCGAGAAAUUAGAUAUGAAUAAUUUAUUUCAUAUACACUAUCAGUGUAAAUAUUUUUUAGAUUGUCAAUCAAUCGUAUGAUUGGUUAUGAUUUGUUAACAGUGUAAAUUUUACAUUAACAGGGUCAGGUGUAGAAAUUAAACUCAUUAGAUGUAUGUUUUAAAAGUAUAAUCUAAAAUAACAUGAUAUAUGGUAGCAUUGAAAAUGUUGUUACCUGGACAGGACUGGCAGCAACAAGCGGUCCACCAACUGCUCCACCAAAGAGGCGGCCAUCAGGACCAAGAAGGGAAAUACUUAGUCCACCAUCUCGGUUCCGUGAGGAGCCAUUUUCAGUAGGCACGUAACAGCCUGACAUGCUCAUUAUGUGAAAAUGUCCCUAACAAAGCCAAAACCAAGCUGGCAAUUAAAAUAUAUAAACAACCUUAUAAUAACAGAUAGUGGAUGUAGAGAGAAAUUUGACAAAGCAAUACAAACAUGAGAAAUGAAAUUUCCUACUCAAAAUAUGUGCUUAAAGCUAGGUCUACAUACAAGAAUAGAAAUUUCCUAUUCAAAAUAUGUGCCAAAAGCUAAUAUAGGUCCAUACACCAAUUAGAUAAUCAUGGUGACUCAAAAAGUCAAAAUGAUUCCAUGGUACCAAUUUAUUUUGUUUUAGUAGAACCAUCAAAAUUUAUUUGUACCAGACAUAUAUGUUUGCAUACGUAUGAACACACAUAUUCAGGAAUCUGUUUAUGAAAUAUUUUGCAACAAAUUCCAUGCUAGAACUAUACAACUUAGUUUCAGAUAGUAUGGCAUUGUGGAAGUGCUGCAACACAUGAUCAAAGGCUUACAUACAAAAUUGGAAAAGUAGCCAGAAAAUAAUCUUAACUUUGAGGGAUAGACAUUUGAUUACGUGCACAGUGUCGUGCGUGCUUAAACGUGGCAUAUAGGCCAUAUAUGUCUUUAUGUAACAACAAUUCUAUAUGAACCGGUAAGUGUAUCCAAAUUAACAAAAUAACAAUAGCAAAGUCUCCAUACCUCAUAUUUGAGAGUGCCGCCUGAAAUUGAAGGCUCACGAAUAAUGACGGAUGAGACACUGCCAGAAGAUGACAAAACACAAAGAGCUCUAGCUCGCACCUGAGAAAAUGUCAAGAUUUUUGCUGCAAUGUCCUGCAGAAGAAAAAAAUGUUCACAUGUGUAAUUCUCCAAUAUUUACAUAAAUGUUAUAACCUUAGGCACACACUUGAAACAAUAUGAAAUAAAAUCAGGAUUUACAAAUGUGGUUAUAAAAUUCUGGGGGGAGCACUUCUAUGACCCCUUGCCUUCCUACAUUAAUUUCUUCUUUACUAUUAUUGAUAUGAAUAUCACCAUAACUCUUGGUUUUGCUUUAUUAGGUCAACUUUUUCUUUUAAGAUAAAUGUAUAUAUGAAAAUUUGUUUACAAUUUAAUUUAAACUUUUGUUAUUAUUAAAAAAAUAGUUGUACAUAGUGCCACAUUUCCUUGCUCUAAGAAGCCAAAAAUUUGGUUGCAAAUAAAUGUUAGUAGAUGCUUUAGAUAAAACUUCAGGUGAAUAAAAAAAACAGAAAUAUCAAUAGAAACUCGGAAGUUGAUAUUUAUUUAAAUAGGUAAAAAUAUAAGGAUUUUUAUGUUUCAGUGAUCAUGUUGUAGUUGUUGGGCUAACUAGUAACUAGUAUUUCACUAAAAAUGAUAGAUGCAAAUACAUUUAUUAGGCUAGUCAUUGUAAAAAAUUGCAUAUCAACACACCAUCAUAUUUCAUUAUGACAUCCAAGUCUAAAAAAAUCAUAUAAUAUCAUUCAAAUUCAUAUUUCUCCUUUCUCUCUUUUCUAUUUAGUUUCUUCCCAAACUUAACAUAUAAAACCAAAACAGAGAUAAAAACAGGUUAAUAUAAUGGAAAAAAAAAACAUACUUCUCCACUUGCAAUUUCGAUGACAUGAGGAAUGAAUCCCGUCCCAGCUGAACCAGACAUCAACUCUCCUGAAAAUAAGUAACCACUUAAACCAUCAGAAAAUGCAGAUAAAGAACUUAGCAAACUUAUGCAUUGUUACAAUAAAUAUAAGUAUCAUCAUAUGUUUUCAUGAUGAAAUCAUUGUUAUUUUAUAAUUUUAUACGCAUGUUUUAGCCAUUGCAAUUUUGAUUAUUACAUAUUGUAGUGCAGAAUUGUAUAACAGUAUCAUAAUAAAACCAUAAUACCCAACUAGUAAAUAUUUUUAUAUCACAUGCAUUUACUCAUACACACACAUGUGGGCAUGCCACACAUACAGUCUGUUUGGUUAGAAAUGUUUGAUGUUUGAUUUGUCAAUAUUGAUAAAAUAUUUUUCAGAUUUGAUUUCUACUAUAUUCUGGUGCAGUAACUAAUGAUUCAGGUAAUGUUGUUUUCGGACUAUAUAAUUCUACAAUUGCGGAAAGGCAUCAUGGUAUAUAUAAAUGAACAUUUAAACCAUAAUCACCAAUUUAAUUGUAAUCAGAUUUCCUUUCAUUUAUAAUUUAAAAUGAAAAAAUGCAUCUCUCUCUUGGAGAACAGCAAAACUUUAAAUUCAAGCAAAUUGAUACUCCAUAUCAUUGGAACUUAAAUGCCAUUGCUUAUUCAUGUCAUUAUGAUAUUAGCAUGUCAAAUUAUCAACAUAAAUAUAAACAAAGAACCAAAAUAAAAUUUAGAGAACCUAUAACAUUUGAAUAUAGAUGUAUAAAACUUUAAUCCAAACUUUUUAAAUACCCACUACCGAAUACACGAGGCAUCUUCGGUGCAGAAAACUGAUUUGAAGAAGGGAGUUGGGGCUGGGGCCACGGCUGGUUCGCAGCAGAGGGGAGAGUGACGAGAAGAGAGAGCGGGCGUAUCUGUUCUGUGGCCCCAUAAGAGAAGGGGAUAUUAGGGUUUUCUUUUAUGCGAAAACCCCAAAAAUACCCUUGCAACUGCUCCAUUUAAAGGGUAUAUUUGGAUUUCCAAACCCUUAAAAACAAUCAUACUCAUGUAGUGGCGCCUCCUUAGCAAAACACGUGUUUCUCGUGCACGAACGUGGCCACACCUCUAUUCUACACCACCUCGCCACGUGUGGGUGAAGCUAGCCAUUGAUCCCCACCGCCCCAACUCUAUCACACCGCACCGCUAUUGACAACGUAGGAAUCAAUCAAACCAGUCCAAACCGGUAUGAACUAGUUGUCUUUGUUUUUUUAUUGAUUUUAUUAUAAUUUUUAACCCAAUAAAAAUUGAAUGUCAAGUUAAAAGCCCGGCAUAUUACAUUCAGUAAUCAGUAUGAAUAUUUAGCUUCUUAAUAUUUAAUUUUUUUUUCUUGUAAGAUUUAGAUUAUGAUUAUUUUAGGUGCUAUCAUACCUACACUAAUGCACCAAAUCACAUUAGAUUAUGAUCAUUAUAUGUUCAUUUGAAUUUUUUAUCUCUCUUACUUUCUUAUAGCUUUUUAUUUAUAUUAGUUAAAUUAAUAGUUAAUAUCUUCUAUAAUGUUAAAAAGAUAUAGAGCUAGUUUGUUUAAGCUUACGAAAAAAGUGAUUUUAAAGUUGUGUAAAAAAGUGAUUUAUUUCUUUCGUCUCACAAUACGUGUCCUCUUUACUAUUUUUCCGUCUCAAAUUAUUUGUCCCUUUUACAAUACUAAUACAACAUUUACUAUUUUUUUCCACUAACAUAACCUUAUUUAUUGCAUUUCAAUCAUCUAACUACUCCACUAACAAUAAUUAAUGAGGGUGUUUUAGUAAAUUAGACAUAUUUUACCAUUAAAAUCAACAAUAUUGAUCAUUUCCUUAGUAACCGUGUAAAACUCAACUAACAACUAUUUUCAGAAGCUACUUUGAGUAACAUUCAUAAUGAUUAGAAAUAUGAUGUUUUUAAAAAUUCAAAUAAACACACAAAUAUUUCAAAAGUGAGACCAUAUAUUUCAGCUUUUUCAUAAAAUAUGCUUUUAUUUUGUCAAAAAAUCACUUCGAGCAUAUGUAUGUUUAAGCUUAAUAAAGUAAAAAAAAAAAUUACACUUCAGAAGAUGUCUAUUUAAUCUAUAGAAAAUACAUCAAAAUUUUAAAAAUUGUUUCUGAAGAAAAGCUUUAGUAACUACCGCUUAAAAUAAAAAGUGAUUUAUAUUAUUGUAAAACAACAGAAAACAGCUUCUGAUUUAGAAAAAACCUAAAAAACAAAUCAUAUUUUUUAAACACAACCUAAAACCACUUUUCCUAUGUGUACACAGCAGGACCCUAAUUUUUUUCAAAAUAAGAAGUUAUCUUUUAUGAAAAUAUUGUAACAAACAGGCUCAUAGUUAAACGGGUGCUUUCCCCAAUUUGAAAAAUUGAUUCAAACCCCAUACAUAUACCUUUCAUGCAUCAAACAAUAAUCAUUAUUAACACAAGACACUGUAAAAUGCAAGAGAUUUACCAAAAGAAGCCAGUUGUUGUUUCUUCCCACUCCCAGGCGGACGCCCUCUCCCUCGUUUCGGCCCGCCUUGCGUCAUAGUUCCAGGAUUACUAGAUGGUGUUGGACUUGGACUCAGUGCCAAUGACACAACUCUAUCUGCGCCAUAUUUCCUCGGCCUUCCUCUCUUCCUUUUCACAGUUUCCCCAGACGGUACUCCAGUAUGACCACUCAUAUUGACACCUUGAGAUGAAAUUGCCGAAGAUUCUAGCGGUAGUGUGGUUCCAAUGUUACUACCACCACCACCAAUGUUGGAUUGAAAUGGCAGAUUGGGAUUAGACAGUUGAUUAAAACUCGGCGAAACAUGUAACUCGGGUUGUGCUCCAGAACCAGGUAGUACUCUCUGCUGCAUAUAGUAAGAUGCAGAAUUGGAUAACGCCAUAUGGUCCCCGUGAUCCAUGCAUUUACUUUCAAAUGCCUUCUUUCACAAGAAACUCAGACCUCCAAUAUUCAAAUAUACUAAAAACUUAUCACCAAACUCUGCAGAUAGAGUAUAAUGACAAAAUUUAAACUGGGAAAAAAAAAAAAAAAACAUGUAUUAGAAUACGAUAAAAUAUAUGAAAUUCAAUAAAAAAUUACCAACAAGUGUCAAACAGUGCUUAAGCCCACAUUAUUUGUAACUAUAGUUCAAGAAGAAAGACUAGUAAUCCUUCAAAUCAAAAUAGGGUAAUAAAGUUUCUCCUUGAUGGCAACAUAUUAACAUACAUAUGAAAGAAAGUGAAAGGACGCAAACACAACAAUGUAGAAGACAAGAUAACCAUAAAGUAGAAGAUAAAUAAGAAAAAAAGAUGGGAAGCCAAGGCAUCCACACAAAUAAGGGAACCACUAUCCAAUAACAACAUGUACAUGUUUAACUGAAGACAAAAAGAGCAGCCACAUCACAUCUUACCAAACUUAUAAAGCACUAACACGACAUUUGACAGGAAUUUGAAGUAAAGAAAUAAAAAGUAAAAUAGUUGAAUGUAAUCACAUGUGUUAGUGUCAAUGCUAUAUGAACUACAAAAAAGUAAAGGUUGCAUAUUGAACAUGGAAAGGUCCACACUUACCAGCCCUAAUAAUAAACCUUAAACACAAAGCAAUUUCAAAGGUUACCAAAUAAAACUCAACCUUCCAUGCCAACACUCAAAAAAUCAACAACUCAAAAUCAUAAAAUUUGUAAAAGUAUUACUACCCUUCUGAAUUCUGAUCAAAGAUGUGUAAUUACGACAUGUGCUGCUGUCAUACACCGACACGACACGACAACUACACAUGUUAUGUUCAAUUAAUUCUUUAUGUCGGUGUGUCACUGUCGUGUCCGGUGUCAUUCAAAGGUAUUACUUCAAACCAAUGCCAAAGAAAGGUCACAAACCCAGUUCCAAAAAGAUAGACCACAAAAUACCACAGUACAAUCUCAGAACCUCAAAAUGACAUACAAAAGCUAAAAACAUAAAAGCAUGAUGUUUCUGAAAUAAAGUCACAACCUUUGGCAAAAUGGGUUUUGAGUUACAGCAAAAUUCAACACCCCAAAUACAUGAAACACAAAACAAAAAGCAACAUGCAUAUAAAAGAAUAAACAAUGAGAAGGGAUAAGAAAUCAUACAUACAUUUGUAAGCAAUAAUAUCCAAAGGGUAUGUUGCAACAACACCAAUUCCACCUGUGAACAAAUUGAAGCUAGGAAUUGCGAAGAAAAAAAAAAUCAAAAAAAGUUGAUGUUUUUCACAGUGUGAGUGUGCAAAGAAAGCAAAUUGAAAAAGGGUUAUUGAAAAAUGGAAAAGAAUGGUGUUUCUCUCUCUCUAUCUAGUGCAGUAGUGUGUGAGCUGCACACAAAAGUCCUUAUCUGGUUGCAUAAAAUUCUAGGGCUAUGGUUACUCUCUCUCUCUAGAAAAAAAGAGUUUGUUUUGUUGCUAUAUAUACUUUCUCUCUCCUCGGUUGGGUUGCGAUAUCGGUUAUGCUGCUGAUGAUGUUUUGUGUGCGUGAUGUUUCUGGGAUUUAGGAAAGGAGGUUUUGAGAAGCAAACAAAAUAAGCACUUUUUGUUUUGGAUAAUACUGAAUAUUUUAUUUUUUUAAAAGAAAGAGAAUAUUUUAUUUUCCGGUUAAAUAUGUUUUUGGUUGUUAUAAAUAUAUUAAAUUUUUGUUUUAGUUUCUCUAAAUUUUUCCUUCAACGUUUAGUCCUAAUAAUAUUUUCAAUUAUCACUUUUGAUCCCUAUUUUUAAGUCACUUGUGUAUUUUUUGAUGUAGUAUACUGUGCAGAUCUCUCCAAAAAAAAAUUAAAUUUUUUCAUAAAAUAUAAAUUAAAUAUGAAUUUUUAACUGCAUAAAAUAUACAAAAAUUCAUAUUUAAUUCAUGUUUUUGUUAAACAAUUGUAAUUUUUGUGAGAGGUUCUUAUAAUAUUAUAAACUUUUUUGCAAAAUUUUAUUCAAAAAUAUGAAUUAUACAUGUGAGUAUACUUAAAAGGAGGGACAAAAAUGGGGAUUGAAAAUAUUAUAGAUACUAAAAAUAAAUGUAAUAGACGAGUUACAUUGGACACCGACGAAGAUUCAAACCAAAAUUCCAAAGAAGAGCACGCUUAUAAUUCUUAAACAUUACUCCUUUCCUCCUUAAUUAUAAGCUCCUAGAAAAAAAGUUUAGUCCACAAAUAUAAGUCUCUAUACAAAUGUGCACAUUUAUUUUUUUUUUUCUUACACAUAUAUACAAACAAAAGACAACUUAGUAAAUUCACACAUAAACUAGAAAAAUUAAAUACAUUAUCAAUUUUUCUUAAUAUUUGUAAAAUUAGUCAAAGAGCUUAUAAUAAGGGACGAAGGGAAUUCCCUUGGAAAAAAAAGGGAUAGAGUGAAUAUUAACUAACAUCUUAACUUAAUUAAGUACUCAUUCCGAUCACAAUUACAAAUAAAAAAAAUUAAUUUUUGUAUUCAUUGAAUAUUGUAUGUAUUUGGUCUAUAAUAUAGACCAAAUACAUUAACUUUCAAUGAAUUUAAAAGUGGUGUUUUGUUUAUAAAUAUGCCGUGGGAGAGCGGUUAAUACUUUUAUCGAAAAAAUAAAGCAUUUGAUAGAAUUUAAAUUUAAUAAUUAGAUAACUUACGCUCUUAAAACACAUGUUAAGCAGUGAUUCUAUUAAUUAAUUAAUACAUGAAUACAUAAUAGUACAACUUUACCUCUCUCACACAUUAUAUAUUUUUGGGGAUUCUCAAUAAAAGAAAGGGAAUUUAUUUAUCUCUAUGUAUCCCACGUAGGAUCCGAUCAUUAUUUUGUUGCAACUUGCAAGUGCAAGGACGUUAGGGUGUUGGCUAAUAGAUUGGCGGCCUAUAUCACCCAAAAUAUCUCUCUAAUCUUUGAGAAUCUAUGCUUACAUUCUAUACAUACAAUAUAUGCUCCUAAUAUAGUAACAUUUUUUUUUUACAAAAUUACAUAACUUUAUUUAGGGUUAAAUUAUAUUAUUUUUUGAGGUGGGGUUAAUUGUUAUUUUGUCCAUCUAAAUAUAUCGACUUUAAUUUUUGAUCUCCUAAAAAUUUCAUCCAAUAAUUAUUCUUUGAACUUUUUCAUCUUCAACCUUGAUCUUCGUUGUUAAUUGUGUCAUUAUUUUUUUUGAAGAAGUUAAAAUGGAAUAUAUUACUGAAGCUUGGAAAUUUUAGCACAAGAAGUGCAAAAACCCCAGCUGAAAGAGUAUCAAAUUACACUCAUAGAACAAAGGGUAACAAAAAUAAAAAAAAUAAAAAGAUCAAAUGGCAAAAUCACCCCAUUAUAGAUAAAUACCCAGACAAGGUAAAGGGUUCAACCACCACAAAUGGUAGGAAAAAGCAAAGGUAGGACGGUUCGCUUUCAGCCACCAGUAUGAUUGAAAUUUAAUUUUAUCUAGUAAUUGAUUGAACGAGGCCUCUUUUUGAUGAAAGACCCGAGUGUUUCUUUCUAUCCAAAUCACCCACACAAGAAAGCCAUAUGAGAUUAAAAGCUGAGCGGUUGCUUUUGGAAAACCCGCCUAAGGUGCCAAAUUGAUACAAAUGAUCUGACGCAUGUUCAGGAAACACUAAAUGGAACCUAAGCCAGUGAAAAAUACCAUACAACAGUUUACCAAAAAAAUCACAAGAGAAGAAUAAGUGUUCUACGUCUUCUAACAUGCCACAUCCGCCCACACAAACUUAAGCAUUUGAUUGUAUAAUUUGUCUUUUAACUAAAUUGUCUGUUGUUGGUAAUCUAUUACGAAGCAGACGCCAAGCAAAGAGACUGACUUUUAAAGGCACUUCCUUAUUUCAAAUUUCAGUUAUGUGAUCAGCUGUCAAGUUGUUAUUUGUUGAUGACAACAAGUAAUUAUAAGCACUUGUGACGUUAUAUUUGUUGGAUGAAUGUAAAUGCCAAAUCCACCUGUCAGAAUGAUUAGACUGCAAAACAAUAUUAGUUAAAAUAUCACAACACUCCCGCACCUUCUCCUCCUCCCAAUGUAACAACCGACGCCGCCACUUCCAAGCUUCACCCUCCUCCCCCCACCCAAGUGAAUACAUUUCAGCCACCGUUGCCAUUUUAUUAGUAGCAAGAUCAAAAAGGCGACUAAAGCUAUUUUUCAAAACCAUGCCAUCAAUCCAAGGAUCCCACCAAAAUAAAGUUUGUGUACCAUCUCCUACCUCUCGCCCAACAUUAGCAUCAAACCACCGACCACUUCCCACACCAGCCUCAUUUUUAAUAUUAAUCAAAUUAUUCCACCAAACAGAGUUAAAUUGCCCCUCCUCAUCGAUUAUUCCUCCUACCUCCCCGUAUCGUGAUGCUAAAACUCUAUACCACAAACUCUUAUUUUCAACCCUAAUCCUCCAACACCAUUUAACAAGUAACGCCAAAUUAAACUCCCUUAUUCUCCGCACCCCCAACUCUAUACAAAUGAUCUGACACAUGUUCAGGAAACACUAAAUGGAGUUUAAUUACAAAGAUAACUUUGUAAUUUAAAUAGAAUAUAUUUUUUAUCAUGGCAAUAGCAAGUGUUCACCAAACACAGAAUAUGAUAAAAUAAGAGUCCUGUUAACCGGUGCCCCCGGGGCACGGAUUAAGGAAUCCAAAAAAGGAAAAUUUCAAUAAAAAAUAACACUUUUUGACUUUUGAGAAAUUGAUUACACAAUUUCCGAUGCAAAAACUACUAUAUUUGCUUUCUUAACUAGUACCCCGAAGGCACCGGUUAACAUUAGCCAUAAAAUAAUGCUAUCAUCUUUUUAUCAAGUGUGCACCAAACGCAUGACAAGAUAAAUGUUUAUCCUAUCACUAUCAUAUCAUAUCCUUAUCCAGUUUCUUAUCCUAUCAUGUUUCUAUCAUAUCAUGCGCACCAAACGGACUCUAGACGUACCUGAUAUAAAUUAUGUGUGAGAGGUACAUGUGGCUACACUAUGUUCAUUUGACUCAUCGUCCUCUAAUCAAUCUAACUCAACAAGUUAUUCUUAAAGGUGAAAAAUAAUAUUCAAGAGUAUAUGAGAACCUGACAUAGAUUGGAAUCUGUAAACAUUCCAAUUUUCGGACUGUUUUUUAUUCCUUACUAUGUCAUCGGACUCUAGCCUUAUAAAAAAACAAAAUAUUAAUUUCAAAAUUGGAUCAAAGAAACUUUGGUUAAAUAUGUUUUUGGUUCCUAUAAAUAUGUCAACUUUUCGUUUUAGUCUCUCUAAAAAAAUUCUUCAACUUUUAGUCCCUCAAAAAUUUUCCAUCUUCACUUUUGGUCCUCCUUUAAAGUAAACUCAUAUGUAGAAUUCAUAUUUUUUUAAUGAAAUUUUCCAUAAAAAUACAUAAUAUUAUAAGAAUCUCUCCAAAAAAAAAAUAGAAUUUUUUAAUAUGAAUUUUUAUAUUUUUGAAGCUUAAAAAUUCAUAUUUAAUUUAUGUUUUGUUAAAAAAUUCUAAUUUUUAUUGAAACUUUUUUUUACAAUAUUCUACAUAUUUCUGCACAAUUUCAUUAAAAAAAAAUACAAAAAUUAACUUUAAAAUAGGGACCAAAAAUAGUGAUUGAAAAUUUUAUAGGACUAAAAGUUGAAGGAAAAUUUUAUAGGGACUAAAAAGAAAAUUUGGUAUAUUUAUAUGGACCAAAAACAUAAUUAACGCAAGAAACUUACCCCAAAUUAGAAAAAAAAAAUUGGUGGAUAAUGUAGAUGACAUUCGUAUGAUCAUUUUUGGCGUUGGUUUCACUUAGAUCGAACUCACAGCCAAUGAUAAGGGAAUAAAAAUGUGAAAUUUAUCAACAGAGGAACCCUCAAAUUUUGAGAAAAGUAAUGAAAUGGCUAAAAAUUAAAUUAGUAUAUUAAAAUGACUACCUCAAGGAUAGAAACAUUGUUGUAUCAUCCUCGUGCGUAUAGCUCAGCAGGUGGGGACACUGCAGUAUAAAUACAAAGGUUGGGGUUUGAACCUCAUAUUUCUAACUUAUUCAUCUUGAAAAGUGAAGUUAUAGUCGUUAGACUACUUGACAAAAAAAUACAUUGUUUUAUCUUUGGAAUGUAAUUAGGGAUUUUGUGGUUUAAGAAUCUUGCUUUCUUGUUCUCAUAAUGAGCCCAGCCCAUUCAAGACAACUAUUCUUGAGAAUUUAUUUUCUCACCCUUAAUACUUCUCAUGCGUCUUUCAAACUUUCAAAAAUGUUCUUUAGUUUUUGGAUUCAAAAUUUCAAAUAGAGCUUUUUGACCAUUUUCAAAGUGAAAAAAAAAAAUAGACACAGUCGUUUUCGCCACGGUUCAACCAUGGUAAGUACUUCAAAUUUUAGGAUCCAAAUGUCCCCUUUACAUGAUUCGAACCCCUCUUGCGCCAAAAAAUUAUGGGGAAAAAUAUGAAAUUUAACUUUGACACGAGAAAGGUUUGAAGCAUGUAAAAUGGGUGUUUGGAUAAACUCAUUUUGAAUUUCAGAAUCCAAAAAUUCAGAGGCAUUUUUGGGUUUUCGAAAGCUGCGUGGGAAACAUGGAGAGUGGAAAAAGAAAUUAUAUGUAUUUUUCUACUUUUAACUGCACGGGUGCGUUAUAGUAAAUCUGAAGAAGGGAAGGUGUGAAUGGAAGGUCUGUUGAUUAGAAGAUGAAAAAAAAGGUAGUAUUCACAUACAGGACUGUGAAUGGCUCCAGGGACGAAAAUUAAUUUGGCCCAAUUCAGAUGAUAGAUUACAACAGAAAAAAUAUGAGGUUUAGAAAGCAGUUUGGCUCAUAUAUCUUUUUCUAUUAGUUCAAGUUCUAAAGAAAAUACUAAUCAUUAGUUCCACUCUUCCAUAAUUAAAAUCUUAGUCUCUUAAAUAAAAAUAUUAAUUUAUUAAACAAAAACUUAAAUAAAAUUAAGGUAACCCAUGCUUGAACUAUUGUUUAUCCUCGAACAAUAAGUUUAGUAGAAAGUCUUUUAAGACAGACAUUACAUAAAAAAAAAAAAAAGAAUAAAAGUUCAAUUGUAUGUAUAAAGUAUUGGUAAAUUUUAACAAUCAAGUGGUCAUUUUCUUAAGUUCCUAUAAUCAUAUACUCCUUUAAGUUACACGUCCUCAAGAACUCAUGCAUUUUUCUCAAAGAUCAAGUCCUGCUUAUUUUCUUAUUAUUUUUCUCGAUACUAAUUUUAUUAUUUUACUUAUUUUCUACCUCAAUUUUCAACAAAUGCAAGAACUUGACACAUAAAUCUUAAGGUACCUUUUUCUCCUAAGUAUGCAAUUAAACAGUAUUUUUAAGUUUUUGAAUGAUUGAUGAUUUUAAUUUGAUUGAAAUAUGCAACUGAUAAAAAUUCCCUCAAAACAAGGGAGUUCAUCACUACAAUUAACAUUCAAAAUCCUAUUAUGUUCUUAAGCCUCAGAACUUAACGCCUAAGGAUGAUGUAAUUUCUAAAAUAUCAAAUAUUAUAUCUCUAGCAACAAUAGAAGUGAUGCACCAACCUAUCUUCCUAUUCUCCCUAAUUACUAUGAGUGGUUUAAUAAUUAGUUUGUUAUUUUUGGAGGGAUUAAUGGUAUUUUACUAUUUUUAAUUUGUAUCACCACAAAAUUUUCUAGAAAGUACUCUACAUUGGACAUUUGUGGGCUAUUGAAAAUAUUUUGCCCUUAAAAACUAAACAUUUUGAUAAUCUCUCCACCCGUGAUUAGAGUGAAAAUUGCCUCUAGAAGAAUUGAAAAAAUAAAUGAAGUGUAUCCUCACUGCCCACCGUACAUAGUGUACAAUCUAUAGGACAUGUGACUCCUUUAUCUUUUAGACGUACACGAGUUGGUAAGCAAUUCCUACAGAUUCACCGCAUAAAGUUUUUUACCUUUUGGGGAAUCUUGAGCUUCCGGAUUAGAUUCCAAGAGCCUUGUACCUUGAAAUGAGAUGUAUCAAGUAACUCUUGCACACAAUACCGGUAUGCACUACGAAUAAAGUAUUCACCAUGAUUUUUUUUCCUAGAUGAGUCGAUCUUCCGUCACUGAUGGAUAGAGCGGUGUGUUCACUAUAUUUUCAACUACAUGGUGAUCAAAGAUUGACUGUAGGAAAGGUAGAUUCCAUUCCUUGCGGUCAUGUAGCAUGCAAUCUGAGACUCUUAGAUCAGCUAGAGGAAAAUGUCCAUUAGCAUGCGGGAUAAGUGUAACAUCAUUUGCAAUCCACUUGUUAUACCAAACUGAGAUAUCCUCACCAUCACCUAUCUUCUAUCUACUUUCAACUUUCAGAAUAAAUUUAGAAUUACAUAUGCUUCGCCAUACAAAGCUAGGCUUAUGUCCCAAAGUCGACUCAAAGAAAUUGCACCUAGGAUAGUAUUUUGCCUUAUAAAGUCGAGCUACCAACGAAUCAGGAUUUAUCAUAAGUCUCCAACCCUGUUUCCCUAACAUAGCUAGAUUAAAGGUAGGUAGAUUUUUGAAACUCAUACCUCCAUCACUAUUGUGCAUAGACAAUUUAUCCCAAGAGAGUCAGUUAAUACCUCUACUUUGACCUCCUGAAUUACCCCACCAAAAAGAAUUCAUCAUUCUUUCAAUUUCACCAGAAAGAGAGACUGGGAGAGUGAACAAACUCAUAAAAUAGAUAGGGAUAGAUUGGAGCACAAAUUUGAUUAGAACUUCCAAAUUAUUUCAUGUUGGUUUAAUAAUUAGUUUUUUAUUUUUGGAGGGAAUAGUUCAUAUUUUAUAUCAACUUGUUUUGGCGGCGUUGUUGUUUUCUUGAUAUAUACAAUAAAAAAAUUAAAUUGAUUUCAUGUUUUCAAACAGAAACUCAUGAAUGAGAAACGUUGUAAGAGUUGUUAGAUGCAAACUAAAAAACAAGACAGCUAGCUGCAACUGCAAGCAACAAUUUUAUAUACUAAAAGAAGCAUGAUUAAGUUGAUCAAAUGUAUUCCAUGAAAUAUAGCUAAUUAAAAAAAGCUCAAAGGGACUGAAUAAAAAUAUUUCAAUUUAAUUCAUACGUGUUCUUAUUUUUCAUCAAGGACAAAAGGAAGAAACAGUGAUAAGCAUUAAUUCUUCUUGCCAAAAUUUAUUGCAAUUUGAGUUUUUGACAACAAUUUUUUUGAAGGUGCAAGUGUUUAACAAUUGAUUCAUAGGGUAGAAUUUAAUUGAAUUUAAUGCUUCCUUAGUUGUUGUUCGUCCUCAUUAUCCCUUUCUUUGUUGAAAUCCAGCAUAUGCUUUUUCUAGAUAGUGUACACAUGAACUCAAUUAUUUGAUUGAAUGUGCAUGAUUUGACUUUGUAAGCCCAAUUACAGCCAAUAAUAAAAAUAAAUCCAAAAUACAUUGCCGGUGGAAUCCUAAGAAUAUCUUAAAAUUAAUGUAGCACAUUUAUGUCUGUUUUUUAACAUAAAAAUACAAUUAUUUUUUUUCAAAUAGCUUAGCGACUGGAGAAAUUCACCUUAAAGAUAAAAUAGUGGGGUGUCUGGGGUUCAAACCCCGACUCUUGCAUACAUAAUGCAUUAUCCCUUGCCGAGUGAGUUAAGCUCACGGGGACAUAAAAAUACAACUUCUUCUGGUUACAUUUAUAAAUAAAAAACAAAUUUUUAAAUUCAUUCAAUUUUUUUUAUCAAAGCAAUAACAUAUAAAAGACAGAAGAGACAUGAACCAAUACAGUAGAGUCACGAAGUGUAAAACUUAUGAAAAGAAAAACCGAAUCUAUCCCAAGAAAGGAAAAGUUCUAAAAAAAGAGGUGUCAAAGACGACCAUUGUACAUAAAAACUAGUCAAAUUAUGACCAUUCAUUAAACUUUGAUAGAAACACUAUAUGACUGCAGUCAAGUGUCUGUUUUGCAAGACAUUUUUUUUUAGCUUAUAGCUUAUGUCUUGUAAGUUCAUUUCACAAGAAAAACUUGUUUGAUAACCACUGCUUUCUCAAGAACUUAUAACAUUUUUUAUCAGCUAAUUCAAGUAGCUUAUAGCUUAUAUCUUAUUAUUGCUAAAAAAAAACUUAUAACUUAUCUUAUUUUAUCCCAUUUUGCAUCCGUAAUCUUAAUUGAAAAUUUAAUAUUGAUUAAAUAUAUUAUUUUGUGUCAUUCAUAUUUUUAAGUUUUUAAGUUUAAUUAAACUAUUAAUUUUAUCAAACACUAUAAAUUCAAUCAACUAACUUUUUUUUAAAGAAAAUUCAAUCAACUAACUUAUUAAUUAUAAGUUAUAAACUAACUUAUCAACUACAAAUUCAUUCAUUAUAAAUUAUCUUAUCGACUAUCCACUAUUUAUUAUAAAUAUCUUUAUUAAAUAGAUUUAUUUUAGAAUGAAAAUUCAAAUAUAUAUAUAUAUAUAUAUUAGAAAUUAAUUUAAUUUUCUGUUUAUCAGAGAUUAAAUUGAAAUAAGAAAAAAAUAUUAACAUCAAAUUGAGUUUUUUUUUUUUCUUUUAGAGAGAAAAUUGAGUCUUCUAUCUUUAUUUUAUUAUAUAGUUUACACUUUACACCAAAAUGGAAAGGUCAACAAAAUACAAUUAAUAAGAAUAGGCAGUUAGGCAUAGCCCCAUCAUCCCUAUCUUCUUUAUUCAUUCAUCAUUCUUCUUUUCACUUUCAAUGCAAAAAUCUUUAUUUUAUUUUCACCUGAGUCCCUUUUUUUCUUCUCAACUGAAUUUGUUCAUAUUAAAAAUUGGAUUUUUAGUAUUUUUCUUCAUCUGGGUUGAAGAAUUAUUUGGCUUCUGAAGAAAAAAAAGGAAAAAUUCUUGACUGUCUGUGGAAAAUUUUAAGUGGGUUUUGAUUGAAUCGAGAAAAAGACUCGAACUUUGCAGAUUACAAUUAUUUUUCUAUGCGAAAAUGUGGAUCUUGUAAAGAUAUUGAUUUAAUCGAGAAAAAAGAAAAAAAAAACUGAAAAAGUGAUUAUUUUUUUUAUCAGCUUCAGGUGGAUCAACUUUUAGAAGAAGAAGAAGCUUAAAAAGGUGAAGUAGCUUUUAGAUAAGUUGAAAAAGUGUUACUUUAUUUAGUGUUUAAUUUUGAAUGAUAAAUAUUUAGUAGCAGAAUACAUUGAGUUGACUAAAAAAAGAUAUGCAUAAAAAGUUGAAUAUUUAACAUUUGUGUGUUUAUGAUUUGCCCCACUUUGGUGAAAUGCAAUUAAAUGUUCAUUUUAGAUAUUUAUUUUUGUAUGGUUUUGGGGAGGGGGCUUUAAAUGCUGAAGAUUAUUACAAGUUGUUAGGUUGUCACAUUUAAGAUUAUCUGAUGAAUAUGAGAUCAUCAUCAAUCCUAUCCUAUAAAGGAAAAAAUGAUAUGAUUUUCCUCUUUCUUAAAUGAGGUAGUUUUACAUUUUUGCAUUGUUGAUGUUUGUCUUGUCUUCAAUUCUGGCAGAAGGUUAAUGAUGAUGCCUUUGCUGCCUGAAAAUUUAGUACAGAAUCUAUGGAUGAUUCUGUUUCUGUUGUUUAGCAGUAAUCAAGGACCUAUCUAGCAGUGACACUUCAUAUUGAAGGUGUGUCAUUGUAUCUGACACCGACACAUCAUAUUGAAGGCGUGUCAUUGUAUCUGACACCGACACGACACUAGCAUCACAUGUGGUUAUCUUGAAUUUGUUCUAUCUUUUCAAAUUAUUAUCGGUGUUGUUGUGUCUGGUUUUUCGUAUCUGUGGUAGUGUUGCACAAAAGUGGACUAGGAUAAGAACUUUUCUUGCUGGUUUUUCCAUUUACCUUAACUAAAACAAAGCUUUCUGAUAUGAUUCACAGGCAUUUGUGGCUGCAAUGUAUUACAGAUAUAUGAGUUCUGGUAGAGUCCAAUAUGUUCGAGUUUCAUAGAGUCCGUGUGUAGCUGAGUGGAGUGAAUGCUGUAUUCGGAUAUAUAAAAAACACAUCAUUAAAAGUGGAAGAGGUUGUUCUUACUUUUAAUCUCAUUUAAGUGUAUCAAAAUGGGGAUUCAGUGCUCCAGCUUGGUACCAUGCUGUGUGGAUUCACAAGUUAAAGCAUCUGUUCCUGAAGUUCCAGAUGCUGGUAAGUAAAAGUGAUAUACCAUAGUACAUUCUGUUAUGCUGAGUGAACUAUUAUUCAUACUUGAUUUGUGUAUACUAUGAUGUUUGUUGCAGAAAACGAGAAUAGAAUUGAGACCAACGAUGGACCUUCAUUUCGGGAAUUUACGUUGGAGCAACUUAAUAAUGCAACGUCCGGUUUUAAUGUUGAGAAUAUAGUUUCUGAACAUGGAGAAAAGGCUCCAAAUGUUGUUUAUAAAGGGAAGAUGGAGAAUCAAACGAGGAUUGUUGUUAAGAGGUUUAAUAGAAGUGCUUGGCCCGAUGCUCGUCAGUUUUUGGUAAAUUUUAUCUUUUUUCUUUUUAAUAACUUUUUCAAACAUACUGUUAAACUUUCAAUUCUUGUGUUCACAACCUGGCACUACACAAAACAGCGUUUCAAGCAUGAAAUGCCGUUAAUGGGAACAUGUUAGUGUGCUUGUGUAAGUUGUGUUUAGUGAUUAAAAGGUGACAUCACUUAUAAGUAUGUGUUGGGUAUGACUCAUUGUUUACUGAUAAGUGAACAAACCGCCUGAGUUGUACAGUUUACGGGUAAUCUUGUAAAGUGUAAACUGGACCGUAGUAUUUAAAUGCAAGCUGUACUUGGUAGUCUCUAAGCUUGAAUAAUCGAAAGGUAUUGCAGCCGCUCUGCAAUCGGAGACGCAGGCACAAUUGGCUUAACUAUGUCAAAUGUUGUGUUCUUUGUUUGCAUUUUUUUGUAUCUUUUUACUGUUGAACCAUGGUUGCAACAAUAUGUUAUCCAUGAUAUUCAUAAUAGUCAAUAAAAUGGUUAAGUUUGAUUAUUUUUCUGAAGCUAGUGCACAAAGUUGUGCUGGUAUGUUUUCCUUUGACUCUGUCCUUUUCAGUUUCAAUUAUUUAAUGAGAACAAAUUUUGUUAACUGUAGGAGGAAGCUAGAUCGGUUGGUCAGCUUCGCAGCGAAAGAUUGGCAAAUUUGCUUGGUUGUUGUUGUGAAGACGAUGAGAGGUUGCUUGUGGCUGAAUAUAUGCCAAACGAAACACUUGCGAAACACCUUUUCCACUGUAAUAGUUCGUUUCAUGCAUGUCAUCCUUCCUUUUUCAUAUUUGAAAUCAGAUCAGUGUGAAGUAAUUGUUUCUCUUUUCAUUUUUUGUAUUGAUCAUCGGCUUUGUUAUGAGUCAAUACUACGGCUUCAUUGGUGUAUAGUAUGGGAUUAGUACGUACCUAAGCCAUUGCGCCAUAGUUCAAUCUUUUUUCAUUUGAAAUUUAAUAAUGUUCUCCAGUUUAAGGAAGGUUCAUAUAUUGAAGUACCAAGUUAUCAACAAAACUAGCAUCAACUAUUACUAAAUUUAUGCAACAAAAUAAUUUUGAGGUGUGAAAAUUAUCUUGCAAGGGUGAAACAAUUUUUAUUUAUUUUUAAUUUUGAAGGUCAGAACUCAAACUGUGGCAUUCAAUCUCAACAAAACAUCAUGAUGUUUGAGCCUCUCCCUUUUGAGAACCUGUUUUCUUUGAUACCAUUGUUAUGAUUGUAUUAUUGAAGCGGUAUAUGUGUCUAUGUCAGGGGAUUCUCAACCGAUGAAAUGGGCAAUGCGACUUAGAGUUGUUCUACAUCUUGCAGAAGCUCUAGAAUACUGCACAAGCAACGGUCGUGCCCUCUAUCAUGACCUUAAUGCAUAUAGAGUUCUAUUUGAUGAGGUAAGUUUUGUACUCCACUUCUUAAUACGUUUUUAACAUAAUUUGAUUAAUCGAAACUGUAAAUAAUAUGUUAAUAUUUACAGGACGGUAAUCCUAGGCUUUCAAGUUUUGGCCUUAUGAAGAACAGUAGGGACGGAAAAAGUUAUAGCACAAAUUUGGCAUUUACUCCUCCAGAGUAUCUCAGAACUGGUGUGCCAUAUUUCUUUACUGCUAUGGUUUUAUUUGAAUUAAUAUUAAGAGAAGUUAUGAUACAUUUAGUAUUUCAAAUUUGUUUCAUGAACUGAAUACAAUAUCAUUCUCUGUGUGUCAAAUAACAGUUUAAAAAAAGGUUAAAGUGACUGCUGAACACAGGUUAUAGCAGUUAUGAGUUUCAAAAGUCCAACUUCGUAACAUAAAUGAAUUCUGAAACGAUGAAAAAGUGUUACAAUGAUGCUUAAGUUCGCUUAAAUUCGUUUCAUUUUUCUUAUGUAACCAAAAAAAGGAGACAGAUUCUGUGGAUGUAUACUUUACCUGAAGUCUAAGCUCAUUGCAUACUCAAGAAUCAAUUUAUAAUAGGUUUAAUUAUUCUUUUGGUCCACGAACCAUUUGGAAAAUUUUAAAUAAGUCAUGAACUAAAAAAUUUAUAACCGAGUCCCUGAAUUUGUCCAAAGUGUUUAAUUAGAUCCUUGUACUAUUUUUUUAAUCAAGUCCCUGAACUCUUGAAUAAUUUCUAAUUAGGUUCCUCCCAUAAUUUUAAAUGAUUUUAAUUAGGGCCCUAAGCUCUUCAAUAAUUUGUAUUAGGGUCCCUAAGUUUAGGAACCUAACUCCAAAUUAUUUAAAGUUUACAACUUAAUUAAAACUUUUUAGUUUAAGGCCCUAAUUACAAACUACUAACAAUUUCUGGGAUCCAAUUAGUUUAGGGACCUGUUUAAUAAUCCUCAGAUAGUUCAGGGGACUACGAAGCAAUUAAACCUAAUAUAUUCCGUGAUAAAAAAGCAUAUUAUGUGCAUGGUUAUUUAUUUAUUUUUUGAAACGGAAAAAUGUUAGUAUUGUCAGUAUUAUGCUGGGAGUGGGGAUCAAACCCUCGACCUCCUUAUAACUCCAAUCUUUAACUCCCUCACUCCAGCCACCAAUCCAACCUUAUUUCUCCUGAUGUCCAUGAUUAUUAGUUGCCCUUCAUGCAGUUUAACAAUGUUUAACAGAAAACCUGUCGUGCGUUAUAACGUUUAUGAUCGUAAAUAUUUUGUAAAAGUUGAGUGAUCAGGAUUUCUUAUGACUCUUCUUUGUUCUGUAGGGAGAGUAACACCAGAAAGUGUAAUAUAUAGCUUUGGCACUCUUUUGCUUGACCUUCUUAGUGGGAAGCAUAUCCCUCCCAGUCAUGUAAGUCAUCUUAUUUUGGGGAAAAUAACUCUCUCUCACCUAUAUCCUCCUAAAAGAAGGAAAGGAAUGAAUAAAAGUAGAUAAAUGUUGUACAACUUUAUUAAUUAUUAAUUUAUUACUUAAUUCCAAUUGAUAAAAAUAUUUACCAUUGAUUUGUGAAGUUGAAGAUAGCGUAAAUUUGACUCCAUGUUUCAUUUAGUAUUGUAUAUAUAUAUGUACUUGAAUACCUGAUUUGAUUUUUUUUUUGGAGCAGGCCCUUGAUUUGAUUCGCGACAGAAAUAUUCAAAUGCUCACAGAUUCUUGUCUGGAAGGACAAUUUUCUGAAGAUGAUGGAACUGAGUUGGUGCGGUUGGCAUCUCGUUGUUUACAGUAUGAACCUAGAGAACGACCUAAUACAAAGUCGUUAGUGGCUGCUUUGGCUCCUCUUCAAAAAGAAACAGAGGUGUGACUGUCUAUUAUUAUUGUGGGAUAGUAAUUAGCCAAGUAUCACUUCUUAGUAGUAAGCUUGAACAAUACCACUACAUAGGUUUUCUUUCAGAGUCAAGGCAAAGACAAAAUGCGAUCAAUGGCUUUUCUAUCAAUUUAUUUUUCUAUAUUCUUACUUACAUAUCUUGGCGCACACAUGAAUGACUUUCAUGAAAAAACAGAACGCAACUAAUUAAGUUUGGAAGUUCUACUCCCGAUUAUUUUGUCUAACCAAGAUAUUUCCUACUAAUUUCUUUCUAGGUUCCUUCUCACUCAUUGAUGGGUAUCCAACAUAGUGCUACUAUUUCGGCUUCGUUGUCCCCACUUGGCGAUGCAUGUUCAAGAAAGGACUUGACUGCCAUACACGAAGUUCUCGAAAAUAUUGGUUAUAAAGAUGAUGAUGGAGUGGCAAAUGAGGUUUUAAUCUAUUACUACAGUCCUUUUAAUUUAUUUCUUAAAAUAUUGGAUUCUUUAUUAAUUUUUAUAUUUCUUGAGGUUAUUAAUUUAAGGUGCAAUAUAUUUACUAAGGCAAACUAUGAAAUGAUAUAUUGUCCUUUAUUAUGUUCGAUGCUAACCCGUGCAUAAUCUUCCCUGAACUACAGUUAUCUUUCCAAAUGUGGACGGAUCAAAUGCAGGACUCACUAAAUUGUAAGCAAAAAGGAGAUGCUGCGUUCCGGCACAAAGACUUCAAACUUGCAAUAGAGUGCUACACACAGGUAGUUUUAUUGUUUUGCUUUGUAUUCUUAACUUCUACAGUUGUUGCUGAUGCAAUGUUUUUAAAAACCAAACCGAACUUGAUGGUUCAAUUGGUAGAACAUUUUACGGUCCUUUACUACGGUUCACUUAUUUUGGCGCUUUAAUCACGGUUUGAUCGUGGUUCGGGCGGUUGAACCAUGAUCCAGAGGUCCCGUCAGUUCGACGCCUGGUUUGGUUUUUAAAACAUUGGUUUGAUGUGAGAUUUUCACAAUGAUGAAUAAUGCUUUUGAUUUCCAACUAGAAUUAUGCAUCAAUAUGUUUAUGUGGUUAGUAUAAUAAUAAAGCAAUUGAUUCUUAAAUUCGAUUCUGUCUCAAGUCAAUGAAGGAAGCAUUUCAGUAGCACUUAUGGAUCCUUCCUAUUUAGCAGUUAUAUUUGAGAUUUGAUUCGGUUCUUUUUUAGUUUAUUUUGUUUAACGAUAGUUCAUUGUUUCACGUGUAGUUCAUUGAUGUUGGAACAAUGGUUUCUCCAACUGUACAUGCACGUCGCAGCUUGUGUUAUCUCAUUAACGACAUGCCUCAAGAAGCAAUGAACGAUGCCAUGCAAGCACAAGUAAUUUCCCCUCUAUGGCACAUUGCGUCUUAUCUUCAAUCUGUUUCUUUGUCUGGGCUAGGGAUGGUGAACGAAGCGCAAGUCGCACUUAUGGAGGGAACAACACUGGAAGAGAAGCGAAACACACCUACAGGAAAAAAGUGAAGAGUUUGUACAGAGAAUCUAUUGUUGAUUGUGUUUUCUGCAUCAUGAUCUGCAUCGGUUAUAAUUUUCAUCAUGUGUUUGAAAAAUUCUUGAAGAGAGAUGAUUUGAUGAGUGAGUUGGUAACAUCCCUCCCCCUUUUUAUUGGGUAGGCUUGGAUGUUGUUUGUUUAGUUCUACUAUGAUUUGAUUACAAGAGCAUGAAUAGUAUUUAUUUGUUUAUCCAACAGGAAAAUAAUGUGAUAAUGAAAAUGUUAGGAACUUUUCUCUUGGUAUAUGGAAGAAUUCCUAAAGUUGGACAGAAUUGAAUAAACAGAAGAAUAAUAAUUCUUACUAGAAUAACCUUGCACUCAUGGCUACCUCUAAAGGAGCACUCUCCUUUCACACCAGAGCAUUCUCUAGUCACUAAUCUGAAUUAUUCAAAACUAUCUUCCCUUCUAGGGCUAUUUAAAUACUUUAUAAGAAUAAUCAAAGUAACAACUCUUCAACAACCACCUAACAAACUUAUUUCUUUUUUUUUUUAGAUAAAGGCAAAUGAAAUAAAAAGUCAUGAGAGGUUUGAACCAAAUAUAAAAUCAAUCCAUAGAGAUGCGAGAGUAAGGUAAGCCAAGACUAUCUCCUAAAAGAAAAACAGAGAUAAAAGGUGGAGGGGAAGUCAACCACUGAGAAGAAAACAUAGAAAGACCCUACCCAUUCUUUGCAAGAGCAUCAACGGCCCUAUUUCCGUCUCUAAGAAUGUGGGUGCAAGUGCAACCACUCUGCCUACAAAAAAGCAAACAAUUAUGCCAUCUGCUGCGCAUUUUCCACGGAAUGUCAGAAUCUUUGUAGAAUGCAGUGACCACGGCAACUGAAUUUGUAAGAAAGGAAACUUACUUAUACUCUUUAGUACUCUAUAAGAAAAGAAAUUCGGUGUACUAAAGCUCCCGCAUAGGCAGGGUAGCCUUACCUUAUUUUUUACCUAAGAGAUUGUUUUCAAAACUUGAAUGUGUGACCUUUCAGUUACAUGACAACAACUUUACCAGUUGCGCCAAGAUUACCCUCCUUUACUUCUCUAUAACAAAAAAUAAAUAAAUCUUUACUACUCUAUACUAUAGUCUAUCCAAUAUUUAUAUCCUAACACCACAACUCUGUUGUUCACUACCAACAAUGUAGUGGAAGCAGAGCAUUAUUUACUGUUUUAUUUCUCUCGAGUAUAGUAUUGGUACAAGAGUACAAGAUUGUUUUUUUUCUUACCACCAUGCAACUCGUGGCACUGUUAAUUUUGUGAUAAUUGUGGAAUUUGUUACUGUUCCAUUAAUAAAUACAGCACCAUCACCAUAGGUCCAUAUAGUAUAACUCGUUGAAAUCUGUCCUUGACAUACUACAUGAAAUAAUUGAUGUCUCGGAAAAUAGGAUAGGAAGCUCAUCCAGAUAUAUGCUUUUACUAAAUGUGAUUGAAAUGUUAUAUGAUGAACUAUCAUGUUAUUCUUUUAUUAUUAUUUUUUAAUUUUAAAUGUAUUUACCCCCUGUAAUAUAGGUCAUUUCCGAUUUUCCCCGCUGUAAAAUAUUUUUUUUGAUUUACCCCUAAUAGGCCAAACAAAAACUAAAUUUAUUUUAUUUUUUCAAGAAAUUUUCAUUUUUGUUUGGUCUAUCAGGGGAUAAAGCAAAACAAAAAAAAUUUCAGAAAGAAAAAUCGAAAAUGACCUAUAUUACAGGGGAUAAAGACCUAUUAAUCCUAUUUAUUUAUUGUAAUUCUAAUGAAUCUGACGCCAAGUUUAAUAUCAAAAUAUAAACUUAAUCGUUUUCAAAAUACUAUACUCUAAAACCCUCCAUACCAAAAAAAAAAAAAAAAAACCGUCCAUACAAAAUGAAAGAAAGGAAAAGUAAAGGAGAGAGCAUUUGCACAAGGGAUCAAUAUAAUCACUUUUCAUGCAACUAAUACUUUAUAGCUAAGACUAAAAUUUAGUGAGAUUACCAUGUCAUCACUUUUCAUGAAAGAUUACCAUGUCACAGGUGAGAUUUGAACUCACAUCCUUAUAAAUUGAGUAUGAUAAUCGAUAACCUAUUAGACCAACUGCAAUUUUUAAACGACCUCUAAUUGCAAGGAUGAAAUACAUAUUUAAGCCUUACAUAUAUAUAUGUAUGCAAUUUUUAUGUGAUUCAAAAUGCAGAACAAUAUGCAAGGUACAAAUUCGAGGGAUCCCAGUAUGUGUGACAUUGUGGUUGGACAAUGUCAUGUGACAUUCACACAAGUGGAAUCCCAAAUCUGAGAGUGCCAAAAAUAGGAUUGCCUCAUGUGAAGGGAACCUAUUAGAGAAAAAAGUGCAAAACAAAAUCAUACAAAAGGGAAAUUAAUUAAAACAAACAGUGAAACAAACAUUUUGCAACAUUACAAGGGAAAUUAUUAUCAACAUUUUGGCACAGCAGUGUUUGAGCAAACAAACUACAUGCAUGUCCAAAUAGGUUUUAUUCUAAUUAUUCCUUCUCCUAGUAGAAAAAAACAAAGCCUAAACGACUUUGUCUAUAUAACAUCAUAGUUAUUAAAACUAGCUUUGUCUCAUUAAUCUUAAUGAGCCUUAGCUAUAGUUGAGUUACAUGGUUCAUAGCAAAAGUCAGUGAUAUCAAGGCAAUCACACUUCAAAGGAAAUGACUCAAAACACCUACAAGUCUUGCAAGCUGAGUGACAUGUUGGUUUAACAUCUUUACAACGACACUGAGGAGGGAUUGAAAAUGUGCAACUACAAUUAUUACAACAAGGUUUACAUGUUGAUUUGACACCAUUUGAUAUCACUUGAGUGAUGAGUGAGUUUGGUUCAAAACGAGCAUCAAUAAUGGUUGUGGUCAAACCUAAGAAAAAAAGUAACAAAGCUAUCUUCAUCUUCAACCCCAUCUCUCUAAUAUUUUUCCUUCCUUAAUAAUUGUAUAUGUGAGGAUGCAAAGAAAACUAUUGCAUUGGUCUAUUUAUAGAUAUAUGAAAUUUUUUAAUGAGGUCAGUUAUAAAAAGUGACAAUGUCUUACUUUGCUUCCUAUUUUUAUGAAUAUAUAUCAAUGUCAUCCAUCAUCUUUUAAGGUGUUGUCAGUUUGCUAUAAAAUGACGUGGAUAAUCUUUGAGAGAUAUUUCUUGACAUAUUUUUUAUUGUUCAAUCCAUCAAUUAGUCACCCGCAUGCAUAAUAUUAUAAUAAAAGAUUUGCUUGCACGACAAGAUAAGGUACAUAAAUGUUAAAUAGUAAUCAACGUUUAAGAGAGUUUGAUAUUAGCCUAACAUGAGGUUGGUCGUUCGAAUGGUACAAGACUCUGAUACCUUUGAGCAACAAUUUUAAAAUUAGUGAGCAACCAUUUUACCACAUAUGUAAUCCUACUCGACUUGAGAUGGCAAUUCCUUAAUUUUAAAAAAUAAAAGAGCAGUGCUAUAUACUGCAAAAAAAAUUCACGAACAGAUAGCGAAACCUAUAUUAACCAAUGACAAAACAGGAUUUAGCAGAAUUCAUGGAUCAUGGUUAUGAAAACGUAGAGGUCAACUUAAACGGUACCUUGGUGGAAUAAACCUUCACGAUGCGGUCGUGAUAUAAUUAUUCGCAAUAAACAGCAUUUUCGAAAAUAAAAUAGCAACUAGCAUAUAUAUGAGGAUUUUAUCAAGAAAAUCACAUAUUUAAGGAUAUACUACUCUUUUACUAGUCUGCUAUGGAUAAAAAACCAAUGGUCGCCGGUCAACAUUUAACCAAAAACAUUUAUUUUAAAACGACUUUCAACCAAUUUUUUUAGAUCCUAAACAAAAAACCAAUUUCUUUUAGAUAGAAGAAAUUGAUUUAAUAAUUUUAACAUUUUUAUCGGUUGUGUUAGAAUUUGUGGACAAAACUAAUUUUUUUAUGCAACAAAAAAGAAACUUGAAAUUCACACGGCUUGCAUUUUGUAAUAUCAUUUAUAUUUUAUAACUCUUUUUUUUAACGGAAUUUAUAACUCGUUUAGUUUUACUAUUUAGAUAUUUAUACUAUAUAUAAAGAAAAUAACUUGUUUUGCCUUUUUGGAUUAACUUUCUCUCCUUCUUAAAUUACCUUUAACUUUCAAUACGAAUAAUACAUAUAUGAUAUAAUAAAUAUAUAAGAUUAAAUUUAAAUAUUAAAACAAAAUGUAUAUGUCUAAUUUUUUUUCUAUGUAUCUCGUUAUGGGGAUAAUUUUUAAUUUUUUGUUUUUGGUGGAGUUGACAAAUCUUUAUGAAGGGCAGUGAUGAAAGCGGCGCGCCGUGUCUAUUCCAUGAAUAUGUCUUCUCAGGUGAAGUCGUCGUGGUUGCAGAGAAGGGUUUUUCUGAAGUCUUGGUUUUGCCUUGGUUUCGCCGUCGACAAGAACAACAAAAACAACGCACACAAGGCCAGGUAUUUGGGAGUAAUAGUUCUGCCACCAUGGGUUGCUCUUGCUGUUCGUCUAAUGCCAGGUAUUUGAGAGUAUCUAAGAGUGAACGUGCAUGCUCUUGUUGUUGAAAAUUUGCAACCAGCUGAGUUUCUCAAAUUCAAGGAAGAACUUGUUGAUGGAAGAUAAUAAAUCAGUAAAUUAAGGCUUUUAUUAGUUGUGUUUUGGCUAUAUUUUUACACAAAUUAUGAAUGGUUUUGAUUCUGGCUCACUUUUAUUGCAGUGCUAAUGUAAACUAUGUGCUUGAGUUGGACUUUGAACCAUUCACUGCAUCUUUCCCUCGUCCCAUUGGUGGUGGUGUUGUUGUUGAUGAAGAAAAGAAAGGAAGAGGAUGAGGACGCAGGAGAUGUAUUUUUGUCCAUUCCCAUACAAUUUUGCUAAUUUGAUGAGAUGACAGUGAUUAACUGGAAAUAGAGAUGAAAUUUUAAAUGAUUAAACAAUGCAAAGGUAAGUUGCAAGGAUUAAACGAUUAUAUGACCAAUUUUUAAACGACCCCUAAUUGCAGGGACGAAAUACAUAUUUAAGCCUAAUUUAAUUGAUAUAUACCAUGAAGGUUAAGUUACUCCAAAUCAUGAGGGGGUAAUCUAAAAAAUAAAAUAAAAAACUAUUUUUAGUGGAUUAAUAAAUUGUUUUGAUCCAUUCAUUAUCAUCUAAAUCUAUCGAAUUCAUCCAUUUUGUCACUCUUGACGAACUCGAAUGAACCUAAUCUUAAAGCUCCAAGGCCUAUAGAGGUGCUCCCCUCUAAGGUCCAAGUCUUUGUGUGGAGGAUAAUUAAUCAUGGGAAAGAUUAACACUAAAGGGAAUCUUUAUUUCAUUAGUGGGUCUUGUAAAAGCAUCUACUUAGCUAAAUAAUUUCAAAGGAAACUUAAAAACACAAAAGUAGAAGAUGAAGAAAGUUAGUAAAACAAACAGUUUGACCAUACAGUUUGUCAAAAACAAACUCCAUGGCCAAGCAGUAACUUUUAUUCCAUUGAUUAUUUAUUCAUUUCCAUACACAAAAAAAAAACUAAGCCUAAAUGACUUUGUUUGAUCACAUGCAUGGUAUAGUUAAUUACAUUUUGGAUAGCAGAAGUCAGUGAUAUCAGCGCAGUGACACUGUGGAGGAAUAGAUUUUGUGCAAAGACAGCUUUUGCAAGCUGAGUGACAUGUUUCUCCAAUAUCAGUACAAUGGCAUUGAGGAGGGAUUGAUUUUGUGCAAGGGCAGGAAUCACAGCAUGCUGUUGUUGUAGCAUCAACCAUGGUUGAUGUGAAGCUCAAGAGGAAAACCAACAAAGCUAAUUUCAUCAUUGUCUUCUUGUUCAACUCCAUAUUCUUUCUUCUCACUUGCUCUCUCUUUCUUUACUUUCUGAAUUCACAUGCAACUACGUGGUGUCUAUAAAUAGAGUGCAACCAGGGUUAUAAUCGUAUGAUAGUACCAUCAACAUUGGGGCACACUGAUAUAUUUAAACGAAAUCCGCUAAUAAAGUCUUAGUCUAAUAAAGCAACUGAUAUAUUUAAACGUGCACUUUUAAAAUACUACAUUAAUUAAUAAGUAAUGAUAUUUGAACAUCAUUUGUAACAACUUUGAUAACAAUUUUAUUUUAUUCUUUUUUUAUUUUUCAAAAAUAAUAUAGAGAGAAAAUAGAAGAAGCUCUUAUAAUCACUCUUCUACCACUAUCUAGUGGCAAAUUUAAUAAUAAAAAAUAUGCAUAUUCCAUGUAACAAAAGAAGAAGAAAAAAAACUAAUCCGGUCCACUCACAAAACAAAAAAUAAAAAAUUAUCCCCUGAACGAGACAUAGAAAAUACUUAAAUGAUUUCCUCCCUUUUAUGAGAAACGGGGGCAAACAAACUCCCAGCCAAGUUGCAAUUACAUUACCAAACUUUUGUUGAAAAACACAAACAUAUUUGAAAAACAAGUGAUCUAUUAAUAAUCCUCAACAAAAGUUACGUGUCAAAUGUUGUAAAAUAUCAACAUCAUCAACGACUAUUGCAACCUUGCUUGAUUGUCCAGUCCAAUAAUCCCGCAACCAUUAUAAGCCUUCUCAAACACCAUGCAACCCAAUGCUAAAUUAAAACCAAACUUAGGCUAAUCCUAUCACUUUUUUCUAGGGUCCAAAAACCGCAACAAGAUUGGUCAAAUCCAAGGAUAAAGCUAAGAUUAUGCAUUAAUUUCAUAAUUUCUAUUGGGUUGAUAUGUUAUGAUGACUUUGAACCUUAGAGUGUGCUUCUCCUUAAUGUUUUAGGUUCGAUUCUUCAGUUAUCAGUUUGGAUGAACUAAUUUUUUUGGUGUCUGAGAUUCGAACUCUAAAUCUUGCAUGUAGCAUACAUUAUCGUUACCAAUUGAGUUAAGCUUACGGAAACUAUUUGCGUGUGUCCAAAUAUCAUUUCUGUUAUUAUAAAUAUUCAUGUUAUUUUCUGUUCAUAUUCUUCUAUACUUUUACACUUGGUGUUAAGCCAUCUCUUUGUUGAUAUAUUAAGCAGGUUCUAAUGUAAACUUGCUCUAGUCUUGUGCUGUUCUAAGUGCUUUAACGGUUGUUUUAAUUUUUUUUUUUAAUGCUAAACCAUUUCUUUUUAGACAUAAGUAUACUUUAGGCCCUUUAACGGUCCCCUAUAAAAAAAACAAGAUAAAUUUAGUCCCAUAUGUUUUAGCCUUUUUACAAUAGUAGUACUUUUGGCUAAUUUUGAUCCAAUUAACGCUUGUGUGGCCGUAAACUUUACUGAAUGGCAUGCCACGUAGGUAAAUACUGAAUUAAAAUAAAAAUAAAAAUGUCAUGUGUGUAUUUAUUGAAUUAAAAAAUAAAAAGAAAAAAGGAAGAUGACUCGUGAUGCAUCUCUCUCUCUCUCUCAACCGUUAUAUCUCUCUUCCAAACCCAGAAUAGAAAACAUACUCUCUGGGAGAAUAUUUUGAUGAACUUCGAAGAUUCAUAGACGAAAACAUUUUCUACAACUAUUCUUGCUGUAUUAGAUUUUAAACUUUUGAUUAAAUAAUUUCAUAUUUCAUCUUUUUUACAAAAAUAUUUUUCAAUGACCUAUUAAUACGUUAGACUAUUUAAAUAACUAUCAAUUUAUUUGAAAAUAGACUUUUAAAUAGGCUUAUACAUAGUAGACUCUUAAAAAUGUCAAAUUAAAUCCCAAAAAUAAGCCUAACACAAAUUUGAAAGAAAAUAUGAGAAAGUGCUUUUUUUUUUUUUUUGAAAUGCACGAGGCACAAUCUAAUGACACAUUUUUUUGAAACGAAGAUAAUAAUUUUUCACCAGAUCUAUAGUCAUGUAUAAAGAACAUUGACAACCAAUUGCGAUGCAUAUAUUAACGAUGAAAUGAAAAUAGUAUUUUAUACAAGUAUCAUUCAAAGGAAAUAAAUUAAUACAAAUAGUAAAACAAACAUUUACCAACAUUACAAAAGAAAUUACAUUAAGCACACAACUAGCUAGGAGACAGUGUUUGAGGCAAACAAACUGCGUAUCCAAGUGCUAGCUUUUAUUCUAAUUAUUUAUUCAUUAUUCAUUCUCCCAAUUGAUAACAAAGCCUAAAUGACUUUGUCUAACAUGGAAUUUAUUAAACUAAUUUGUCUCAUUAAUCAUCAUAAUGAGCCUUAAUUAGCUAUAAUAGUUGAGUUAUUACAUGGUUCAUAGCAAAAUUCAGUAAUGUCAAGGCAAGUACACUUCAAAGGUAAUGACUCGAAGCACCUGCAAGACUUGCAAUCUGAGUGACAAAAUGGUUUAACAUCAUCACAAGUACAAUCAGGUGGGAGUGAUCUUGUGCAAGUACAAUUGUCACAACAACCUGUACUUUUUGUUGUUGUUGCCAAACCUAAGAAAAAAAGUAACAAAACUACCUUCAUCUUCAAAUCCAUCCCUCUAAUUGUCUAAACUCUUUUUAUGUAUGGUAUCUUUUCCUUUCCUUAAUUGUGUAUGAUGAUUGAUGCUAAUUAGUGCCAUUGCAUUGGCCUAUUUAUAGAUGGAUUCAGUUUUGUUCAAAAAAGAAAGAAUGACAGAUUCAAUUUGAAUGAGGGCGGUCUAUGAAUUUUUUUUGACUCAUGCAUGACAAUGUCUUACUUUUGGUUCUUUUUAAUUUUUUAAGAAUAGUAUAUGUGCCAUCAUCAUUUUUUUAUUCAUCAAUUAGGCUCCUACAUGCAUAUUUUAAAUUAUGAAUUGAAGGUAUUGAUUUCACGACAAAAUGAUUAAGGUACAUGCAUGUAAAAGUAGCAAGCAUUCAAAAAUAUUUGGAUAAGAUGAUGCUAUUAAUUUUUUUUUUUUUAAACUUACAUGUCAAAUUCGAAAGGAUUAACACCAAAAAAAAUAUCAUGAGGUAGAUUUUAUCUUUGUAUCCUACUCAACACGAGGUGCAACUAGCAUGAUAUAUAGUUGAUAUAUGAUUUUGAUAAAACUGAAAACUCAUUGGCAGAACUACUAAUCACAUAUUUAUAUAUAUUAGUAUUGCAACUCAUAAUGAUUUGAUUAAGUCUAUGAUAUUUUGGGUUAGUGGAAGUAUGUUAUAACAUUUUAAAAAUGCUUGGGCCAUUCUUUAAUGACACAUUCUUUUAAUUCAAACGUGUCACUAUAAAUUCAUCAUUUGUUAGAAAAGUGAGACUUUGACCUGUAUGAUUUGUUUUCCCUAUCGGAUUUAAUUUCUGCAGCAUUAAAGCUUACUUAUCUUAUUUAUUAUUAGUGCUCUGAUACCAAUUGAUAGUAUUUAGCCAUGAAUCAUUAAAUACAAAUUUCAGCAUAUUAUCGGAAACGAAGAAGGAAGAAGGAACUGUGUACCUUUUGAAUUAGGUUCAUGAAGGGAUGACAACCAACGAGCAUGAGAAGAUGACUACCCUUAUUCCGUUUAGGUUUGCAAAGUUAGAGAGUUUAAACGUCUGAUGGGAUGACGUUUAAAUAGCUAAACGGCUGAGGGCAGGACCUCUCAUUGGACUUAGCUAAAUGUUCCAACCAAUCACCGUCCAUUUAGAAAGAAUAAUCGAAACAUACAUAUUCAUCAACUAAUUAGUGUUUAAUACCAUAGACUAUAAUUUAUUAUAUAAUAUUAAUUUUUUUGGUAAGAUUAUAUAAUAUUAACUUAUAAUAAUUAAUUAUUGUCAAUUCAUAAUUGAUUAAUUAAAUAAUUAUCCAACAUCAUAAACCCAAACGCGGUCGGGGGCGUCAAUUAAAACGGUUUCAACCAAAAUUUUGCAAUUGUUUAGUUCUGGGAGAGAAAAAAUAAUAAAAAAACGAGUAUAAUAAUAGAUGUUAGUUUCAAAUGUUUUUAUUUUUUUGAAAUAUGUGCAAAUAUAAAGGAGAGGUGUAUUAUAUCUAAAUAUUAGUCUCGAUAAAUUUAACUCAAUUGGUAGAGACAUUAUAUUAUAUAUGUAGAUGUCAAAGUUUGAACUCCGAACACUCCACUUACUCAUCUUAAGAAUGAAAAAAUAACUUCUACCUACGGGCAAAAUCCGUCACUAUGUGAUGUUAAAUUUUUUUUCCAAUACUUUUUAAAUUAAAAUUAUCAAGACUACAACGGGACCUCCGAAUUAUCGAAGAUAACCCUCAGUAAGAUGAAUUAGAAGGGUUAAAGAGAACAAGCGAGAAGGGAGACUGGUGUCUUGUGAAAGGUGUGGUUGAUAUAUACGUGUGAUAUAAUGCUGUUAAGAAUUCAACCUGAUCCAACUCUGUCGUUACUCAUGUGGUCCUCACUUGUGAUGUUAGUAAUGUAAUAAUUAGUAUGUCCAAAAAUGGACAAGCACAACAUGCAGCUGUGAUAAAUGUUAGUGGUACAAAAUGAAGGACUCGUUAAUGUCAUUGUGCAAAAAUAUUCACAACCUGUCACUCAACUUGCAAAGUUUGUGAUUGUCUGUCAUCACUACUUGUCCUUUGUCUUUGAGUUGAUAUCACCAUUUUCACUAUGAACCAUGUAAGUAGGAUGUUAGACAAAGUUACUAAAUUAGGCUUUGUUGUUCUAUAUACUUCACCCAUUUGCAAAAUUCAGACUUUGUUUAUUCUUAGUAUUUCUUAAAUUUUUUUAAGAGUUAAAAAAAAUGAAAUUGAACCAAACGGAGUCAUAAACCACUGGAUUAUAGGAUAUUAGUGUAGUUAUGUUUGUUUCUUGCAAUUCAAGCAACCGUAACAAUCGAUGAAAUUGAGAGUAAGAAGAAGAGAGAAUGAGGAAGGUGGUUAUGGAGAAAGAAAAAAUUUAUUGGGAGCUUGUUUUUUUCAUUGAUUAAUGAAAAUAGAAGAGUACAAUCUAUUUAUAUACACAUAACUUGGAGUACAAAUUAUCAGGUAACUAGCUAACAAAUUUUCAAAAGUUUUUUUCUGUCUUAUGAUUUAGGAUUAAUCACCUAAUACAGGAGUUAAAUAUUUUUUUAAUUGUGAUUAAAUACUAUCACCCGUCACUUCUAAGUUAAUAUCUAUCAUUUUGUAUUUAUGAUAACGAUAAAUACACAAGUAAAUUAGUAAAAACAAUAUAUAUAUAUAUAUAUAUAUAUAUAUAUAUAUAUAUAUAUAUAUAUAUAUAUAUCAUUUAUACAUUUAUCUAAAUUUGUGUUAAAUUAUCAAACAUGCCAUAUACCUCCUCCAUAACAAUGAACUCUAUUACAUUGUGGUCUAAAAUAUAAUAAAAACAUAACUAAGUUUACCAUAUUUAAUGUUAUUAUUCUUAAAAUACUCUUUCAUUAAUUUAUAUUUCAUAUUUUCAAUAGAUAAUUUAUUCUCAUGGAAUAAAGUGCUUGAAAAUAAGGAAAUCACAGUUCAGGACAUCAACCGAACCUUAACUAAAUUUUUGCUCAUUCAACAAUAAGAUUGAUCUCUCGCAACAAAUAUUUCUACAUAUUCACGAAUGAAAUUAAGAAGCUUCAAAUAUCUAUCACUUAUGCCACGUUCAUUUGGUAAGUGUAUUAUCAUUUUUAUUUUUGAAACAACAAAGCAGUGCUUUACACUAUUUCUUUUUCAUUGCUGGCUUGCUGCCAACCAUUGCUUCGUCUCCUUGGCCGGUUGUGGCCUAUGGAGCUCCAAGCCUUAAAAAUACCGAUUGUUGUUUUUGGAUUUUCAAAUUCUAUUUUGAAAAAGAAUAUAUACCGAAGUUGUUACUAGGUUGAGUCACGACCAGAUCGCUCUUUUUAAGACGUUUCGUGACACUGCUCAAAAUUGUGCAAGGCAAACUAUCAACCACGUCGCCUCCAAGAUAAAAUAAGUUCAGCUACAACUACGCGCUUAACUUUUGCAUUAUAGAAGACCGUUUGAGAUUUACAACUACGCGCUUAACUUCAAUAUAGUUCUUUGGUGUGAUUUUGAAUGCGUAUCACACUAUUAAAAAUAAAUCAUUGAUUUAUUAAAAUAACAACUCUUGAUGAUUUCACUCUAUAUACUUCAUCUCUUUAGAAGAUUCAAAUCUAUGUAUAAAUAUAUGUUGCUGCCUUAAAAGAUUAGCACGUGUACGGUAUCACACUUAAAACCGAUAAGCGUGAUCCUCGUGUUCCUUAUAAUAAUUACUUAAGGGUCCCAAUAUUGAAUACAAUAGGGUCAAUUAUGUGAGUGUGGGAGAUUUUAUUUUUGAAGGAGCUUAGAAACAGAUAUAGGAUAUCUUAUAUUAUUCAAUAAGAGUCUCGACAGUGACUACAAAUGUCCGGAUAGUGUGUUGUUGGUGUACAUCAAUAAACAGAAUCGAAAAUGAAAAUGAAAAUUAAUAUUAUCUUCUAUAGAUUUUGGGUUCAAUUCUCACCUAAGGUAAAAUUCAUAAAUUCUAUCCAGAAGUCCUAGCUCAACUGGCAAAAUGCUGAAAUUGUUAGGCCGGAUGCUAUGAUCGGGGUUCGAACCCCGGUACCUCCACUUGUGUGUGUGAGUUUAUAAUGGCUUUACCAUUUCGUCUAUCUACCAAAAAAACAAAAAUAAAAAAUCGUAAAUUCUUCGCAUAAAGAAAGAAAAGAGUGAAAAAGUCAUUGAGUAACACUGCCGUUUGUUGAUUGGGCUGGGUUGUUAGACAUGCUAUCAACACUUUUCGGCGGUUAUGAAGUUAUGAUAUCGUUGGCGGGGUCAGAUCUUGAUCGAACAACAAGUUGUUUGGGCUCUAGUGACAAUGAGUUCCUUUCAUGGACGUACCUGAGGAAUACCGGGUUCGAUUCCCAGGAAGAACAACGUUUGACCAGUGCGCAUGCCUCUACACACGAUCCGGAUUAAUCGUCUACCAUUGAUGGGUCGGAAACCGAUGCGAAAGCCAAAAAAAAAAAAAAAUGAUAUUUAAUUUUUAUUUUACAAUUACAAUUUUUUAAAUAAGAAACUGAGCACCAUAAAUACAAGUCCUUAUAUUUAUGGGUAUACUGUAGUAGUAUAAAUGUGCUGCGUUUUGCUUUAAUAUUUGGAAUGAGUGGUGUCAGAAACCACGAUAAUUAAUUAGUUUUUUUGUUGAGUAUUAUUCAUGGUGAGAUCUACAUUACCUUUUGUUAAAUUAAGAAUAAUUUAUCUAAGAUGACAAGUGGGAUUAGAUUCUACAAAAAGAUGUAAAUCACAUGUUGAAUGAAGAAGUUUGAUGUUAUUGAGAUGAAAAUAGUAACUGAUUGUAAGAAAAAACCAUUUUGGUGAACAUAAAUUAACCAUUGAUAAAUUGGAGGUAAUUUAUCUUUCAUGCGAUUUGAUUAUGGAACGAAUAGAUGAAUAUUACAUGUUGAAUGAAGUAGAUGAAAAAUUUAAUGUUUUUGAGAUAAAAAUCGCAGCUAAUUCAGAAUAAAGAUGAAGAAAAGGAGAUUUUUCUUUGGUAACGGCAAAUAACCCUCGAUUCAUUAAGGAGUAAUGAAGAAACCACCAUGAAUUAUGGACACAAAAGAGAGGCAAGAAAAGAGGAAAUUGAGUAAGCAUUGCAAAGUGAGGCGACAUGUGUGUGGCUCAAACUUGUGUUGGCUAGCCUAAUUGUUUAUUGUCGGGUUGAUUGGUGUAUUGUAAUUUGAGCCGAAGUAAUUUAAUUGCUUAGUGUGCCUUAAUAUGUUUUUUGUUUAACAUUUUUAGGUGAUUUGGGCUUUGGGGGCUCAUCAUAGUUAGGGCUGGCUUUAAGGCUAAAAGAACACUUGGAGAGGUACUUACAAAUCAACCACAAAAAGUUCUAAGAUUGACAAUAAAAGUUGAAUCACAAUUUUAAAGAUGAUACAACUUAUGAAUUGAAUCAACAUCUUAAUAUAUUGUUUUUGUAAUUCAAAGCUGAAAAAAUACAUUUCUUUUCUCAUUCCCUCCAACCAAGUAAACGCAAAGAGAAAUUGAAAAACACAAAUUUUAUUUUCUAUUUUCCCCCUCUUAUAUCAACAAAUUUACUUAUUUUCAUCUCUUUCUCUUUUCUCAAUUUCUUCCCACAAUCAAACACACAAGAUUAUGAAAUUUAGGAAUAAUUCUUAAAAUUACAAAAUUCGUAUCUUUAAAACACUUGUUAAGAUAUCUAAUCAUUGAAAAGAUUGACAAAAUCUACAAAACAAACACAUUUGACCAUGCAGUUUGUCAAAAACAAACAAACUGGCCAAAAAGUAAUUUUUAUUUCUUCAUUUCCAUACACACAAUAAAAAACAAAAGCCUUAUAGAGACUUUGUUUAUCACAUACAUAAUUAAUUACAUGGUUUAUAGCAGAAAUCAGUGAUAUCAUAGCAAGUGCACAGUGGAGAACUCCAUCCACAUUCACAAUUUUUGCAAGCUGAGUGACAUGUUUUUCCAACAUCAGCACAGCGACACUGAGUAAGUUCUGGUGUUACUGAGCAAAGGCAGGUAUUACAGCAUGCUGUGGCUGUUGAUUUGGCAUCAUAAUUAUUAGUAGUAGAAUCACCAUUUGAGAUCACUUGAGUUAUGAAGGAUGUUGAAUCGAAACGAGCAUCAACAACAGUUGAAGUGAAGCCCAAAAGGAAAACCAGCAAAGCUAACUUCAUCACCAUUGCCUUCUUGUUCUUGUUCAUCAACUCCAUUGUUACUAUCUCUUUGUAUCUUUCUUUAAUUUCCUUGUGUGGAGACAUAGCUACAUGGUCUAUUUAUAGACUCGGUCUAAUAUGCAUAACCAAAAUGGUCUUGUACCAUUACAUAAGUACUGUAUUUUUUAUCAUUAGAUUAAUAAAUCAUAUCAUACUUUAUUAAAUUUAUAAAGAAUGAAAUUUAUUGAUGUAAUAGUGAAAACUAGCAUAUACAAAAUGCAAAACUUGUCACACUUAUACACCAUAUAAUAUAUAUAUAAUUCUUUUUUUUCUUCUCUAUCUUCUGUUAUCAUCAAGAGAUGCAUUUAUCACAUGCCUUAAAUUCAUUUUAGGAAUAUAAUAGUGUUUAUAUACGUAAAUAUCCUUAAAAUGAUAUUAACAUAAUGUCACUAAGGGCGACCCUAUGUAUUACACAUUGAGGGCCUUAGCCGUCACUAUCUCUUGGGAAGAAAAUUGAAUUAUAUUUGUAUAUAUUUUUUUUUUUAACUAAUAUACUAUCUUUGUAAUAUCAUAUAUAUAUGCAUAGUCAUCUUUCUAUAAAGUUAGUGUAGACGAGAAAACAUAUUGUGUACUCGUUGAUAUGUUUGUUUUGAGUGUUUUUAGUAGAGUUCCAAAGACGACAAAUCAAUGAUGAAGCUCAUGCUGAGGAGAAGCCAAAAUUUCAGCUAAUCCCUACUUCUUAUUUUUGAUGUACUCAAUUGUAUUAACUCUGUUAUUGUUAAUGAAAUGCUAUCUUUAAUUUGUAACAAUAUAGUUAUUGGAACUUUGCCAUUUUUAGUGAACUUCAGCUUCAAACUUCAUAGGAGAUAGAUUUACAUGGUUUAUAGCAUAAGUUAGUCUGAUCCAUUCAACGAAACUGUGGUGGAAUUGGACUUUUACAAACACAUAAUUUACGAGCUGUAUGGCAUGCAAUUUUCACAAUAUCUUCCCCAAUUUCCUCUGUUCUUUUUCUGCAUGUAACAUGAAGAGGGCCAAGCAAUUACGUACGUAUAAUAGAUUACACGUGGACAAUACGUGGUCCGAUUAAUUACACAUGCAGCAAGACAGAGCUUUAAUUUGCAUUCUAGCAUUACCAUGUCAUAAAUGUGCACGGGACUUCACUCUAAUUUGAACCAGUAAGUCAUCAUUGUCGAUAACAAUAAAUGUUAUCUCAGAUAUGAAGAAGUUGACUCUAUAGCGUGACAAUACUUGUUCACCUUUUUCGGACUGUUGUCGGAGGGUUUUUGACACAUGGAGUGGGUGGUUUAACCAAGAACAAGAGGAAACAAGAUUUUCACCUUUUAUUUCUACAUUUUCCUUUUCACUGGGUUUUUUCAAAAGUCUUUAAUUAACUAGGAAGGUGGUACUUUGGUAGCAAUUUGGAAUCUAAAACCACUUGGAAUGAUGAUAAUACAGAUAUUUGGACUGUUAACAACAUAUUUUAUUUUUGAAUGAGGUGAACCAUAACUCUGCGUUGUUAAAAAAAUUUGAGUGAAAAUUCUGGAUUUUUUGUUUGAAUGCAAGUAGAAGAAAAAAAUUCACUAUUUUUUUUUAAUAUUCUUAAUUUUUAUUUUAUAAAUUGUGAGAUGUUGAUUUGUGUUUAUAUAAAUUUAUUAAGUUUAACACUAAUAUUUAUGUAUUCAGAUAAAUAAUAAGCUUUCUUACAUAUUUAUGGAUUUGUUAAAUAUGAUAGGAUCUCAUCCUAAAAGUUAGCUCAAUUAGUGAGGAUAUUCAAACAUACUCCAUCCGUUCUAAAUUGUAUGAUAUUUUGGGCAUUUCACACAUAUUAAGAAAUGUAAUUAAUAUUGUGUGGGAAAGAGAUAUUAUGAGUUGUUUUACAAAAUUGUCCUCAAUAAAUGAUAUGAGAAAGAUAAAUGAAGGAAUUGAAAUAAGAGAGACUAAUAAAUAGCUAAGGAUACAAUAGGAAAAGUAACAUUAAUUUUUCAUUGGUAUUGUAAAGCGACAUACAAUUUGGGACACAUAUUUUUUUUAAAGCGACAUACAAUUUAGGACGGAGGGAAUAUUUAUACAUUCAACGGUUCGGAAAUUUGAGCUAUAUGAGACUAACAACAAACUAUAAAUAACAUCAAAUCCAACUUCAACAUUCAUCCUCACGCCUAGCGUGUGCCUAACUCCAAAAAAUGAACUUUAAUAGUUUUUUUAGUCCCUAAAAAAAAAUGUACUUCUAAUUUUAGUCCCUAUUAGAACAAAGUUUGUUUAAUUAUCCUUAAACUCUUAAAUUUAUGAACAAUUUUUUUUAAACAAGUUUAGAACAUUAUAUAUGGACGGUUUAUUUACAAAAAUUUAGAAUUUUUUAAUUUGAAACGAAUUAAAUAUGAAUUUUUUAAAACAACAAAAGUUAAAGCUAAAAGCAAUAGAAUCUGGACAUAGAAAUCAAAUUUUGCGAUAAUUUUUUGUGGAGGACCUUUUAUAAUGUUCAUAACAUGUCUACAAGAAAUUGUUCAAAAACUUAAGAGUUUAAGCAUAAAUUAUAUAAAUUUGAAUUGAGCCGAGACUAAUACUGAGUGCAAAUUUUUUUUAGUAAGAACUAAAAGAACCAUUAUAAUUAUGUAAAGACUAAACUUAAAAGGUCUCAAUUUUAUAGGGACUUAAAACAUAUUUAACCAUAUAUAAUAAAACCUAAUGAACACUAACUUAAUAGACUAAACCCAAUACUUUAUUAUCCAUCCGGAUUCAGAUAGCUAAGCUUUGCAACAAAUAGGCAUGGCAAUGGGGGCGGGGUGAGGACGAGUUUUGUCUUCCUCAUCCCCAUCCCUUAGUCUCAUAUACUUUACCUGUUACCCUACUCAUACCCAACGAGGAUGAAAAAUUGAAUUUCAUCCCUGUUCCCAAUAGGUUCGCGUAUUUCAUUGUUAUAACCCAAACUGAUGAACCAGAAGAAAUGGAUGGGCUAAGUGAAGAGGAUGAUCCACCUAUACCUCACUUCAGUCCCAAACGCAAGACAACAAGGCCCAAAUGGUUGAAUGACUACCAUGAGCCCAAGUUGGCUGUCAAGAAGGACUAGGUGGCAUGUAGAAGAAUGUUUCAGAAGAAGUCUAUAUAUUUACAUCCUUAUCUUUAUGUUUUGUCUUUAUCUAGAGGUGACCGUUAGAUUAUAAUGAGUCACCAUCUUAUCUUAAUACAAUGAAAGCGGUCUUGCAGCUACUAGAAUGUAGGGCUAGCUGUCAUCUAGCCUUUAUGUAUUGUUGAAUCAAGGGAAUAGGCAUAAUGAAAUUAAGUAAAAGAAGUAUAGUGUAAGUGUAGUGUGUUUUUCCUCUCUAGCUAUCUUAUUUGCUUUGUUUUCCACAAUAUCAUUUCUUUUAAGAAAUUAUACUCUUACAUUCAGCCUCAUCUCCGUUCCUGUAGUGAAUCAAUUUUUUUUGAUUAAAAAGAGUUUUUUUUUUAAGUUUCAAUGGUAAUAUUGUAAUGCAUUAUGCAAUAAUUUGCGUUGAUUUUAACAUUUUCUUACCGAAUAAUUCGGUUGCUCCUUUAGCCAUCAAUGAAAGUUCUUAUAUCAUGAUAGUUAUCAAACCAAAUAACAUGACAUAUUAUUACCAACCCCCUCAACAAAAACAAAAACAUGACCUUUCUACAUCCGGGUAGGGUUUGGGUACGGGUUUAGGGUGGAUACAUAUAUCCCCGUUACCCGUCUCAUACCCGUAUAUUAUGAAAUCGGGGAAAAUCCAAAACCAUACCCAAACCCUGUCAAAUUGGUGAAAACCCGUCAAAUCGGAGUUGGUUUGGACGGGUACCCAUUGGCACGGGUUUUGUUGUCAUGCAUAGCAACAAAUAGAUAGAAGUAAGUUUUGGUUUGCAAGUGUGAGUUAUAUGUCCCACACCGGAUAAAAUAGUAAAGGUUGAACACCUUAUAAGUAAGACGACCCAUAAAUCCAUUGCCUUAAGGUUUUGGGUAAGAGUGUGGUGUCUCUCUUGCUCGUGUAGUUGCUCUAGUCUUGAUGUGGACGGUCUCCCAGACUCUCCUCACUGACCCAACAGUAAGAUCGUUUUAAGCAAACAAAGGCAACGUACCUUUGAUGGAUUACAACCUUACUUUCAUUUUAAUUUGGGUAUACUGGCUUGUUCAAAAAGUGUGUAACUUAUCAGAUUUUAUAGAGAAAAAUAUACUUAGCAAUAACUUAUAAAUCAUUUCAAAGACAAAAUCAGUAAAGAACCACGAUUUGAUCCUACAGUUUGGCCAAACAGUGAUUUUUAUUUCAUUCAUAAUUUAUUCAUUAUUCCCAUACACAUAAUUAAAAGCAAAGCCUAAGGGACUUUCUCACAUCACAUGCAUGGUUAAUUACAUAGUUAAUUAACUACAUGAUGGAUAGCAGAAGUUAGUGAUAUCAUAGCAACGACACUGUGGAGGAAAAGACCGUGUGCAAAGGCAACUUUUGCAAGCUGAGUGACAUUUUUCUUUAACAUCAGUACACUGACAUUGAGGUGGGAUUGAUCUUGUGCAAGGGCAGAAAUCACAGCAUGCUGUUGUUGUGGAUUUGGUAUUAGCUUCACCAUUGGAGAGCAGUUGAGUGAUGAAGGAUGCCCGAUCGAAACGAGCAUCAACCAUGGUUGAAGUGAAGCUCAAGAGGAAAACCAACAAAGCUAACUUCAUCAUCAUUGCCUUCUUGUUCAUCAUCAACACCAUUAUCACUAUCUUUUUCUCACUUUCUCUCACUCUUACUAUUAUGUAUGUAUGUGUACCUUUUCAGCUAGCUAUAUGUGGGUCUAUUUAUAUACAACGCUGAUGUUUAGACACCAUUUUUUUUUUACAUAUAAUUCAACAGUACAUUUUAACUAUAUGAUAUUUUUUUCUUUCUAUCAUAUUUAUCACAUGAACUUUUUCUCUUUAUUUAAAGGUGUAUAUACCCAUUACAAACAAUUUUCUAUUUACAUAGGUGUUAUUCUAAAGAAAAAUGUUAACUAGUGCUCCAGACGAAACAAACAUAAUAAGAAAUUUUUAAACUUAUAUAAUCAAAUACUUAAAAGUAUUGAAAAUGUUCUUUUUAAUGCAAAACUUUAUUUUAUUAUUUCCAUUUGCAUAGGUACUAUUCCAAAAUAGAUGACUCCCUUAAAAUAAAUAUAUUUACAUGUGCACGCUAUGACACUUGAAAAAAAAAUUAUAGCAUGAUCCGCGUGUCCUAUGUAUACUACCAGUUAUUUCUACCAAAAAACUCUUAAAAAAAAGUUCUACCAAAAAAUUAUAAAAUACUAUAUUUUCUUUUCCCUUAAAAAAUAAAAAAUGAAUUUAUUAAUAACCAAAACCUGCAGAAGAUGAACAAAGACUGGCAAAAUGGAAACAACAAACAAAACGCAUCUUAUAUAGGCGAAACAUCCAAAUGAAAACCUAUACACCUCAAACAUCAAAACACCAAUAAAUACAUCACCCAACGAUGGCUACCCAAAAAACCAAUACUAAACUAACUACCAAAAUCAAAACCAACACCAAAAUCAAAGUCAAACAUCUGUCUGAACGUAUGCCAAAUCAUCAACCUCCAUCAUGAAUGACCACAUAACUAGUUCUAAACAUCUGUCUGCCACUACUCGCAUAGAAACCCCCAAAAAACCAACAACCCGACCAAAAUUCCUUUUAUAAAACUUCACAUUCUCUUUCACAAGUGAGUCCAAAUAAACAUAAAUAAACCGCUUAAGCGAACACUCAUUCAGAUUCCACCAUCAACCGACCACGAUCCACUAGAGAAUACACCAAAACAAAGCCAAAAAAUUAUGCUUGAAAACCGACUACCAAUCUUGAAGCAAAAGUAAUAGGCCCACCAGACUCUAUACAAAAAAAAUCACUAAGACACCCCUUAAAUCCCAACCCAAUGAGGAAGACACCAAAACCUUAAUUUUUUUUUCUUCAAACUGUUGUGAAUUCGUACAAAAUCACACCAAUGAAUAACAAAGAUGUGUGGAGCAAAGGGAAGUGGUAAUCAAUAGAUAAAGUGUCUCCAAGCAACAACAACAAAAACAGACCUAAAUCUAAGUGUAGAGCAACACCACAAGCAUAAUCAAAGCAAUAAAGAUAAGCAAUGAAAGAGAGGAACAAACACACCAAGAUUGUUGACCCAGUUCGGUCCAAUAUGACCUAAUCUAGGGGAGAGAGCAGCUCUCCAAUCCACUAUGAUGAAAGUGUUACAAAAGAGUUACAAGAAAUUAGCUUACAAGCUUACACAAGAACAAGACCUAAUUUCUACCCAUUUUUGUGUCACCCACUCUCACAAUAUGAAUCCUAAGAGAAAACACAAAAGGAAGCUUUUUGAUCCUUCCAAUGUUGAAAUCUCACUACCCAAGGUGUUUACAAUGUUUCCCAACCCUCAAGAGAACCUCACUAUAAAGACACUCAACCCAAAAGUUACCUCCUUUGUAUUCCCAAGUUUCUCUCUCAAAGCUCUCUUCUCAAAAAAUGAAGAAAGAAGCCUUAAAUAGUGUUCAGUACGCAGCAUCGUGCCACGUUUCGACCCAAUCGUGCCAUGAUGGAGCAGGUAUAGUACAGUAGUAUACCUUAUCCACUACAUCGUGCCACGUUCCUCCUGGAUCGUGCCUUGAUUUUUCAGUGACAAAGCCAAACCUGAACCAACCAAUCGUGCCACGUUGCCCUGCAAAUCGUGCCACGAUUCCUCAGUGCUUCCACAUCCAAUUCUUGAGUCAAUUUUCAACACAAACUAGACAAUAAUUCUUGACCUCGAAGCAAAAACAAUCGGCGCCCGAGAAUCCAAGAGACAAAUUCCUAAGGAAGUCAACAGGUGAAGGGGUGGUGCAAACCGAACUAACUGGAAAAAGGUCUCAGCUUGAAAACGACUCAACUUGAAACAACUGGAAUUGGAAACACAAAAAAUCAACCACAAGCCAAUCAUGAAACAAUCUAAAAUCGGCAAUAGCUAGCGGCGACAGAGAUGGACCUAGAUCGGAGGUCAGCACAAGUGGACAACGGAAAAAAAGCAAAAGAACCCAGAAUAAAAAACAACACACAAGCUCCUCAUCAUCAUUACAACCACCACACAAAAAAAAUAAAAUUAACAUUCAUAUAGCACCACCCAACACAAAACAAAAGGUUCGAGUGUAAAAAAAAACCACAAAAUCCGUGCACACCGAAACCGAUAAUAAUUCAAUAACAAAAACUGAGCAAGCAAAAACAAAUCAAGACAAAUCCAGUCCUAAGAGCAACACUUAUCCUUAAAAAUAACCAGCUCCCGCAAACACGAAGAUGCACAAAAAGUUGUGCACAAGACAACCAGCAAUAACAAAAAGUUUUGCACAAGACACAAAAAUCCACAAAAAAUAACCAGCUCUCGCAAACAUACCCGAAACAAAACAACCAUCUCGUAAACCUUUAUCGCAAACACGAAGAUCGAACGACACAGGAGGACCAACCAUUACUAUUGAGAAACUUCAUGCAAACCAACCGAACAAUAGCCACUCAACUUGAAUCUCAUAUCCGGAUUUAGUAUCACUAACCGCGAAGAUCAACUUAAACACCACCGGUCGCCAUAACAUCUCCACACAGCAGCAGAGAACAGUCACGAACAAAACCAAACAACUCAAAUUUCAAGCAUGUAACACAAAUAGAGAGAGAAGACGACCACGUUGGUGGUUAACCACCGUAAGCCAUCAAGAAACAAAGACAACAUACCUUUAUUGGAUUACAACCUUUAUUUCAUUUUAAUUUGGGUAUACUGGCUUGUUCAAAAAGUGUGUAACUUAUAAGAUUUCAUAAAAAAAAAUAAAAAAUAAAAAAUAAAAAAAAAAAAAAAAACUUAACAAUAAAUUAAAUUAGAUAAUCAACUAAAUAAUUUCAAAGACAAUAGCAGUUAAAGAAACACAACUUGACCCUACAGUUUGUCAAAAACAAACUGCAUAUAUGGCCAAACAGUAAUUUUUAUUUCAUUCAUUCAUAGUUUAUUCAUGAUUUCCAUACACAUAAUUAAAAACAAAGCCAAAGGGACUUUGUCACAUCACAUGCAUGGUUACAUAGUUAAUUAAUCACAUUGAUAGCAGAAGGUAGUGACAUCAUGGCAACGGCACUGUGGAGGAAUAAACUUUGUGCAAACGCAAUCUAAGCAACCUGGUGAGUUACAUUUUUCUCUAACAUCAGUACACCACACAUGCUUGUGGGAAUGAUCUUGUGCAUUGGCAGCUAUUACAGCAUCCUGUUGUUGUGGAUUUGACAUCGUAAGCAGCUUCACCAUUUGAGAUUACUUGAGUUAUGAAGGAUGUUGGAUCGAAACGAGCAUCAACAACAGUUGAAGUGAAGCCCAAAAGAAAAACCAAUAAAGCUAACUUCAUCAUCUCACCACCAUUAUCACUAUCUCUUUCUCACUUGCUCCCUCGUAGUAAGUACUAUUUAUGGAUAUCUUUCUUUGCAGCUAGCCACAUGAGUCGAGACAACUACUACUUUUAAUUUCUACCGAAAAAAUGUAGAGCAAUGAUAUUUGUACAUUCAUUCCAUGACAACUUUAGUGACAAUCUUGUUUUUCUCUCUUUUUAUUGAUCAAAAACAAUGGAGAGAGAAAAAGAAAGAGAGAGGAUAAGAUCAUCAUAUGAGUAUGAGAGAGAAAGUUAUACAAAAGUUGUCACAAAUUGAUUGUACAAAUAUCAUUUCUCAAAAAUGUAUAAUACUAAUAUUUUCCUUCUCCUGCGUUCCGUUUUUGUGUUCUUAAUUUUAGGUAAAAUCACAUCACGGGUCGUUUAUUGUCAAAGAAUGACAAAAUAAUAAAAUAUAAUUAAGUUAAUGAUACAAUUAUAUCACGGGCAGUUUAUUGUCAAAGAACAGCAAAGUAAGGAAGAACCCGCGAGAUGCAAAAGAAAUGACGACAUAAGAGGGUUGUGAUGGUGGCCUGUGGCGGAGAAUGGCGAGGAGAGCCUUUGUGUUUCUAUGUUUUUUUUUUUAUUUUGUUCAUUUUUUUGUGGACUAGGGAAGAGAGAACAAAGAUAAGGUUUUGAUAAGGAAUUUAAGGAGAGAGAAAGAAAAAAAAAUUAAAACAAAAUGUCACAUAGGUGUAUAGGUUGUUGACACACACCGUAUAUUCCUACGGUUAAGGGUAUACAAGUCAAGUUUUUUUAAUCAUUCUUUACAAUCUUGGAAAGCGUGUCAUCCUUAAUUGCUCAAUGGAAAAUGAUGAGUGUUAUUUGAACAACCAAUUUGGUGACAACUUAUUUGACAAUUAUAUUUUACAAAGAAAAAAGUGGUAUUGGCACGGAAACCAUAACAAUAGAGAGAUAAAGUAAAAAGUAAUGUGAGUAUGAGAGAGAAAGUUGUUGUAAAAGUUGUUACUAAAUGGAUGUUCAAAUAUCAUUUCUCAUGGAAAAAAUACGGUGUGUGGAAAGUUGUUGGUUUUUGGUUGUUAAAAUAAGGCUUAAUUGCACUUUUUGCCCCCUAUCUUUUCAAAAGUUGCGAUUUUGGCCCCCUAACUAAUUAAAAUACAAAACAACCCCCUAUGUAUUGGAUCUUUGCUAGUUUUGGCCCCCAAGGCCACUUUUGACCCCCUAUCUUUCCACUUUGGGGGCCAAAACUGCCAAAGAUCCAAUACAUAUGGGGUUGUUUUGUAUUUUAAUUAGUUAGAGGGCUAAAAUCGCAACUUUUGAAAAGAUAGAAGGUCAAAAGUGCAAUUAAGCCUUAAAAUAAUAGUGCUCGGUGUAUAUAUGGCUGUUUUGGACAAAAUGGAUGUUCAUAAUUGAUUUUGGAGGUGUAGAAUUGAUCCUGACAUGUUUAAUUGUUGUUGAGUAUGAUUGAUUCUGUCUUUAGAGUUGUUCUACUUAAAACUAGGAUCUGUAGCUUUUGAUUUUGAAAUUGAUUUUCAAACAUAAAUCUAAAUCAAUUCUAUCAAAAUUAACUGUUCCAACAGCACAACCAAACACAGACUUCGUUGAAGAAGUUGAUUCAUCUACGUAUAUACAGCGAGUUAAACUUCAGCUGUAAAACUCGUUAGACCUCUUGUCACUUAUAAAACUUAGUAAACAUGUUAAAACACACAAAUAUCCCCAAAAGGGAGAUGGAUUGAGCUUACUACCCUAAGUGCGGAGACACAAAGAUCAAGACAAACCCAAAACCUCGUUCAAAACCAUCCUAACCCAUCUCCUCCUUAACUAACUACAGUCUUAACAUACAACCUUAAUUCAGAUUAAUUUUUUAAGUUAUAUGUGAUAAGAAACAAACUUCUCCAACUCAGCAACUCAAAAAAGUUGAAUAUCAUUAAAUUUCAAUUUUUUUUUACUUAUUUAAUCAUAAUUAUUAAACUUUUGACAUGUUAAUUAAUUAAAUUAUAAACUAUAAAAGAUUAUACUAGUUAAUAGAAAAAUUAAUAUUGCCAAUUUAUUCCAUCAAUCAAUAUUUAUUGAUUUGAGUUUGUACAUUUAUUACAAGAGUAGAUGUAAUCUUCGCAACGGCAUGUAGGAGGCAACCCUGAGUCACAAACGCAAUUAUCGCAACCUGGGUGACAAGAUCGUCCUGUAGCAUCAUUACAACGACAUGGAGGAAAAGUCAAACUUGAGCACUCACAGUCAUUACAGCACCCUUCGUUAUUUUGCUCUUGAGUGAUGAAGGUUGUUGGAUCCAAACCAGCAUCAACUACAAUUGCAAUGAAACCUAAGAGGAAAAGCAAGAAAGAUAACUUCAUUAUUGCUCUCGAUAAUUCUUUAUGACACUUGCAAAGAGGCAAGCAACUACAUGGGUCUAUUUAUAUAGAGUGCAUUUUAUUUAAUUAUUUAAAUUAAAUAUUCACAAUAUAUGAAAACCCAAAAGAUUUAUUUUAAAUAAUAUUUUUAAUAAGAGUCAAUCAUGGUGGUCAAUAGUGAUUAAUACGGUAUUAAACUUUUGAUUAUUUUUUGAAGAAAAAAAUCUAAAUAUUAAUUAAAGGAUUAAACAUGUUUUUGGUCCUUAUAAAUAUAAUAACUUUUUGUUUUAUCUCCUCUAAAAUUUUCCUUCAACUUUUAAUUCCUAUAAAAUUUUCAACCAACACUUUUUGAUCGUACCUGAUCAGAAGGUGACUGCGGGUGCUUUAAAUGUGGUGGUUUGAGGGGUGGUGAAAUGCGCCAAAAUGCUUCUUGGAGCGGAUGGGGGCUGUGUACCUGCAGAGACUCCGACGCUCAAGUAAGUAGAGAUCAGAGAGUGAGGGUUUAGAGGAAGAGAUAGAUUCUACCUUGGGGACUGCUAUGAGUCCCCUAUUUAUAGAGGUGGACGGCUGCAGAGCCGUUGUAAUGACACACCUGACUCUAGAAGUUACGAAAUCGUGGGAAGUGUAACUGCUAGAGAGUUUAUUGCGGGAACGUGCAGAGAGACGUUGUGGUUCGUUUGAACCAGUCUCGUUCGCUCCGUGCACCCCCUUGUGGGAAAGGGGUGUGUCACAAGUAACUUUGCCAAACGUGGUGUUUGGGCUUUGGGUUGUAUUGGGCCUAAAUAAAUGGGUCAAAUGUCGUUUGGCCGGUCCAGAACACUUUUGGUCCCUACUUUUAAGUAAAUUUUUGUAUUUUUUAAUGAAAUUGUGCAGAAAUGUAUAGAAUAUUGUAAAAAUCACUCAAAAAAAUUAGAAUUUUUUAACAAAACAAAUUAAAUAUGAAUUUUUUACCGCAAAAAAUAUAAAAAUUCAUAUUUAAUUCAUUUUUCGGUAAAAAAAUUCUAUUUUUUUUUGGACAGGUCCUUAAAAUAUUAUAAAUUUUUUUGAAAUUUUUUAUUCAAAAAUAUGAAUUAUACAUAUUAGUUUACUUUAAAAUUGCGACCAAAGUGAAGAUGAAGAAAUUUUUUAGAGGGACUAAAAUGAAAAGUUGAUAUAUUUAUAGGGACCAAAAACAUAUUUAACCCUUAAUUAAAUGAUAUAAUAUAUAUAAAAUGUAGGGGGAUGAUUAGCUCAUUUGAUUGAACUUAAAAUUUAAAGGAGGUAAGGAGUAAAGUUUCAGGUUCGAAUUUUGACAAGAGAAAAAUAUAUAAAAAAAAAUUAAAAUGUAAAAAAGUCAGAAAAGGUGAUGGACGAACACAAACAUGGUUUUAGUUCAAUGCCCCGAAGCGUGAAUCACCCAUCGCGAGCUGGGGGUUCUACCUUACAUGUCGAGCGGUGAUGUAGUAGUUGAGAGCUAACAUACCGAGAAGUUAAUGAUUAUGUUGUUUAGAUUUCAUUUAUCCUUUAACUCUUUUUGGAUUGAUGGAACAGAACGGGGUGGAACGGAAUUGAAUAGAAUGGAAUGAAGUGGAAUGGAAGGGAAUGUAACAGAGUUUCCAUUCCAUUGUUUGAAAAACACAUGGAAUGGAACAAGUUAUGACUUAUUUAAUUCGAUUUUUUACCCUUAUUUAAAAAAAACUAUUGUUAUUAAAUAAAACAUAUUAUUACCAAAAUCACAUCACCUUAAAGUUAUUACUAAACGUGUAUACAUAUGAUUUUUUUUUUGUUAUAAUCAACAAAAGAAGCGAUUGAAAUUAAUUUCAGACACUCAAGAAAAGAAUGCAACAUUCUGUCCAAAAAAGGAAGAAAACAAAUAAACAACGUGAUAUUCAGUUCAACGUGUCUUUUUUUUUAUUAUUUUUUUUUAUGGUGUUUAGGGUUCGAACCCCAGACCUUUUGUAUAUUUUAUGCAUUGUUUUUACCAACUGAACUAAGCUCACGUGAACUCAGUUCAAUGUGUCUUACGAAGCAUACAAAUUUUGAAUACAAUAUUGCUGGAAAACAGAAUGAUCAUAGAGGGAAUAGACUAAAAAAGGCAUAAGCUCUCAACGAGAAGACAAAUGUUUAAAAUUAAAAUAUGUAUACACACUGAAAUGUUUUAAUUGAAAAAACUUCAAGUAGAGUGCAUUUGAGAGAAGGAAACAAAAUAAUGAUAAAACGAAAAUAGAGGUAAAAUGGUAAUAUUUAAAUUAUAAAGUUUCAUUCCAUUACAUACAACCUGAAUUGAGGGAAUGAAAAAUUGAACGGUUGGAUGGUAUGCGAUAAAAUGUGUUCCAUUAUGUUCCCUAACCUCCAUUAAGUAUUUGUAAAUCUAAACAAUGGAAUAUAAUAAAAUUUUUUUUUGAAUAAGUUAAAAUGGAAUAUAUUAUUGAACACCUGAAGAUUUUAGCAUAAGGAGUGCCAAAAACUCAGCUGAAAGAGUAUCAAAUACAAUAAAAAAAAAAUACGGGAAACAAAAACAGGAAAAACCAACAAAGAGAGCUACCCUAUGGAAUAUAAUAACUUACCACUCAAUUUCAUUUCAUUUCAUCACUUACCACCAAUCCAAAUAUAGCCUUAAUGAUUUUAGAUUUUUUUAAGAAUAUUUUACACAUUUUUACACAAUUUCAUUAAAAAAAUAUAAAAAUUAAAUUAAAAAUAGGGAGCAAAAGUAUUGAUUGAAAAUUUCAUUGGAAAAUUUUAAAGGAGCCAAAACGAGGUAUAUUUAUAACACCAAAAACUUACUAGUUUGGAGAUGUCGUGGAGGCACUACUACAAAAUAUACAUUUAAAAUCAAGGGGGUUUAGUUUUCACUUUGACCUUAUCCCUUCCUCCCUCUAUCGUAAAACAUAUCCAGCCAAUCGUAAAACAAGUUUUGCAAGCUCACCGUCAAAAAACAAAUUUUCACUCUCAAUAAAAAAACAAUCGAACCUCUCUCUCUCUCUCUCUCUCUCUCUUUUGAGAAUUUUCUCUCUCACCGUUGCUGCUCAAGCUCUCUCUCCGGUGAGUUCUCUCUCUCACCGUCGCUGCUCAAGCUCUCCGGUGGAUUGUUUGGGUCUUGGCUAACUCUUGAUUGACUUUGUAUAUCUGUAAUUUUUUAGUGUCCCCUUGGUACACCUUGUACUAGGGAGAGUCCUUGGUUUCUUAAUAUAAGUUCCAUUUUUUAUUGUUAAAAAAAAAAACAUUCUUAUAAUCAAAUUUGUUUAAUUUUGAUGCUUAUGAGAGAAGGAAAGAGGUGUGAUUGCCCCCAAACACAUUGUCAGACCACGCCUAGAACUGAACAUCUGGAGCGUUAAUAUAAAUGGUGUGUGGAAAAAUAAAAAAUGUAUUGAAUAGAUCACAAUAAUAAUUCUAUAUCAUUAAAUUUCAAUAAAAAAUAUUUAUCAAAUUAAAUCAUAAUUAUUAAAAUUUUGAAAUGUUAAGUUAAUUAAAUUAUAAGCUAUAAAAAAUUGUAAUAGUUUUUUUCAAUAUUUUUAAUAAUUCAAAAAAUAAUUAAAAAUAUAAAAAUAAUAUUGUCAAUUUACUCCAUCCAUCAAUCAAUAUUUAUUGAUUUGCAUUUCGUUUGCUUUGGUUCUUAAUUAGCUCCAUCUUUGGAGUUUGUACAUUUAUUGCAAGAGAAGAAGUAAUCAUUGCAAUGACAUGUUGGACCUGUUUCACAAGCGCAAUUAUCGCAGCCAGGGUUACAUUCUCGUUUUGAAUCAUUACAAGUACAGGGAGGAAAAGUCGAACUUGAGCAUGAACAAUCAUCACAGCACACUUCGUUUAACAAUUUGAAAUCAACACCAUUGAGGGUUGUUGGACUUGGAUCCAAACGAGCAUCAACCAUAGUUGCAAUGAAGCCUAAGAAAAGCAACAAAGAUAUCUUCAUCAUUGCAUGCAGCUUGUUCAACUGCAUUAUUACUCUCAAUAUUUCUUUAUCACACUUGCAAGAGACAGGCAACUACAUGGGUCUAUUUAUAUAGAGGGAAAUAUUAUUUAAAUAUUCCCUCAUGUCAUUAUUACAAGCAAAAAUCAACUUUUUAGGUUCAUUUAUUAAAUAAUGUAUUUGGUCAAUAAUAUGGAUCAAAUACAUCAUUUAAAGAAUGAACAUAAAAAGUUGAUUUUUGCUUAUUAAAUAUAUGUUAAAAACUAAAAGAAAAAAAUGGUUAUUUUUAAGUGAUAGUCAACCAUGGUGGUCAAUGGUGUUUAAUAUGGUACUAAAAAAAAGAUGUUUACCAAAACAAAUUAAUAUAUUUAAUAGAUGGAUUUGAGGUUUUCUAUGAAAUAUUUUGACUUCUUUAAAAAAAAAAUGGAUUGAUUGGAUAUGCAUCAUUUGAAAAUAUAACAGUAGAUCAAUUGAAUUUUUUUAAAGAAUAUUUAGUUGGUAAAUGUUAAUAUGUUAUUUAUUAUUGCUAGUUUUACCAUUGUCAAGAUUUGAAACCUGCACUUUUAACUUCUCAACUCCUUUAAUCAUGGCUUAAAUGCUCUUUUGGUCAUUUAAGUAUUUAUUUGGUAUUGCUUUGAUCCCUUAAAUAAAAAAAAUAUUGUUUAAGUACUUUAAGUAUUUUUAGUCUCGUUUUGGUCCUUUCUGUUAGGUUUUCGUUAGGUUUUAAAAAAAAAAGUUAACUCCUGGACACCUGUCACCUUGUCAUUGGCUCUGAGUUUUUUUUUUUUAAAUAUAUAUAUUUUUUUUUAGGGACCAAAGGAGCAUUUAAGCCUUUAAUCAUUUAGUUCAAAUCAGUUGAUCUAACAUCCAACACAUCUAUUUUGUCAUCUCUACUUGAAAUCCCCCAACACUCACUACUUUUUUUUUAGGGGUAUUGCUACUUUUAUGGAUUUACACAUGUUAAUUUCUUCAGAUUUUAUUUGUGUGGUGUAUUUUUUUUAUGGGUUAAUAUAAUAUGCACCUCUAAGAAAACAAUUAUAAUAAAAUGGAGAGGUCAAACAAUACUCCCAAUCUAAUCUAAUAUGAUAAAAGUCAGUAUUAUAUAGAUUUAAUUUAUAUAUGAGACAUUCCCAAUAGGGUUGAAUUCACACCAAUGUACCAAAAUGAUUUAAAUCUGAAUUCAUCCUCACUCUUUAUAGAAACCUGACCCAGAAUUAAGAACUUACUUAUGUUAUUAAUUAAUCCAGUUUAGAAUAAGCUAGGUUUAAAUUAGAUGUCAAAACAAUAUUAUAGAAUUGUUGUAAAUACUUGAAGAAGAGGAACAAAACUCUCCACAACACAGUGACUUAGCAAAAGGAGGAACAUAACUCUACUUAAUAUGACAAGAUGCAUGCUCAAACUGAAAGGAACACCAACACUUAAUAAUUGUAGUGCAUUAUUCUUCAUAAUCAACCCUUUUGCACAAGUUUCCCAACACUUAAUAGUUUGCAUCACAUUCUAAGAACAUACAAUACUUCUUCUAUUACAACUAUCUUGUCAUAGUUUCUUUCAAUAAAAAUCUUUCUCAUUCCUUCUGUUGGUAUAUGCUAGCUUCACCUUUGUCAUUUUGUUUGUAUUAAACUCUUUCAGCCAUUCUUUAUUGUUUGACAUGUAGUUAGAACAAUCAAUAUCUAAAAACCAUCUUUCUGAUUACAACUUUUAUUACUGGUUGUCAUCAUCAAAAGUCAAAACAACCGGAUUUGAGCAUGAGUCUUCUUGAGCCUUUUUUACCAUCUUUCUUGGUAAUUUGGACUUGUAAGGCUUGUUGAACUAAUAUUUUGGUUCCUCUUAUCAUUUCUUCUAUCUUCAUUGUUGUUACAUCCUUUGAUUCUUGAAUUACAACAACUAUGAAAUCAAACUUUGAAGUUAAGGUCCUAGUUACCUUUUCAAUCACUUAUUGAUCAGUAACAACAUCACUACAUGCUUUCAUUUGAUUCACCAUAGUGAUCAAUCUUGAGAAAUAAUAAGCUAUCUUUUGAUCUUCCUCCAUAUCCUUUCUUCUUAAAGAUUGAAGCUUGACCUACUUUACUUUGUCUACACCUUCAUGAUACUUCUCUACUAUGUUCCAAGCUUCCUUGUAUCUUGUCACCUUUGAGAUUUUCUCAAAAAUGUUUGUAUCAACACCUUACUAAAUAUAGAAUAACACUUUACAAUCUUUCUUCUUUGCAUAUUUUAAGUUUGUUCUUUGAUCCUCUAUUUGAUUUGCACCAAGUUUUUCGUAUCCAUUUUGCAUAAUUUCUAGCACUUCUUAUGCUCCAACGGUCUUCAUCAAUGGGCUCCAUCUUUCCCAAUUACUUCCAUCAAGAAUAGAAAAAUUUGCACCAAAAUUGCUUUUCCAUUCAUGAUUUCUUGCAAGAAACUAUAUGGGAUCACUCAACCUAAAUUAUGUUUCCUAGAAUCGUUUUCCCCUCACAAUCUCUCGUGUUUCCUGAUAAAAAAACCAAAGGCUCCGGAUGCCAAUUUGUUAACACACCAUUUUCUUAAUUCUCAAGUAAUGAGUUAAUUUAGAGAAAUUGAGUGAGAAGAGAAAGUUGCACUAUGGAUUGUAGUUCUGGUAAAUUUUCAUCGAGUGAAUGAAAUGAACAUUACAACCUUUUAUAGUUAUGUUGGAUAUAGGAUAUCAUUUUCAUCGAGGCCAAACAUUAACGUAUAUCUUUUUCUUUACAGGUAUGUAGGAUAUCAUUUUCCUCUCUACUUUUAUUAAAAUUUAGAUUAGAUGUGGGCACAUCUAAAUUUUAAGCUUGAAUUUUACAUUUAAAACCAAUUAAAAUCUGAACUAUCCGAUCGUGAGUGAACGGUCCAGAUAUACUGACAACAUGCGGUUGGACUAGAAUCCAAAUUCGUGGGCCCGAGAGUUCAAAAAAUAAUACAUCUUAUUUGAGUAGCGAUAGCGAUAGCGAUAACUAGGAUGGAAAUAGGCUAGAUCGUUAGCCCCGGACCAACGACCUAGCCUACGCCAGGUCAGACUUUUUCUUAAAUAGGAAAGGCCUAUACUUUUAGGCUUUUUAGCUUUAAAUAGGUUUUUUAGAAGUCUAUUUAGCUUUAAAGGUCAUGCCACAAACUAUUAGAAAAGCCUUUUAGGCCUAUUUGGCCGGCCUAGUUAUGUAAAUAUGAAUAAUAUUAUUGAUUAUUAUAUUAUAUACUCUACUUUGAAUUAAAUUUAUGAACUUAUCAGCCUUUAAAGUAAUUUAAGUUUAUUAUAGUUUACAUUAUCUAUCGCAUAUUUAAAUGUAUUAUUAUAUAUUAGACUCGAAAUAUGAUAUAAUAUAUAGUAAAGUUCUCUAAAAUUUCAUGUUAAAUAUUGAAAUAUCGAAAGAGAGUUUAAUAUCGUCGAUUUAUUAGCUCGCUAGUCUAUUUAACUUGGGAUCACGUUACUUAUUUAAAUAUAUGUUCAUAUGAAAUAGGCUUUUAAACAUACUAGCAGACAUAAUGAGGCUUUCAUAAGGUCAGACUCAGACCUAAAAAGUAAGUUUAUGCCAUAUCGCAAGCUAUGCUUAACCCUUACAAAUAUUUGACAGGUCAGACUCAAAGCCUAACUCAGCCUAAUCUAUUUCCAUCCCUAACUAUAAUGAUCUUAUCCCAUACGUGUUCUCAUGGUGAAUAAAAAAGCAGGAAGUCUCGUGUACAUGAUAAGAUUUGGACACAUUAUUAAUGUACACUAAAAAGUGAAAUCAUAGAAAGAAAGAAAAAAAAUUAAAUGAUGUGUUUUAUUACAACAAUUAAAUGUAUAAUUUUGUGUAUAUGCACAAAUACGUUUUCGUUUGAGAUCCUGACCAAUCAAGUAUUUUUUGUACAAAGUGGUCCUUAUAGUGUAUUGUAUGUCUUGUUGGCGAAUCACAUUAAUCAGCAGGAGGGCUCUCUUAAUAAAUUCAUAGGCUCGGUUUUAAUUUUAUAAGAGAAGCAAAAAAAAAAAAAAAAUUGGGCCCCAAAGAAAAUAUAUUAAAAAUCACACUUUGGUGAGUAUACCUCACACUCAACAAAAAAUGGCCACGCCACUAAAGCAAGUUGUACAAAUUAAAAUAAUUUGCUUUUAAUAGAUAUAUAAUCAUUAUUUUCGUGUCUUACAUAUAAAAAAUAUAUAUUUUAGAUUCCAAAAAAUUGGAGGCCCGGUGUCAUCGCCCAGCUUCGACGGCUAUGGGCCGGCCCUGAUCAGCAGGCCAUACGGUCCAUAACUCUGUUAACAAAAAUUGGGUGAAAUUAUUUGAUUUUGUUUGAAUGCAACAAGAGGAAAAUUUUCAGCCAAAUAAAUAGUUUUGUUGUGAGAUGUAGAUUUGGGAUUAUAUAAUUCAUUAAGUUUAACACCAAUAAUUUUAGAUUCAGAUAGUUAUGAAUUUGUGAACAUUGUAAUUGAAGUUUUCCAGCUUAAUGAUUGCAGCAAUACUGUGUCCCCAUCCGAAAAUAAUUCAUAGAUAAUCAAAUAAUAGAGAGAGAAAUCAACAGCGUCAGUGGGCAGUGGCGAAGCCAUGUUUGUUCAUGUGGGUCAGAGUCCAUCCCAUCAAAAUAAUUUAAAUUUAUUAUAGGAAAAAUUACUAUAAUAUUCUUCGUUUGAAAUAAAGUUACACUGGGGUUCACUCUCUUCCCCAUCUCGAAAUACAUUAUAAUCACAUUUUUAGAUGAGUCUAAACGCGUAGAUUAUUAAUUUAAAUUUUUAAAUAUGUAGUUUAAUUUUAUUUUUUUGACACAUGUAGUUUAAUUUUAUUUUUUAAUGAUUAACUUGUUGGGAAGUUCGGGAGAAACAACAGGUUCAAUGCUCCAAGACCAUUAGAGAGGAAUUUUCACAUCUCCCCCUAAAAUUUAAGUUAUUAGGUAAAUGAGUCACCACUUUUAUAUAUCCAAUAUUUUUACCAAUCACAUGUGAUGUGACACUACUUAACUUUUAAUAGUUGAAACCCAACAAUCUCUCUCGGAAAUGUGAGCUUCACCUUCUAUAUCAGGAUCCAACGCAAAAUUCACUUCCGCUCUCCCACCAAAUUGAACCAGAGCUCAUAUCUCAUUCGUUCGGGAGUUCGGAGGUCGCGGAGAAAUAACCGACCAAAGGAUAUCCAAGAUCACAAGAGAGUGAUGUCACAUCUCCACCAAAAACCUUAAUGCAUUAGAUUAAUAAGAUCACUUCUCUUAUAUAUCUAUUAUUUUUUCAAAUCAUAGAUGUUGUGAUACUUAACCACUUACACUUAAAACUCAACACAACUUUGUGUUUUAUGCUUAUAAAAUCAUAAAUCUUGUGUUUGCCUAUAGAAAAAUUCUAUGUGAAGUCACAUGAAUGACUUUUCUGGUGAAGUUAACACUGUAGUAUCAAAAGUGUUGUGAGUAACACUCCACUGUUUGUACAAUGACAUCAAAAGUUCAGUCCUCAUAGUAUCAUCAAUUCAUCAAACUAACAAGAAUACACUUAAUCUAAUUUUAUCCUACCUUGUUUUAAGUGUUACACUUAAGACUAUCACAUAAUAUCAUCAACUCUGUUUGCAUGUUAAAAUGCCAACGAUAAAAUAGUAUCUGUAAGUCCAAGAUGUUGCAAGCAUUACUAGAUGAAUUACUAUUGAUCAUGAAUCAGUAAUCAACAAUUUAAAAAUGAAUCAAACAUUAAGAUUAAAAUUAACUUUUUCAAAAAAGUCAGUUUUCUGACUGCAUCGUAGAAGCUCCCCGGUCUAUGUAUAGUUUAUUUUGGUAUAGUUCAUAUACCUCUUAUGGAUUGCAAGCAUACUUUCAUUUUUAAAUGGGAUAUAUUGGCUCAUUCAAAAAGUGUGUUACUUAUAUGAUUUCAUCAAACUACUUUGCAAUAAUCUGAAUUAGAGAAUAAUCUAAAUCAUUAACAGGCAAAAAAACGUAAAAACAAACAGUAACUUUUAUUCCAUUCAUAAUUUCUUUUUAAGAAGCAUUAAUAAAUUUUUAUUCAUUUCCAUACACACGAUUUAUUAAAAACAAAGCGAGCCUAAGAAACAUUGUCUCAUCACAUGCAUUGUUACAUACUUUUCAGCUUACUUAAUUACAUUUUUUGUGACAGAAGCGAGAUUGAAAUAAAUCAUCGCAAUAGCACUGUGGAGGAGAAGAGCCUGGGCAAAUGCAACUUCUGCAACCUGAGCGACAUGUUUCAACAACAUCAACACAACGACACAUAGAAGGGAUUGUUUUUGUGCAAAUGCACUUAUUACAACAUGUUAUGGCUGUGAAUUUGACAGUGUAAUUAGUAGCAUCACCAUUAGAGACAACUUGAGCUAUGAAGGAUGUUGGAUCGAAACGAGCAUCGACAGUCGCCGUGAAACUUAACAGGAAAACCAAGAAAGCUAAGCUUAUCAUUGUUGCCUUCUUCUUCAUCAACUCCAUUCUUGCUCUCGAAUUUCACAAUUGCUCUCUUUCUACUUAGUAUUAUUAUGUGUCUUUAUUACUUUGCUUUGUGAAGAAGCAUAUGCAGCUACAUGGGGUCUAUUUAUAUAAAAAAGUGUCGGUUUCCGUUUCCUUUCUAUUUUAUUGUCAAAAUUGGAAUUAUUAAGUAGGGAUUGAUCUUGUUGCUUUAUUAAGAAUUAGAAAGGAAAAUGUUUAAGAAUGUUCUUAGAGCGUUAUAUAUUUUCCUUUCCUUGAUUUUUUAUUAUUUGUAGCUGACACUAGUUGUUUUAAUAGAGAAACUUCACCUUCUCUAAGUUAAGGGAGAGAGAAAGGUGGUUUUAGGUCAAUUUUUUUUUGCCUAGAAUCACCUCCCUUUUCUCCUUUUUUUUUUAAUCUAAGUAAGUGGUUUUCAAGUUUGUGGAAAAAAAAAGUGGUUUCCACAUAAAUCGAGUUUUUCCUAGUGUUUUUUUCUUUGUUCGUUGUCUAAGGCAUUAUGUUGUUUGUAGUCUUAUGGAGCGUUAUUUUUUUUUGUCUUUUUACAAGGUUCAUUUAAUUCUUAUUGAAUAAUUGACUUUAAUCAAUUGCCAAUUCAUUCAAUAAUUUGGUUGUCAAAGUUACAAAUCUGAAAGCAUGAAUAUUUAAGUGAUUAUCGGUCGUUUAGCAACACUUCUAAAGUGUUACAAAUUGAUUUCUCACUUGUGCUGCAAUGAAGAAACAUUUCACUAAUUCCAAUUAGUCUCUUAGCAAUGAAAUUUUUCAUGAAUUGCUUUUUUAUCCACCAACUCUUUGUCUUUUCCUCUAUUUAUUCUAUUUCUCUUGAUAUUACCUAUUUAUGGGAAAAUAAGGAAAAAGUAGUAAAAUACUCCUAAAAAUACUAAUUUAUUUAACAAAAUAUAGUAAUAAAAUAUGCAAAUAAUAAUGUUAUCAAACUUCCUCAUGCUCGAACCAUUGCAUGCCCUCGAACAAUUAGUGAUGCAGGAGGGUUUUAUUAGUAAUUUAGUAGUAUUUUAUUAUUUCAUUUUGUUUUAUUUCGGUCUAGAACCUUCUUUUAAUAUUUCGGCCCACAGAUUUGUCAUUUCUUUUCCUAUUUAAACAGAACAUUAUGUAACCUAAGAGGUAACUAUUCAAUAAAAUUAUUUAAGAUUUUUUCUUAAUUUCUGGUGGAUUCAAGAACGUAGCUUGCAAACUUUUUCUUUUCAAUCUAGGUUUAGCGCUUGCUAACCCUACGCUUCCGUAGUGAGUCAAUUAUCUUAGGUAUAAACAAUUUUAAGAUAAGCAUUACAUUAUGGACUAAAGAAGUAAUGUUCAAUUGCAUGCAUUAGUAAAGAAAAUAAAUACUAAUUAACCCUUGACAUAAGAAUACAAUCGAACCACCGUUGUUUUUUUUAUCAUUUUUUUCUGAAAGAUGUAGAUGAUUUAGAAAGGAUGACAUUUCUCUAUUGAAACUUCAUUCCAUUAAACCACUUCUCACACAUUAGAAUGAACAGAGAUGGUGAUUUUUUCCAGUAAGGGGAUAAACAUGUGGAAAUGAUUUCCAAUAUUCAAAACAUGAUUGAUUAGAAAUAUUAGAUAAUGGAUAAUGCAGAUCGUUAAUGCUCUAAACGGCUUAGAUGAAGUAAUUUUAACUUUAGAUGAGCAGUUCAUUAUCACUAAACGAUGGAACAUGUUACCACAAUACACUAUGAGUUUGUUAUUUGAACAAACUACACUAAUUCGAUGCAAUUUUAUUAGGACAAUUAUGUUACAUUGAACUUGUACUCUUCCCUUCAAAUUCCAAUGUCAUAUAUUAUGUUUACAUUGAUACAAAUCUUCACUUCAUUAUUUCUAAUAUUUUUCUCUCUGUCUUACUAACCUCUCUUUUAGAUAAUAUAAAGUUAAUAAAUUUAUAUGAAAAAAUUAUAGAAACUAAUAAAUCUAGUAGUAGUGUUAAAAGGAACAUAUUGUUAUAAAUAUUAAUAUUGGAUGUCCAAAUAGCAAAUGUGUUAGUGGGUCAUACUACUAGGUUAUUGGGCUUAGUUCAUAAGCUACUCUAUUUCCCUAUAAAUAGAGCUCAUUUGUAACAUUGAUACACACAUUAGUGAAUAAGAAUACUGCUUCUAUUCUUUCUUCUUCUCCUUCUCUCUAUUACUCUUUCUAUUUACUUAUUUUCAUAACACGUUAUCAGCACGCUCUAAUCACCGAAAAGGUAUUAAUAUAAUAUAUUUCACUAAUUCAUAGUUUGUUUUCCGUUGGAUAUCAUGUAAAAAAUGUAGCUGUGUAUAUACGUGAAUAGGAUCAUUAGAAAUUGGUUUUUAUUCGUUGUGCCUAUUUAAUUGUUGUGAUAAUUAUACUCUUGUAUCGAUGAUUAUAUAUUACUGUUAUAAUUCCAUCAAAUGGAAUCAGUACCUUAUACUCCCUCCGUCUCUAAUUAUAAGACCCUUUUGCUAAAAUCACGGGAAUUAAGAAAGCGGAUAUUUGUAUUAAAGUUGUUUGUAAUCACUAUUGUUUUUACAAUUUUAUCCUUAAGAGAGAGAGUUAGUUUAUGUUUUCCAUAUGUUACUUAUUGCUGAUUGAAGAAAAAGAUGUAUAAUAAAUAGGGGCGUGUAUGUAAAGAAAUAAUUAAUGUAGUUGGAAAUAACAAAGAGGUCUUAUAAAAAGGGACAAAAAAUAUUCUCAAAAGGAUCUUAUAAUUAGGGACGGAGGGAGUAUAUAGAUACAACAAUUUUUGUUAUGCAAAUUAUAAUGUUUAUUUAUUUUAAUUUAACAUUAAUGCAUCCUUGAAGGACUGCUUAAAAAGAAAUAAAGAAACUCUAAUGAAUUCUUGAAGAAUCCAAUACUAAUGCACCCCUGAAGGAUUGCAUAAACAAAAUUUCUUAAUGAAUUCUUGAAGAAUUCAACACUAAUACUAAUGCAUCCCUGAAGGAUUGCACAUAUAAAAUUUUCUUAAUGAAUUCCUGAAGAAUUCAACAGUAUUACUAAUGCAUCUCUAAAGGAUUGCACAUACAAUAUUUUUUAAUGAAUUCCUGAAGAAUUCAGUUCUAGUGCAUCCUCAGUUAAAAAUCAAUUUUUUAUGAAUUUCUGAUGAAUUCAACAUUAAUACAUCCCUGAAGGAUUACACAAAUAAUUUAUCAAACUUAAUAUAGUUUUUGUUGAACUCAAAUAUUUAAUCCAUGAAGGAUUGCAAAAGUACUACCAUUUUCAUUAUGAUUGUCGUACGAUUGUCCUUGAUUAUAUUUAUGCAUUUUUUGUUGAAUAACAUUUGUAUAUGCAUAAACAACUGCCAUGGUAAAAUAUAAUGGUUAUUAAAGUAUGCAGGUUGCAUGAGUAAUUGAAUUCUUGUACAAUAAUAUCAGUAGCAGACUUGAUAUUUUUCUUUUGGAUAUGCAUGAGACAAUAACAUUAAACGUGUAUCAUUUUAUCAAUUAAUUAUGAGAAUUAUACUUCUCAUUUUUAAAAGAAGGACACGUAGUUAGUAUUCAUGUGUUGCAUUUAUCACGUUAGAAAUUGCAUCACCUAUUUUGUAAUAAUUAUCUUAUAAAUAAAUUAAUAUUAACUCAAGAAGUGUUUAUCAAUAGUAAUGAUAGGAACAAAUCAGCAUACAAUUUUUUUUAUGAAACAAAUCAGCAUACUAUUACACGUACUUAGCAUACAAAUUUAUGGAACAAAUAUUGACACCAACUACAACACAUAUUUAGGAACAAAUCAGCAAUUUUUUUUAACAAAACGAUGGCUGAAAAAAUAUAACACAAAUUUUUUUUGCAUAUAGUUAUAUAACACAGAUUGAAUAGCAUUCUUUUUCAUUCCACAGUCUGAUGAAUCUACUUAAUUUUCUUUUCUUACUCGUUACAUUAUCUAACUUGAUUAAUCUUAUAAUUUGAUGAUAGUAGUAAGCAUGUCAAAUCUCUCAAAACUCCACUUUGAGGCACUAAAAAUUUCUGGACACAACUAUUUGACUUGGGCCGUAGAUGCUGAAAUGUACUUAGCUGCUGAAGGAAAUGCAGAUGCCAUAAAAGAACGAAAUAAGGCAUCCGAACAACAAAAAGCAAAAGCAUUGAUAUUUCUUCGUCACCAUAUUAAUGAAGCACUUAAGAAUGAAUACCUUACUGUGAAAGAUCCACUUGUGCUCUGGAAUAAACUAAAAGAAAGAUACGAGCACUUGAAAACCAUUAUCCUCCCAAAAGCUAGGUAUGAUUGGAUGCAUUUGCGCUUACAUAACUAUAAAUCUGUAACCGCCUAUAAUUCUGAAGUAUACAAAAUUACUUCUCAAUUAGAAUUGUGUGGUGAAAAGGUAACAGAUGCGGAUCUGUUAGAGAAAACAUUUUCAACCUUUCAUGCAUCCAACAUGCUCCUGCAGCAGCAAUACCGUGAAAAGGGGUUUCAAAAAUACUCUGAUUUAAUUUCUUGUCUUCUGGUUGCUGAACAGAACAAUGAGCUUCUAAUGAAAAAUCAUGAAGCUCACCCUGCUGGUGUAGCUCCAUUCCCUGAAGUGAAUGCAUCACAACACAACCAUUUUGGAAAAGGUCUUGGUCGUGGUAGCGGUCGUGGUCGUGGCAAUGUCCAUAGUCGUGAUCGUGGUCAUGCCCACAAUCUUCAUGGAAAAUUCAAAACCCCAUUUUUCCACCAGAAGUGGAAAAAUAAUGAAAAGAUUGAAAAGGAAAAAGGUGGACAAAAUAGCAAAACAAAUGAAAAUAUCUGUUAUUGAUGUGGUGCCAAAGGUCAUUGGUCUCGUACAUGUCGUACUCCAAAGCAUUUGGUUGACCUUUAUCAGCAAUCACUGAAAAACAAAGGAAAAAAGGUUGAAACUCAUUAUGCUUAUAAUGAAGGUGAUGAUGCUGAUUAUGAUAUUUAUGGUGACAUGGAUACUACUCCUUUGGAUAUUGGUGAUUUCUUUGAAGAUCCAAAUGGAAAAAUUGAUCACCUUAUUGGAGAUGGAACCGUGAAGAAGUAGUUUUUUUUAUGAUAGUAAUAAAGUCUUAUGUUUUAGUGUGUUUUGAAUUUCUCCAUGUUAAGUGUGUUUUUGAAUUUCUCAAUGUUAUUGACAAUAAAAGUUACUUUCUCGUUGUUUAAAUAAUUACUUAUCAUUCUUAUUCUUCUUGUUUAUGUAUUUUUGUUCCUAUUUUUUAUAGAAUGAGUAGCUAUGGAGAAAUGUGUCUCGCUGAUAGUGCAACUACCCACACCAUUCUCAAAGAUAAAAAAUAUUUUUCUUACCUAUUAAAAGGAGAAUCGACCGUUAAUACCAUAUCUGGUACUACAAAGAUAAUUGAAGGCUCCGGAAGAGUUAAUAUAUCAUUAUGUGGAGGGACAAAAUUAUAUAUUAAGAAUGCGUUGUACUCACCUAAGUCUCAUAGAAAUUUAUUAAGUUUCAAAGAUAUUCGCCUAAAUGGAUACCAUCUCGAAACAAGAAAUGAAGUAAGUGUUGAAUAUCUUUGCAUCAUAAAACAUGACUUAGAUAAAAUAUGUGUAUUGGAAAAACUACCUACUUUUUCCUCUGGAUUGUACUACACUUACAUCAGUACAAUUGAAGCAAAUGUAAUUGUAAACCAGAAGUUUACAAAUCAUGAUAAAUUUGUGGCUUGACAUGAACGGUUGGGCCAUCCCGGAUCUAUAAUGAUGCGAAAAAUAAUUGAAAAUUCAUGUGGUCAUCAAUUGAAGAGCCAUGAGAUUCUUCAAUCUAAUAAAUUCUCAUGCACUUCUUGUUCACAAGGGAAGUUAAUAACUCGACCAUCACCAACAAAAAUUGGAAGUGAAUCUCUAAAUUUUUUAGAACGUAUACAUGGUGAUAUUUGUGGGCCAAUACACCCACCGUGUGGACCAUUUAGAUAUUUUAUGGUUUUAAUCGAUGCAUCAACUAGAUGGUCACAUGUUUGUUUAUUGUCAACUCGCAACCAGGCGUUUGCAAGAUUGCUAGCUCAAUUAAUUCGAAUAAGAGCUCACUUUCCUGAUUAUCCUGUAAAGAAAAUACGUCUUGAUAACGCUUCUGAGUUUUCAUCCCAAGCAUUCAAUGAGUAUUGCAUGUCCAUUGGAAUUGAUGUUGAACAUCCUGUAGCACAUGUUCAUACACAAAAUGGACUUGCAGAAUCAUUUAUCAAGCGUAUAAAGUUAAUUGCAAGACCACUUCUCAUGAGAAGCAAACUCCCAAUUUCCACUUGGGGACAUGCAAUUUUGUGUAACGCCCUAGUCGUUAUUUUAUUAUUUUUAGAAUUAGUUAGAGUCUUUUGUGUGUUUUUAAUUAAUAUAUCUGAUAUAUGUGGUGUGUAGUAUUUAUUUAUAUAAUUUAUUUAAUAUAAAUAGAAUAAUAUGAAUAAUGGAAUUAAUUAAGAGUUUGGGGAAUAAUUAGAAAUUAAUAGUAAUAAGGGAGGUUUUAAUGAAAAAGGAGAAGUUAUAGUUUUAGAGAGUUAAGGAAAGAAAAGUCAGAAAAACAGUUUAACGUGAAAACAAGUGGAGAAGAGAAAAGCUAAGGCAAGGAGAGAAGACCAAGAGAGAAGAACUUAGGAACUGAUUUUGCUGUGCUAUUUGUCUUUGCAAUUCUAAGGUAAGGGUGGGAUUAUCUUUCAAUAGUCAUAAUAUGUAAUUUCUGAAAAUUAAUCAAUUAAACUAUUCUUAAGGUAAAAUUUGGAAAAUAAGGGUUAAUGAUGAUUUUGAAAGAAAAGGUGUAAGAAUCAGGCUUAUAAUGUUGUAUUUGAAUGAUUAGUAUGAUUUCUUAAUCCAUGUUGUUGAUAUUGAUCGUAAUUGAAAUGAAAAUAGAAUAUGAUGGAUGAAUUUUGGAAGUUCUGUAUGAAUGCUUGAUUGGGCUGAAUUGAUGUUGUUGAUGUUUAGUUGCUGUUCCUUUUGAUGUCUGAUUGUAUAUAGGACUUGUAAACAUUUAUGGAAAACGUUUUGGGUGAUCAGGGGAUUAAAACUGGUUUUUGGAGUGAGGAGAAGUCUGAAAAUCGUAACUUUUACCCUGCCCAGAUGAGUGGUCGCUUAAGCGAAGCACCCGUCGUUUAAGCGAACAUUCAUGUAGCUGCUCAGGAAUUAGAUUUUACCCGUUCGCUUAAGCGAACAGUGAGCGAACUGGUAAGCGAAAAUUAAGUUUGAUUCUGCCAAGAGUUCGCUUAAGCGAGCCGUGAGCGACCCAUAAGCGAACUGAACCCAGACCUACUGUAAGAUGGUCGCUUAAGCGAGCUAGCCGUCGCUUAAGCAAACUGAGUGUUAGUCAGUCUUUUUCUGAACCUUGCUUCGUGCACUAAGGGAUCCUUUUGAGCACUUCUAGGUGUUCCUUCUAGCUUGUAUAACCUUUGUUUAGACAUAAAAUCCUACUUAAUUUAUGAUGAUAUUUAGUUGGUUAACUUUUAUGAAUUUUGAAGAUGUUGGAAUACUUGAAUCAAGUGAAUGAAACAUGUUGCAUUAAGGGGUGGUGAGUCAUAUGAGUACAUAUGCAUUUGUCGUUGAGUUGUAUGCAGAUAUACACAAGUGGAGUCAGUUGCAUAAGCAUAAAAAUGAUGUUAUGAUGAGGACUUCGGUCCUGAAACGCUUUGUCGUUCAAAAACGAUGGAACACUAUGUUGUUCAAAACGAUGUUAUGAUGAGGACUCAUGUCCUGAUAAAAGAAUGCUUUAACCAUUCUAUAAAGAUGAGGGCUUCGGCCCUGUUAUGGUACCACAUGCAUAGUUGCAAUUGUUGAGGAGUCUUAGUAGAGUUGUCAUGUCCUGCAUGAGUCUUAGAGGUGAAGUCGGGUUGUCACAUGAGUCAUUGUUUACUAUUUCUAUUACUGUUGGAUGAUGAAGUUGCUAAUGAUGCUAUACUAUAAUUGCUGAAUGAUUAUGAUGAUAGGGUGUUAGAUUCAUUUAUGUUAUUAUAUAUUAUUAUUAUUGUUUGAGAAUCUCACCCCUUCUGCUUGAAAAUGUUGCCCUUCCUAUGGGUAACUUGCAGGUGAUCCUGAGUAGUAGGUGGUGGCUCACAAUGUCUAGGGCUCUGAUACGUGGGAGGAGAUUUUUAUUGCUUGAAUUCUUUCCUAUGUAUCAUUUUUGAAAUAUUGUUGAUGUAGCCCUUUGUGAUUGAAUUUUAUGUUGAAAUGGCUUUCAUGCCAAGAAUAAUUAUUGUAGACUUAUUGAUGUUACAAAUAUUCCGCUGCAAGUUUAAUGACAAUUUUAUGAAUGACGUUUGAUUAAAUAGAUUUUUUAUAUACACUCUAUUUAGAAGACUUUUAAAUGAAGAAAUGUGGCAUGCCCGUUAUGGUUACUCUGAUGAUUGAUGUAUUAUUAUUAUUUUAAUUGAUUUUGGGAAACGGGGUGUUACAUUUUGCAUGCUGCAACAUUGAUUCGCAUCAAGCCAACAAGUUAUCAUGACUCUUCCCCUUUGAAAUUGGUUUUUGGUCAAGAACCUAAUAUUUCCCAUCUACGAAUUUUUGGAUGUGCGGUGUAUGUUCCAAUUUCUCCACCACAACGCACUAAGAUGAGUCCUCAAUGAAGGUUGGGAAUAUACGUUGGAUAUGAAUCUCCAUCAAUUAUAAACUAUCUUGAGCCCACAACAGGAGAUUUAUUUACAGCUAGGUUUGCUGAUUGUCACUUUGAUGAAUCAAAUUUCCCAACAUUAGGGGGAGAGAAAAUGCAGCUGAAAAAGGAAAUCAGUUGGAAUGAACUUUCAUUGUCUCAUCUUGAUCCUCGAACUAAACAAUGUGAACUAGAAGUUCAAAAGAUAAUUCAUUUGCAAAGCUUAGCAAACCAAUUGCCAAAUGCAUUCACUGAUCCAAAAAAUGUGACUAAAUCAUACAUACCAGCUGCUAAUGCUCCAAUAAAAAUGGAUGUUCCUGUUGGACUAUCUCAUAUUGCAAACGAGUCUCAACCACGCAUGAAGCGUGGUAGACCAAUCGGUUCCAAAGAUAAAAAUCCUCGAGCAAGAAAAGGAGCUAAAAGAAAAGAUGGUCCAAACGAGGAUAUAGAAACUUUAAAAGAGCCUUCUGACAUAAUCAAUAUUUCAGUUCCAGAAGAACCUAAUCAGGCACCUGAAAUACAUGAAAAUCAAGAGAUCUCCAUAAAUUAUGUCACCAAUGGAAUACAAUGGAACCGACAUGAAGUCAACGUUGACGAUAUUUUUGCAUAUAAUAUAGCGCUAAAUGUGAUGAGUGAUAACGAGGAUCAUGAACCAAGGUCUAUUAAAGAUUGUAGACAAAGCGAGAAUUGGCCAAAAUGGAAAGAUGCAAUUAAAGCAGAAUUAUACUCACUCAACAAGAGAAAAGUCUUUGGACCUGUCGUCCAAACACCUAAAGGAGUGAAACCAGUUGGGUAUAAAUGGGUGUUUGUGCGAAAACGUAAUGAAAAUGGUGAAAUUGCAAGAUAUAAAGCAAGACUCGUUGCUCAAGGAUUUUCGCAAAGACCUGGGAUUGACUUUAAUGAGACAUAUUCACCUAUAGUUGAUGCAACUACUUUUAGAUACUUAAUUAGUCUUAUAGCUUAUGAAGGGCUAAAUUUGCACAUGAUGGAUGUGGUUACUGCCUACUUGUAUGGCUCACUUGAUAGUGACAUCUACAUGAAGAUCCCUGAAGGAUUUAACUUGCCUGAUACAAAUAGUUCAGGAUCUAGGGAAGACUACUCCAUAAAAUUAAAUAAAUCUCUCUAUGGGCUAAAACAAUCUGGACGCAUGUGGUAUAAUCGGCUCAGUGAAUAUUUGCUAAAGGAGGGAUACAAAAAUGACUCUAUUUGCCCAUGUAUUUUUAUGAAAAGAUCUGAAAAUGAAUUUGCUAUAAUUGUUGUCUAUGUUGAUGACAUAAACAUAAUUGGGACUCCCGAAGAGCUUCCAAAAGCGAUAGAUUGCCUGAAGAAAGAAUUCGAAAUGAAAGAUUUGGGAAAGACAAAGUUUUGUCUCGGAUUGCAAAUCGAACAUUUAAAUAAUGGAAUCUUUGUGCAUCAAGAAACUUACAUAGCAAAAGUGUUAAAACGUUUCUACAUGGAAAAAUCUCAUCCAUUGCCUACUCCAAUGGUUGUUAGAUCACUAGACGUGGAGAAAGAUCCUUUCAGACCUCGAGAAGAAGGCGAAGAACUACUUGGUCCUGAAGUACCAUAUCUUAGUGCAAUAGGAGCACUAAUGUACCUUGCUAAUUAUACGCGUCCAGAUAUAUCAUUUUCUGUCAACCUAUUAUCAAGAUACAGUUCUUAACCUACACAAAGACAUUGGAAUGGGGUCAAGCAUGUAUUUCGUUAUCUUCGAGGUACAAUGGAUAUGAGUUUGUUUUAUCCUAAAGUACCCAAACUAGAAUUAAUUGGUUAUGCAGAUGCAGGUUAUUUAUCAGAUCCUUAUCAUGGUAGAUCACAAACAGGUUAUUUGUUUACAAGUGGAAAUACAGCAAUUUCAUGGAGAUCUGUGAAACAGACAAUAACAGCAACAUCAUCAAAUCACGCGGAACUUUUAGCAUUACAUGAGGCAAGUAGAGAAUGUGUUUGGUUAAGAUCCAUGAGUCAGCACAUCCAAAAGAAUUGUGGUUUAUCCUCCGGAAGAAUGGAUGAAACAAUAAUUUACGAAGAUAAUACAGCAUGCAUCGCUCAGUUGAAAGAAGGAUACAUUAAAGGAGACCGAACAAAACACAUUUCUCCAAAAUUCUUUUUCACUCAUGAUCUUCAGAAGGAUGAUGAUAUCAGCAUUCAACAAAUUCGGUCGUGUGAUAAUCUUGCAGAUGUUUUUACAAAGUCGCUCCCAAGUAAAGUUUUUGAGAAACUUGUACUAAGAAUUGCUCUUCGCCGUCUAAGAGAUAUUUGUCUUCAUGAGGGGGAGAAAUAAAUGUGUUCUGCACUCUUUUUUCCUUCACCAAGGUUUUAUCCCAUUGGGUUUUCCUGGUAAGGUUUUUAACGAGGCAAUUCAAACUCAAAAGGAUAUUGUACUCUUUUUCCUUCACUAGAAUUUUUUUUCCCACGGGGUUUUAUUUUAGUAAGGUUUUAAUGAGGCAUAUCCUCGAUGGACAUCCAAGGGGGAGUGUUAUUAUUAAUAUUGGAUGUCCAAAUAGAAAAUGUGUUAGUGGGCCAUACUACUAGGUUAUUGGGCUUAGUUCAUAAGCUACUCUAUUUCCCUAUAAAUAGAGCUCAUUUGUAACAUUGAUACACACAUUAGUGAAUAAGAAUACUGCUUCUAUUCUUUCUUCUUCUCCUUCUCUCUAUUACUCUCUCUAUUUACUUAUUUUCAUAACACAUAUACAAUAAUUUAUUAAAUUUCACUUAAUUUAACUAUUCUAUUAAGGGUUAAAUAUGUUUUUGGUCCCUAUAAAUAUGUCAACUUUUCGUUUUAGUCCCUCUAAAAUUUUCCUUCAACUUUUAGUCCCUAUAAAAUUUUCAAUCACUACUUUUGGUCCCUAUUUUUAAUUUAAUUUUUGUAUUUUUUAAUAAAGUUGUGCAGAAAUGUGUCAAAUAUUCUAAAAACAAUUCCUAAAAGAAAUUAGAUUUUUUUAACAAAACACAAAUUAAAUAUGAAUUUUUAACCAUAAACAAUAUAAAAAUUCAUAUUAAAUUCAUGUUUUGUUAAAAAAUUCUGAAUUUUUUUUGGAGUGAUUCUUAUAAUAUUUUGAAUUUUUCUGGAAAAUUUUAUUAAAUAAUAUAAAUUCUACAUAUGAGUUUACUUUAAAAGAGGGAUCAAAAGUGAAGAUUGAAAACUUUAUAGGGACUAAAAUUUGAAGGAAAAUUUUAGAGGGACUAAAACGAAAAGUUAACAUAUUUAUAGGGACCAAAAAUAUAUUUAACCCUUCUAUUAAUUACAAUCAUUGUUCUAGUGAGCUUAAUUAUUAAUUGAUAUGAACAAUGCAUAAUAUAUCCAAGGUUCAGAGUUCUACAAUCAUUUCCUUAAAAAUUGAAUUAUGAAUAUGAUAUAGCAUGUUAGAGUAAUUUUAUUGGAUAUAUAUAUAUAUAUAUAUAUAGGAUCCGUUAACACCAAAUCUUAUCCGUCAGUUAUUUUAAUCCAAAGGUCCAUAAUUAAUUUGUGUUUCUUUUUCUAGUGUAUCAUCACCCAGACACAAUUAUUGCUUUUAGUGAUUGAAAAACUCAAACCGAAAACAUGGAGCAAUGAUACUCGUAAUUCUCUCCUGGGAAAAUUGUUUUUCUCUUCCCCCAUUCCUAUAAAUAUUAGGCUUAAUUGAUCUGCUGGUCCCUUAACUUAUUUCUUUUAUUCAAUUUGGUCCCAUAAGUUUUAACUUUCUCAAACACGUCCCUUAACUUAUUUAUUUUAUUCAAUUUGGUUCAAUUUUGAUAAUUUUAAUCCCUUAAAAAAUGAGACCGUAGGAUUACGGAGGUCUAUCAGAUUUUAUAGUGUAUCACCAACACCUAAUUUAUUUAUUUUCUUCUUUUUCUUCCCUCAUCUUCAUCUACAUUCAUUCUUCAUCAAUAUUCAUCAAUAAAACCCAGGAAAAAAAAAAUUAAACCUACUACACCACCAUCAUUUUCAUCUUCAUCUAUCAUCAUCAACACCCUCCAAUCACUCCAUCAUAACCAUCCCAAAAUCAAACCCAAAAACAUCAUCAUCGAUCUUCAACGUUGUUGUUCCUUUUCACUUUGAACAACAUUGCUCUUUGUUUCAAUUCCAACCCGUUAACAUAAUCAUAAAACCCAUCAAGAACCCAUUAACAUAAUCAUAAAACCCAUAAAAAAAAACAUCAUUUUUUUUCAUCUUCAAACGUUAAUUCUUAGCUGGGUUGUAAAAAAAAAAAAUCCAACUUUGAUUAUUAAAGGUGUGAUUUUUAUCUUGCUUUUUGGUUAAAGAUUGAAUCUUUAUUGAAGUUUAAUGUGUUUUUUUUCAUCUGGGUUUUGCUUUUUUGUUGUUGUUGUUGUAGGUGUUGAACUUGUUGAAGUGAAGUUUAUUUGAUUUUGUGUUUGUGUUCAUCUAAUGGUAAGUGAUAAUUACCAGAAGAUGAUGUCUGAUGUAGCCGUUCGAUCGAUGGUGAAAAAUGGUGAUUACGUUGAAGAAACGGAAGAACAAUAGAAACACAUAAGGAAACAACAUAAGUGCAUCAGGAAUCAAAUAUUCAGAAGGAACAGAAUUGGAAAUGGAAUCAAAAUUGGAUUGGAAUUGAUUUCCCAACAACAAAAACGCAGUAGAACUAAAAGGUUAAAAACGCUUUUGAAACAGGAACAACAAUGUGUCAUGAAUCAGAGGUUUAAACCCAUUUUCUCCUUUUAAUCAAACACAUAAACAUCAAUUAAGCAACACAAGUAAACAACAUCAAUAUGAGAAAAGAAGAAGCCAAAUCUUCUCAGAUCUAAGUGUUCUGUUAAGGUGGUGGUAAUGGUGGUGGUGGUUUUUGAUUCGACAGUGAUGCCGAUGGUGAAGGGUUGGAGAUUAGAGAAUGAAAGAGACAUGAAAGUUGCACUAUUGAGAAUGAAGAUGAAUAGGAUGGAAGAAGAAGAAAGUAAAUAAAUUAGGUGUUGGUGAUGCACUAUAAAAUCUGAUAGACCUCUGCAAUCCAACGGUCUCUUUUUUUAGGGGAUUAAAAUUAUCAAAAUUGGACUAAAUUGAAUAAAAUAAAUAAAUUAAGGGACGUGUUUGAGAAAGUUAAGACUUAUGGGACCAAAUUGAAUAAAAGAAAUAAGUUAAAGGACCGGCAGAUCAUUUAAGCCUAAAUAUUAUUAUUCUUGUUUCUAUCUCCUUUCCCUCUUAUUUAACUCCUCCUAUGUAUUACAGCACAUGAAGGAAAUUUAUGUCAAUCUUAUUAUAACAAUUACAAUUGGAUGAGCUUCCUUCAAAACAAAAUUACAAAUUGGAUGAGUUUGCUUUUAAAUGAUUGGAUAUCAAAAAAGUGAAUUGUAUGGUUUUGGUAGAAUGGAAAACUCCAUUACAAUUUUAUUCUGAUUACGGCAUAAAAAAAGAAAUCUCAGCAAAGUCAUUGGCUUUGAAUUGGUACAAUUAGUAUGUAGGAGAAGAGAUCAUAGAGGAAAUUGCAUUUAACAACUAAUAUUUCCAAUUCAUUUUAAACAAUAAUAUCUUUGAAGUAUUUUAAUUAUUCAACUAUGGAGUAUUUCAAUUUUGCAGACAAGAGAAUAAGGAGAAUUAUGAUAUGAUUAUGUUUCCAAUUUAGGUUUUGUAAUCAUUAAAAACAAUAAUAGUGUGUGAUUGAAAAAAAAAAGAUACACAAUAAAUAAAAAUGUGGCACUAUUAUUAACUUUUGAUUAAAUAAGAUCAACAGUUGAGAUUUGGUGUCAACGAAUCCGUGAUUCAUUAUGAAACCCAUAUACAUGAUACCCAUAUACAUGAUACGAUACUUACAUUUAUACAUGAUACCCAUAUAAUAAAAAUGUGGCACUAUUAUGAAACCCAUAUACAUGAUACGAUACGGCACUGAUACGGCGAUACGGGAAAAUUUAAAAAUUUAAGAUACGAUACGGUUCAGAUACUUCAAUAAAAAAUUAAAUUUAAACUACAUAUUAAAACUUAAAAUACAAAAUAUGGACUAAAACUCAAAAGCAAAAAAAUUGGCGCAAAACCUACACCAAACAGACAUAAAAAAACGAUAAGGCAUAACAAUGAAAUUGUCUUCACACAACAAUCAAUGCACACUAGCAUCGUUAUCAAACAAACAAAGAGACACAAAACAUACGGCGACAACAAUAGAAAUAUAAAUGUAAGUAAUAUUGAUAUAUCCUAAAUAAAAAAUAUCAUUACGUAGUCAAUUACAUGUGUACCAAAUAUAAUAGAAAUAUCUGGUAGCCCGCACAUAUCAGUUUUCCACCGCAUAUCGCUCGUAUCCCAGAUGUAUCUUAAAAGUAUCGGAUAAUUAUUUUAAAUUUUUUUUUUUUAAUCUUCAGAUACUUUCUUAAUACAUAUCAAAAAGUAUUGAACAAACAUCGAUGCAUGAUACAUAAAAGAUAUGAUACAUCAUCUAUUUUAAAGUAUAUGAACAUCACAUGUGAUUCAUAAUCAUACACUUCAUAUCAUACCCUACGGAGAAAGAAAGAACCGACAAUAUUAGUAUUAUAUUGGACGCGAGGUUCACGCUAUUGUAUCCUCUGAAUUGUGUUUUUAGGAGUAUUCUCUGAAUUGUUAAUUUUUUAUUUAUUUUCAAGUAUAAUAUUGUACACAUGCUGAUUUAUUUUUUACUAAUGAAAUUUGGGUUAAAUAUGUUUUUGAUCCCUAUAAAUAUGUCAAAUUUUCGUUUUAGUCCCUAUAAAAUUUUCCUUCAACUUUUAGUCCCUAUAAAAUUUUCAAUCACUACUUUUGGUCCCUAUUUUUAUUUUAAUUUUUGUAUUUUUUAAUAAAAUUGUGCAGAAAUAUGUCAAAUAUUCUAAAAACAAUUCCUAAAAAAAAAUUAGAUUUUUUAAAAAAAAAACAAAUUAAAUAUGAAUUUUUAACCCUAAACAAUAUAAAAAUUCAUAUAAAAUUCAUGUUUUGUUAAAAAAUUCUUAAUUUUUUUUUGGAGUCAUUCUUAUAAUAUUUUGAAUUUUUGUGAAAAAUUUUAUUAAAUAAUAUGAAUUCUACAUAUGAGUUUACUUUAAAAGAGGGACCAAAAGUGAAGAUUGAAAACUUUAUAGGGACUAAAAGUUGAAGGAAAAUUUUAGAGAGACUAAAACAAAAAGUUGACAUAUUUAUAGGGACCAAAAACAUAUUCAACCCAUGAAAUUUUUACAUCAAUGAACAAGAUUUUUUUUUUUUUAACAUCUAGAAACUAACAACGUAAUCAAUCCCAUAAUGAAAGACAUCACACUAAAAAAAAUCUAAGAUUUGCUACCAUAAGUGUGCUAGGAACAUUUUUUAUUUUGUUGAUAGAAUGGUGUGCUAGGAAAUUUAAUGGUAGUGAAUAUCAACAUAAUUAACUACCAUUUGACUAAUUAGUCUUAUUUUGAUUUUUUAUACGUUUUAAUAAAUAUUGUAAAAUAUCAUUUUUGUUUAAAAAAAAAAAUCUCAUUAUCUUCCUUACAAAAAAAACUCAUUCUCUCUGAAUGCACAAACACCACACGACCAAAACUCUCACACUUCCGAUCACCGUCACUGUCACCGUAGCUUGCACCGAUCAACACCGGCUCUCCGAUCUACUCCGCCUCUCUCAUCACCAUUGUUUCUUUUCCGAUCACCACCGUCUCGAUCAAUCACAUCCUUAUGAGUUUACGAUCCAUUGACGCAUUCCUCUGAUCUGAAAUCUCUCUCUCUCUCCCUCCCUCCCUCCCUCCCUCCCUCCCUCCUCCGAUCUAAACUGUUUCUCAUCAACUUGUGUCUUUGAUCUUCGUUGAUUCUGCAAUCAACGAUCUCUCAUUUUUACCUCUUUUCUCAGGUAAUUUCUUAAACUAACAUUAAUUUCUAAUAUAUUAUGUUGAUAUUCACUAUCAUUAAAUUUCCUACCACAUUCAUGGUAGCAAAUCUUAGAUUUUAUUCUUGUAGUGUUGUAUAUGAAAAAUUCAAAUGGAGUUUUAUUUUUUGACAUAUUUUAUUUAAAAAAAUAUGAAAAGUUUCAAAAACUAACUCAACUUAAAUUAUUUAAUUAUGUUAAACCAACUAUAUAAAUAUAAAUGGAGGUUUAGUAGCUCAAUUAAUUUGAAGUAAGGGUUAAGUAGAUAGAGACUCUGAGUUCAAAUCCGGACGAAGGUGAAAAAAAUUAUAUAAAUAUCAAUAUUAAAAAAUAUUGUUUGAGAGAAAGAGAGAGAGUGUUUGUAUAAUAUUAAACAAGUCGAAUUAUAUAUAACUCAUUUAUAUUUUGAAUAACGCUCGAGUAGACUUGAUUUAUUGGGAGCUCUAACUCGCCCCCUCCAUCCCACAAUAAUGUUCAAUGAUAUAUUGAGUACUUUUUUCUAGUUAUUUCAUCUAAUUAAUAUUAUUUGUAUAACUAACAAUGGAUUGGUGCAAGUGGUAAGGACUUGAGCCUAUUAAACAUGUGAUUAGUCGUUCGAUUUCUGACUCUUGAGUAUUAAACAAAUCUAGUUGGAAGGGGAGAACCUGCCUUAUAUGUCCCACAAGUUUCUUAUGGUAGUCACCUUUAAAUGACGAUGUAAAAUUCAUACUAAUAUAACAAAACCAAAAGAAUUUGCAUCACACUCAAGUCAAUAUAUUACACAUCGUAUUUAUGAUGAUAACUCUCGGUUUCAUUUAUUCACUUUUUAAUCUGUUCGAAUGUCGUAGUGGAUGGAAAAAGUAAUUGCCUAAUUCUUAUCAGCAUGACAAGAAAAAACACAUAUACUAACAUUUUAUUAAAGAAAAGUUAGAUGGUGAAUUAAUAACUACCACCUACAUUUCCUCUAGGUAUUAGUUGAUAAAUGUUUUAACAAAUAGUUAGAAUCAAUAUAAUUAUUCAACCAACUAACUUGCAAUUUGAGGAGGUGUGUUGUAGAUAAGUAUGUAAGAAUAUUUCUAAUUAUUUUCAUUACUAGUAUUCUUCCAAUUGAUCAAGCCUAUUAGAUUUACAAUACUUUGUUUAAGCAAAUGAGCACUUAUACUAUUUUCACAAUUUUAAAAUAUAUUAAAAUUAUUUGUUUGCAUUCACUUUAAUAAUAACUUUUUAAUAAUCACUCUCACAUUAAAAGAGUAAUGUGUGUUAAAAAGAGAGUGUCAAGAUAAGAUAAGUGUUACUACCACUUUUCAUGUUCUAAUUAACAUGUGUUAAAUCCAAAUAAACUAUAGAUAAAGAGGAGUACUAUAAACAUUUUUUUUAACACUCACUCUUCAUAGAGUGUGUUCCUAGAAUUCAUCCUAGAUAAGUUGUUCCAUCUCUAAAAUAAAUUAUUCCACACUUACACUUAUAUAAUUAGAGAUGAGAAUAGAGCUGGUCGAUGAUUACUAUGCAACGCCCCAUUAUUUUAGUUUUGGUUUGAUCCAUGUUAAGAUAAAUGCAAACUUUAUUCCCUCCCUGGAUUUGGAAUAUUUUCUAGUAUUCUAAAUUCUAAUUGAUUAGAACUAUGUUACUAAUGUAUAAUUUAAUUUUUAAAACCUGCAUCUCUUUACUACAAAAGACCAUUCUAUGUUUCACGCCUAACUAUUGAUCUAUUGAAUUUAAAUCGAGUCAUGAUAAUACAACAAUAAAGCUUUUGCACUGACGUAAUCUUAUCUGAUUCAAGAGGUUACUCUUCGCGAUUCCACGCGGGGAUUUGAAUAUAUUUUAUACAAAUGUGCAUGUGUGUGUGUGUCUGCAUAGGGUAUUCUGUUAAAAAAAGUCGAUUAUUAGGUUGGAAAAUCGUUUAACUUAUAAAACACACUUUUUAAACAAGAGUUUGCAACAUAUAUAUAGUACUCCUAAAAGAAAUGAAAUUUCAACAGAACAACAAUAUUUUUUUGCAAGGAAACAAAACAUAUGUAGUACUAUAAUAUAAGGAAAACAGAGUUGCACAAUCUAUUGAUACAUAAACAUUAUAUGUUUGUAUUAUUGAAAUUUUGUCAUUCUUAGUGACCUUCAAGUUGAGACUUCAUAGGAAUUACGUUACAAGGUUCAUAGCAGAAGUUAGUGUGAUCCAUACAUCGACACUGCGGUGGAAUUGUGCUUUUACAAACACAUAAUUUGCAAGCUGAGUUGCAUUUAUUUUUCACAAUAUCUGCACAACGACACAGAGGAGGGAUUGUUGUUGUGCAAUGACAAUUAUCACAACACGAUGUUGUGAUCAAUUUGACAUUAGAAAGCACUUGAGUGUUGAGGGAGAUUGGAUCAAAGCGAGCGUCAACUGUUGCUGUGAAGUUCAACAAGAAAAGCAAUGAAGCCACGUUCAGCAAGGCCUUGUUCAAUUCCAUCUCUCUCUGAUUUUGUAAUAUAAGGAGGCUAGCAAUUAUGUAUUUAUAUAUCUCUUAAUUUGAAGGAAUGUAACUUAUAAAGAUCUUUGGUGUCCAACAUUGACACCACACUGAUACUUCAAAUUAAAACUAUGUCUAGUGCCCAAUGCUUUUCAGCGGUGUAUGAGAUUGACACCACGCCCACGCGAUGUCUUGGUGUUGGAGUCAGUGAUUCAUAGAAUGCAACUACAAAAUCUACUUUUGAAUAAAUCUCUAUGCAUUGUAUUGUUGAACACUAAAAUAUGACGAUUUUAAGGGGUUGCCGGUUUGUGGUGGAGUGUUUUGAAGAAUCUUAUUCGGCAUUUGAUGACACUUUAUAUGCUUUUCAUAGGUUAAUUCCGCUUUCAUGCUUUGUUUUGUUGCAUAGAUAUCAUAUUUCGUUUGUAUCAUGAAAUUCCAUAGUUGAUUAAUGACCGAUUAAUAAAGUAAGUAAUAUUUUUUUUGACAAGUAUAAAGUAAGUAAUAUAUAUGGUUAAUUUGUCUGUUAAUGAACCAUAGUUUGUUCUUUUUACUAAAUUAAUGAAUAAUAGUUGAUAAACUAAGGAUUUGCUAUAUAUCAAUUAACUACGGAAUUUAGUGAUGUUACAAUACUUUUAAAUAUACAUGGACAUGGGGACACUCCACCAGACGUGACACUGACACAUAAACGUAUAAUACUUUAAGAAAAUAAAGAUGAUUAAAUUGAAUGUAUAACAUGUGUCAGUACUGCCCAUGGUGUGAAUCAUGACACAUGCCAAGCACUAGAUGCGCAAUUGAUCUUUCGAUGUUACAUAUUAAUUAACUUAGCUGAUUUAUUUCACUUAUGAUGUUUCUCCAUUUGAUUAUCUUGAGACUCUUUGUUUGAUCCAAAAAGGUAGUCUUUCACAGUACUCUCUGCUGAAAUGAAAGCACGCCCUUCUUAAUCUGACAUCAAAAGAUUGAACCAUCAGAUGCUAGAUGCUGGAAAGGAAAAUGUUCCUACCAUUUCUCUUCAGUAAGAAAGAAAAUAUUCUUAGCAUUUGAGCAAAUUAAUUUUUUAUACAUGGCAUCUUUUCAGCUCUUGAUUUUGGGGUCAAUGUGUAUGCGUGUCCACUUAAAAACCUUUAGCUGCUCUAAAGCAAUGAAUAUUGUGUUUGGACUGGUUUUACAACCCAAAAAGGCAUAGCGGCGCAGAGGAAUUAAAAAUUAGAAACACAAAUUUAGCAUAUAAUAGUAGAAGAUAAAUGACAUAUAACCAGAAAUAUGAAGGCCACUUUGGAAAUUCAGGAUCAAACAAUUUUGUGGCUUUAAUCUCUGUUAAGUUUUCUAUGAGCAAGUCAAUCUUGUUGCAUAUGAAUUGAGUUAGUCAGGGAGAGAAUGCAUAUAUGGCUAAUCCUCAAGUUCUAUAGUUGAUGUCAAGUUACAUUGCCACUUCUAUAUAAUGACAUAAGUGACAAUUGUUUUGGUAAAAAUAAAGGUGUAUUAAAUUUGACACGUUGGUGUCAAAACAUAUCCCUCGUGAUUUAAUAGUUACGCAAAACUCUUUAAGCUACGUAUCAGUAAGCAACGACCAAGGGAUAAAACUACUAAAACUCUUGUUUUAGGCCCGCCAACAAUUUAUGAAGAAGACAAAAAGUCCUCGUAUAAUAAAAUUUGUUUUAAGCCUCGCAUACUUUUAAAAACUAUUGUGCUGGACUCUAGUAUCAUUUCAAGAGAAGAAUUUUAAAACACAAUACAAUUAGUGGUAACAAACAUUUAUUGGCGAAAACAAACAACAUUAUCAAGUAACUUAUAUUCUGAUUACCAUCCCUAUCUCUGAAUCCUAGUUACAUGGUGGAUAGCAAAAGUUGGUGAUAUCAACACAACGACAAAGAACAGGUGGUGAUGGUAGACAUGCACAAAGUUUGCAAGCUGAGUUGCAAGUUUUAUUAAGAUCUGCACAAUGACAUUGAGGAGGCCUUGAUUUUGUGCAAUAACAUUUAUCACAACAUGCUGUCGCUGUGGUUGUUGAUUUUUUGACAUAGUAACUUGCAUCACCAUUGGGGAGAACUUGAGUGACGAGGGAGCUUGGAUCAAAGUGAGCAUCAAUUGUUGUGGCAAAACCCAAGAUAAAAAGUAACAAAACUACCUUCAUCUAUAUGAUAUCUAUUUUAUCCUUAAUUGUAUACGAGGAAGCAAAUAAUUGGCAGGUCUAUAUAUAUAUAUAUAUAUAUGAAUCUGAUUUGAAUGAGACCUAUAACUAGUGACAAUGUCUUACUUUACUUCCAUUUUUAGAAAUGUAUACAUCAUCAUUACACAAACGUACAAUUUAGGGGCUGUCGGUUAGCAUAGUAUCAUAGUUGUGGAUAAUCUUUGUGAGGUAUUUCAAGAAAUUUCCAUAAUUUUCUAUUCUCUUGUUUUCUACAAUACAUUUACCAAUUGAAAUGGUUUAGUACAUUUGCAUUCUAAACUAAUAAAUCAACGAUAAAUUUUAUGAAUUAAGAGUGUGUUUGGAUGGAGGAAUAUUUUGAGGUAAUGUAAUGUUUUGAAAGAAUUUAAAUUAGAUUUGAAGUGAUUGAACGACUAUCAACUGUCUCUUUUUUUUUUUUUUUGGUACAUUAUCAACUGUCUUUUUAGUUAAAAUUAAAACAAUCUCAGUUAUACAAUUGUGAUCAUCAUUCAUUACAACACCCUCUAGAGAAUCCUAUUCCCAACUUGACCGGCCUACAAUUUGUAAAAGACAAACUCUAUGGCCUAGUAGUAAUUUUAUUCAAUUGAUUAUUUAUUUAUUCAUUUCAGUACAAAAAAAAAAAAAAAGCCUAAAACACUUUGUCUCAUUACACCCACGCAAAUUGUUUUUUUUCUUCUAGGAAAUAAGCUUCUUUCAUUGACAUGCUAAAGUACCAUGAGUCCAAUCAAAAUGAUCAUAGACUAGGACAUUGUCCAUCUAUAUUUUAUGAUCAGAAUACAUUAAGGCGUUAACGAAACCAAAUCGAAAACUUAACAACCAAACUAAAAUCUUCCAUAUGUGAUCAACGGUCAACAAUAAAUCGAGAUCUAUAGUCUUUGAAUUCAUCCAACUUCCUAAGAUAUAUUUAUAAGUGUUCACCCAAAUCCACUAUAUGUAAUCUUUAAGAUGACCAAUUGUGCCACAUAUUGAAAAGACAUUUGCAAAGUCAAUAGAGUACUAGAUUUAAUUAUAGCUAUCAUAAGCCUCUUACUUCUUUCAAAAAAAUAAUCAUAAGCCUCUUCCCUGAGAUAUAGUACUUAUUAAGCGGGUCCUUUUCAAAAAUAUUAUCAAACAUACGAGGAGCAAAACUAAAGCAAAUUAAUAUAAAACCCAGCGGGAAAACAAGCAUAACAAUGAAACGAAAAAACAUAAGUAAAAAUAAAAACCUUAGGAUCUAUGACAUGUUGAUUCGUCAAACAUUAAUCGUAUCCAUUAAUAGUUUCUUAUUAAUAAUAUUGAAAUACAAAGAAAAAGAGGAUAACAUAAGCACUUCUUAGCUUUUGGUUUUGUAUCAACUAAAACCUAUUAUAUCAUGUAACCGUCACUUUGGUCCUCGAAUGUGUAACGAAUAGUCACAAUAGUUUUUCAAUGUAUCAAAAUUUUAAAAUAUAUAGUCUCUAAUUGUGUACUUUAUUAGUCAAAAUAGUCUUUGAUGUUAAAAUAUUUCAUUAAUAUAGUCAUAUUUGCAACCCACAUGAGUUGACCUAGUGAUAUUGGUUUGGGACUUGGAAGUGUGCUCGUCUUCAAGGUCUCAGGUUCGAUUUUCUCUCUAGUGUCAAUAUGGGUGAUCUAAUUUAGCUUCCUCAAAAUAAAAUAUUGUCAUAUCAGUCUUUCAAUAUACUUACUUAUUGUCAUAUCGAUCGUUAUAAGUAUUUUAUUUUAAUCCCUAUAUAAACAAAGUUCUUGUAAGUAUUGAGAGAUUGUUUUGGUGUCAGAGGCUACUUUGAUUAACAGAGUGCACAAUCAAAAACUAUUUUAAAAUUUUGAUGCAUUGAGGAAGUGUUGUGACCAUUUAUCAUACACUCAAAGAUCAAAGUGAUUAUUACCCUUAAGGCAUUCUUUAGUUGAAGAGAAAGAGACACUAUAAUUAUAUGUAGUAUAUUGUGGAUCAUAGCUAAUUAUUCAAUAAAAAUUUAAUCAAACUUAUUACUUAAUUCAUAAAAAAUAAUAGCUAAUUGAGAUAUAAUAUUAAAAUAUCCAAAGAGGAUAGUAAAACGAACAUAAUUUGACCCUCCAGUUUGUGAAAAAACAAACUGUAUGGGCUUUAUGUAAUUUUAUUAUUCCAUUAAUUAUUUAUUCAUUUUCCAUACACAAUAAACAAAGCUUAAGAGGCUUUGUCUCAUUACAAACAUGCAUAUGGUAUAUAGUUAUAAUGAAACUUGCUCAUUCAAAUGAGCUCUAGUUAACAUUCAUUACAGUCUUGCUCGUAAUCAUCGCAAGUACACCGCUUAGGUUGUUUGCAAGUACAGUAUUUGCAAGUUGAUUCACAGGUUUCUACAAUAUCUAGACAUUGGCACAUAAUAGGAAUCCAUUCAACAUAGAACCAUUCAACAUUCUUACAGCACCUGUUGGUUGUCGAGUUGACAUCAUUGGAGGAGAUCACUUGAGUGAUGAAGGAUUUUGAAUCAAAACGAGCAUCAAUAGUUGCAAUGAAGCUUAAGAGGAAAAUCAACAUAGCUAACUUUAUCAUUGUCUUCUUGUUCAUCAAGCCCAUUAUUACUCUCUUUAUAUCUUUCUGUUUAAUAUCUCUAAUUUAUUUGACUUGUGAAGAGCCAACCAUGUCUGGCUCUAUUUAUAAUGGAGUGCAAUAAGGGCUAUAAGGGUCUUGUUUUUCAAUUCAUAGGAGGUAUACCACAUAUUAUAAAGUAGAAUAUGAUAAUAAUGCUAUUUUUAUACAAGUUUCAUUUUCAUAUUUUUAUUGUUUAUUUAUUUCCAUUUAUACAUGUGAAAAUUAUUGUUUUUUAUUUUUAUUUCGUAGCCGACUUCUGUUGUCGGAUUAUGGAGAAUCUUAUUCAUAUCUAUCAUAAAAGUCCAGUGGAGGAUUAUUUAAUAAAAAUAAUUAAAUCAAGGAUGACAUACAUUAUAGGCUAAAAUAUGGUUUUGGUCCCUGCAAAUAUAUCUCGUUUUGGUUUUAGUCCCUGCAAAAUUUUUUUGUUGUUUUUGGUCCCUGCAAAUAUGUCUCAUUUUGGUUUUGGUCCCUGGGUCCACUUUUGUGAUAAUUUGCACACGUGUCACAUGAUGACUUAACCAUUUAUUAGAGAAAUAGUCCCUGCAAAAUCUUUUGAUUUUGAAAAAGGUCCCUGCAAAAUAUUUUGUUUUUGGAAAUAGUCUGAGACUAUUUCCAAAAACAAAAUAUUUUGCAGGGACCAAAAACAACAAAAUUUUUUUGCAGGGACUAAAACCAAAACGAGGCAUAUUUGCAGGGACCAAAACCAUAUUUUAGCCUACAUUAUAAGGUCAGACAAAAUUAUCAACCUCGAACAUAGAAACAAUUAUGUAAUAUGAAAUUGUUGUGUAUUAUGGCGAGCUUUGUUUACCAAGUAAUUCGCACUAAAAUAAUUAAGUUUGAUGAAAUUCAAUAAAUAAGAGUAUAAUUAUAAAAAUAAAAAGUAAAUGAUAUAUAUUAGUAUUUUAUAGUAAUAAUUAUUUUGAGACAGAGAAAAAAUAAAAAGACAAUUAUAUUGAGACAUACUGAAUAAUUCUUAUUGAGUAGAUUAAUCUAUAAAGUUCAGACUUCAUAAAAGGUACAUAAACAACUAUCUAUUUGUAUUAUUGGAAUUUCUCAUUCUUAGUGAGUUUAAAGUUCAGACUUCGACUCUGUUUGAUAAAAGUAGUGAAUAGCUUAUAGGUUAUAGUCGAUGACUAACGAGUGAUAAUUGAUAAAUUAGUUAAAGUGUUUGAUAAAAUUAAUGGUUCAGCGAGGUGAUAAAUGUAAAUUAACAUAAAAUGAUAUUUUUUAUUCAUAAUAAUUUUUUUAGAGGUCAUAAAUAUUUAAGAUACUUGGUCAUUUAAAUUUAUUAUUUUAAUCGAUAUGUAUUUUUGGUUGAAAUUUUGUUUUUUUAUUUUAUCCAGUUUGUAUACUUUAUGAAUGAAUGAAGUAUACAAUUUUAUUUUAUGGAUAAGGUAAAAAAUAAUCUUUAAUAGGAUUAAAAAUGACAAAACAAAAAUAGUGUUAAAAGAAUAGAAAAAAUAAAUUAAAGAGCAAUGAUAUUUGUAAAACAAUUUGUUAAUAACUUUUGUGAUAACUUUUUUUUCUUUUUCUUUUUAUUGGUCAAAAACAACAGAGAGAAUAAAUAAAAGAGAGAGUAAGAUCAUAAUAUGAGUAUGAAAUAGAAAGUUAUCCAUAAAUUAUCUCAUAAAAUGAUCGUACAAUAUCAUUUCUCAGAAACAAAAUACGUGAUCUAUAUGUACCUAUAAAAAUCAUAUGUCACUUAUUUGUCACUACAUUAGCGUUGUUGGAAUAUUGAUUUGAAACAAGUAGUAUGUUUAUCUUUUUUAAUCAAUUGAAAACUAAUAUAAUUGAUAUCGAUUUGAAGCAAGAAGCGAUCAAGAAGAUAGACGAAGACUACUGCAUGCUAUCAUAGAAGAUUUUGAUCUUUAUGUUAACUAAUUAGUUGUAACUUAGAGAUAUCUAUGUUAAUACAUUAGUGACUAUACAUUUCUGACUAUUAUGCUAUAUAUACAUACAUAUUUUAUGAUAUGUUUAAGUUUUAUUUGAUAAAUAAUAGUCUCAAUUUUAAUGUGCCAAAAAUAUAUAUAUUUCCCUUAGAAAAAUUAUAUAUGAAUAUAUAUUUUACUUUAAAUUAAUAAAAAUCACUAUCUGUAAAAAUAAUAACAAAUCUGACCAAAAAAAAAAUAAUGCUUUUCCUAGCGCUUUUUUCUUGUAUAAAGCGCUAUCUAAACCUAAUGUUACAUAGCGUUUUAAAACAAAAAUGCUGCUUUUUGCUAGUACAUGCGUUAUUUUAAACCCCUUUUAGAUGGCGUUUAUUAUUGAAAGCGCUAUCUAAGGAGGGUCUUUGCUACAAAAAGCGCUAUAUAAACCCUACUUUAGAUAGCGCUUUACACAUAAAAUAAAGCGCUAUAUUACCUUUACCAGCGCCAUUUACAGUAGCGCUUACAAAGCGCUAGCUAAAGCAAAAAAAAAGCGCUAUAUAAGCCCAUUUUUGUAGUAGUGAGCAGUUUCCUCCAUGAGAUAACGUUGAAACUGCUGUCGACAGGGAAGAUAAUUUUAAUCAACAGAUUGAAGAACUGGAAUAUAACAAGUACUUGGAAUAUAAUUGAAAAAACAAGAAGCAGAUGAAUUGGAAUAUAAUUGAUAUUUAUUGGGAAAAUAAUUGGAAAAUGAAGAAAGAAAGAAAAAAAAAAAGAACAAAAACUAGAAGCAUGAGAGUCCAAGGAGGUCUUAUGAACAAAAACUAGAAGCAUGGGAGUCCAAAGACUAUAAUUGAUAUUCAACAUGGAUUGAAUCAAGAUAUGAUAGUUUUAUCAUAUAUCGUCUUCCUAUUUUGUGCAUCAAACGGACCCUAAUAGUUUCUUAUCAAUAAUAUAUAUUUUUUUUUUACCAAAACAAAGUUAACUAUUAUCAUUAAUCAACCAAUGUUCAAUACAAGAAGAUAAGAAUAAAAAAUACAGUGACUAGCCCAAGAACAGACCGCCCUAGCUAAAGUAUGAGCAACCAUGUUCGUUUGUCUCCUAACAAACUUCACCUCGAAGUUGGAAUGUAAAGAUAACUGAUAAAUAAUACUAGAAACAAUAGCAUAGAAUUCUGAAUCACCAUGGCCCAGAGACGAUAGAGCUUGCACUAGAGUAGCUGAGUCAGACUCGAAGACAACCCGUUUCCAUCUGUUCACAUCAGCAAAGUGAAUGACAUCAAGUAAACAUGCUACCUCCCCCUCCAAAACUGUCAUAUUUGUCCGCUGUCAUUUCGUUUGAGCCCGAAUAAACUGGCCACACAUGAGUCUCUAAUACAACAUGCAAAAGAUAUAAUAUGGAUGGAAAGCGGCAUCAACAUUGCACUUCAACCACGUCUCGUGCGGUUUCUCCCAAACUGAGCUAUUACCUUGCACUGUAUUUUGUCCGUGUUGCACAACCGAUGGUGAGGGCUGUUUAUGAACCUCUUGUCAUUGCUGUCAUGCAUCUAGUGUUGUCCUUCCAAUAUGCUUGUUGAAGUAUGAUGAGUGUCAUUCCAAAUGACAUCAUUACGUGCAAUCCAAAUUUGCCAAAGAAGUAAAACCACCCGACCAGCCAUGUCUCGACUUUUUGAACAACAUAUGUCAAAAACAAAAUAUGUCAAACUACUCACAUCGUACAACAGCUGUAUCGCACCAGGGGCAGUUCUCCUCACAUUGUGCAUGUCGUGAUUGUAGUCUGAGAUGCAUCGGAACACACCCCAUGCAAAUCCUCCAUAGCAAAUUACGUGCUUUAUGAGGGGAAUUCACCUUCCAGAUUCUAUGUCACUCUCAUUCAACAUGAAGUCGAUCAGUGGGUAACAACUCCAUGAUAGCCAGUUUAUAACCAAUCUUAACAAUAUACCUCCCAUUACGUUCCAUACCUCCCAUUACAUUCCAUCAUCCGCGCUAUUCUAUCAUUCUGAACUUCCACAAUAGUGGUGUGUGUUUUUUGAUACAAGAUCUUGGCUUGUGGUUUUGUAUCAACUAAAACUUCCAAUGUCUUAGAUGUUCUUUAGAUGAAGAGAAAGAGACAAUAUAUUUAUAUAUGGUAUAUUGUGCAUCAUAGCUAAUUAUUCAAUAAAAAUUUAGUAAACCUUAUUACGUAAUUGAUAAAAAUACAAUUAAUAUAUUUUGAAAUAUAAUAUUAAAUAAAAUAUCCGAAGAGGACAAACGCAAUUUGAUUAUUUAAUCAUUUUCCAUACACAAAAAAGAAAAACAAAACCUAAGGGCUUUGUCUCAUUACACACAUGCAUAUGGUACAUAGUUAUAAUGAAACUUGCUCAUUCAUCUAACAUUGUAUACAAUAUUCAUUGUAAUCAUCGCAACUACACUGUUUAGGUUGUUUACAAGUACACUUUUUGCAGGUUGAUUCGCAGGUUUCUGCAAUAUCUACACAUUGGCAUGAAAAAGGAAUCCCUGGACUAAUGUACCAUAAAACAUCAUUACAGCACCUGGUGGUUGUCGAGUUGGCAUGGUUGUUCAUCAAGCUUAAGAGGAAAAGCAACAUAAUCAUUGCAUUCUUGUUCAUCAGGCUCAUUAUAUCUUUCUGCUUAAUAUCUCUAAUUUCUUUGCUUUGUGAAAAGCCAAUCAUGUAUGGCUCUAUUUAUAAUGGAGUGUGAUAAGGGUUUUGUUUUUCAAUUCUUGUGAAGAGCCAAUUAAUCAUGUAUAACUCUAUUUAUAAUGGAGUGUAAUAAGGGUUAAGGGUCUUUGAAUCGAAUAAAAUAGAAUGAUAAUGCUAUUUUUAUACAAGUUUCGUCUUCAUAUUUUUAUUGUUUAUUUAUUUCCAUUUCAUAUGUUUAUUGAGUAAACAAAUUUUAAUGGAGACUUUAUGAAUUAUUUAUUUUAAGAAUUGUGAAACCAAAUAUUCAUUAAAAAAACAAUGAUAAAUUUUAGUGAGAGUUGUAACUAUAGGUAGAAUUCAUUGUUUACAGGGGGUCUUUUAGGAAUUACCUUCAGUUUCGUCCCUAGGUAAAGGUCUAAAAUAGUAAGGAAGCUUGAGAUUUACCUACGGAUUUGGGCCUUAUAGUGACAGUUUUUAUCUGUCGCUAGAAGUCAAAUUUCAGGUACAACGUGACCCAUUAUCCAGUUCGAUAAUUAUAAGGCAACUAAAAGGAAAAUCUUAAGUGUGUGUGUGUCAAUUUCAAAUGUAAUUUUUGCAAAAAUUAGCUUAGCAUUGAAGGUAAGUGCCACCAUCCUGAUAUGUCCCUGAAAUAACUAUUCAUUUUAUUUUAUCUAUCAAAAGAGUUCUUACACUACAAGAAACUCUCGAUUUUCCUAUUGACAAAAGAGACAUGGUUGUAUAAGCAAAAUUGUCUUAGAUUUUCAGAUUUUCUUGUUACUUUAUUGUUGCUAUAUAUUUAUUUCCUAACUUUGAAAUUUACAUUAUCAUCUGAUUUCCAUGUUUUAAAUUUCCUUGUAACUAUAUUUUCUAAUUUGUCUUUUUUAGUUAUUGUCUUGCUUCUUAGUUUAAUUAUUUUUAGAUGCAUCUCUACUAACUGAUAUAUGAGUUUUAAUUUACUGCAGAAAAUCAAUCUCAUAUGCUAGACCCAAUUUCAGUUGGUUAAACAAAAGCGCGGACGAAAUUGAUAAGAUACAUUUUUUGAACAUUUUUUAAUAGAUUAAAAUUUAUAUAAAUAGUCGGUGGAUUUGAUGAAAGUUGUUUGUAAUAAGUUUCAAUCAAAGUUGAAACUUUGAGAUAAAGGGUUCAAAUCCUAAUUAGAAUAAUAUUAACCUUACUUUGUUUACCUUACAACUGCAAUUCGGGAUAUCAUACCUCUUUUUCAUGAGAAAUGAAAUGUUAAAGAAGUAAUUUAUAUGAAGUCCAUCUAAUUUAUGUGAGACUUAUACAGUAUACACAAAAGAUGUGGAUGGACUAAUGAGCAAUUUUGAUCAUGUUAACUACAUGAAGAUCUAAAUCAUGAUUUCAAAUAAUAAUAAUAUAUCUAACGAUAAAGAUGAAUUCAUAUUGAUCAUCUAUCCUAACUCAACUGUUAAAAAAUGUCGAUUUUUUUUUAAUAAGUCAAACUAACGCAACAAAAUUGGUACAGGGAAAUAUGUCAAAAUUGUUAGAUCGAAUUUCUUGACCGAGAUUCCAUUUAUGACUCUUCCAUGCAAUGCUUUAGGUUCCAAUUCCGACUUUUCAAUUUAUGUGUCUGAGUUUAUAAUUUCUUUUAUAAUUUUAUUUAUUAAAAAAAUGUGUAAAAAAAAUAAAUUCUCAAAAAAUAGGAAUGCAUAAAAAAAAUCUAUGCAAAAGGAAACGGGUAUAAUUUUAGCCUUUUAUUUAUUAAAAAAAUGUGUAAAAAAAAAAGAAAUUCUAAAAAAAAUAGGAAUGAGUAAAAAAAUGGGUAAAUAAGAUUUUUUUUUUUUUUAUAAAGAUGUUGCGUAGCUGUAGGGUGGUGUAGGAUGGUUUCUUCCUAAUUGGGAAGAUAAAAAACCAAUAAAAUGAAAAUAUUGUUGUCACGGCUAAUUAAAACAUGCCACGUCACUCAUCGUAGGGAGGAUGAAGCUUAUGCGACAAAAUUUCCUUUCUUACAGAUUUUCUGUCCCAUUUAUGAUUCUUCCGUGAAAUUAUUUAGGUUUCAAUUCCGACUUUUCAACUUAUGUGCCUGAGUUUAUAAUUUUAUUUAUUAAAAAAAUGAAUAAAAAUAAGAAUUCGUCUAAAAAAGAAAAUCUAUAAAAAAAGGAAACGGGUAUAAUUUUAUUUAUAAAAAAAUGAAAUUCUCAAAAACUAGAAAUGUGUAAAAAAAAAAAGAAAAAAAAAACGUGUAAAUGAGAUUUUUUUUUUUUUUUUUUUUACAGAUGUUGCGUAGCUGUAGGGUGGUGUGGGAUGGUUUCUUCCUAAUUCGGAAGAUAAAAAACCAAUAAAAUGGAAAUUGUUAUGAAUAUUCUAAGUGAAUGUCCAUAACCUUUGUGCUUAUCUCUUAAAUCACACAUUUCUGUACUUAUCCUUUAGGUACUUAACUAUUAAGUUAUCUCCUUAUACAUCUCUAUAAAUAGAGACCAUAUGUAACAUAUUGAAUACCACAAGAGAAUAAUAGAAUCAUUCUCUAUUCUCUUUCUUUCUCCUUCUCUACUUCUCUCUACUUUAUUUUUGUUCCUAUUUCUUUAGUUUCAUAACAGAAAUAUUGUUGUCACAGCUAAUUAAAACAUGUCGUGUCACUCACUGGUGGGAGGAUAAAGCUUAUGCGACAAAAUUUCCUUUCUUGCAAAUUUUCAAUUAUAAAAGGAGAGUCACACUCUCUCAUUUUUCAUCAUUUUCACUACUCUAAGCCUUCUCCCCUAAAAUCCCAAUAUCUCAUUCCUUUCAGCUACAAUGAAUGUGCUUCCAUCUGGUGUUGAUAUUUACCCACCGAGGAGAUUCUCCUUGGCUACCACCUUGCCUCUCGUAUGAGAGUACUGAAAAUCAUUGUUGGUCAAUACUACACACUCCGGUCACUAUUAUAAGCAAAAAUCAAUAUUUUUUAUUCAUUAAAUUAAUGAUGUAUAUGAUCUUUAUUAUCGAUCACAUCCCUCCAAAACUCGCAAACAAAGCCUUAAGUUCCUGAUUGACUUCAUUCAUCUUGUCAUCAGAGUCAUCACCAACAGCGUCACCUUCAUCAACAUCAGAUAAGGCUCCAAACUCAACAUCUAGAUUCAUCCCUCAAGGGCAAUCAAAAAUACGACAAACAACAAAAGGUGCCUACACAAAUUUACGAAAUGAUUUUCCAACAAAAAUACUUGCAUGCAUCAAAAAUCUCGGGUUCAUAAAGGUAAAUGCGUAAAAAAGGGGCAAAUUUUAGCAGAUGGUGCUGCUACUGUUGGCGGUGAACUCGCUUUGGGAAAAAACGUAUUAGUAGCUUAUAUGCCAUGGGAAGGUUACAAUUCUGAAGAUGUUGUACUCAUUAGUGAACGUCUGGUCUAUGAAGAUAUUUAUACUUCUUUUCACAUACGUAAAUAUGAAAUUCAAACUCAUAUUAUUGUGUAGGCUUCUUUUGUUCUUUGGAACCUACACAAUAUCUAAUUCAUGGAACAACCAUCUCCGCGAUACCAAGUAAACAAACUUCCAUAAAUCGGCAAGUCCACCAGAAAUCUGUCGGCAAUGAAUGUGUUAAAAAUAUCUAUUUCAUAUUGACGAAACACUGAACCACGGCUCUUCUCUCAUCCACCAGAAAUCUGUCGGCAAUGAAUGUGUUAAAAAUAUCUAUUUCAAACUUCCAUCUAUUUCAAAAAUAUCUUUUGAAGUUUACUCUUAAACCUGAAACUUAUUGAAGCUUUCCAGAGGUUUGUUUUCUAUGUUUUUGAAUUUAAGAAAUCUAUUUCUUUUCAUGAUUUCAAGUCAAGCAAUUUCUUUCAUUUAUUUUUACUCACAAUUUAAUUUUCAAGCAUUUUAUUUUCUGCAUUCAAAGUUAUUUUAUUUAAAGCAUUUAAACUCGCACAAAUUUUAUAAGUCUUUUAAUCCAGUUGUCUUUAUAUUCAAGCUGUUUAAUUAAAGUUAAUUGACUCUUUAAUCCUUCUCAACCACUCGAAUUUACUAUACUCUUUUUUCAAAAAAGACUUAAAAGGAGUAAUUUCAAAGACAGAUUAAAAAUAAAAUUAGAAGGUAGUAAAAGAAAGACUUUAACCCUACAGUUUGUAAAAAAACAAACAGCAAGAUCAAGUGGUAGUUUUAUUUUAUUGAUAAUUUAUUCAUUUCCAUACACAAAACACAAAGCCUAAGGGACUUUGUCUCUCAUCACAUGCAUAUGGUAGUAGGUACAUAGUUAUACUCAAACUUAGUGAGAUCCACCAUUGGAGGAGUAGCUACAUGGUUCAUAGCAGAAAUCAGUGGUAUCAGUGCAACGGCACUGUGGAGGAAAAGAUCUUGUGCAAAGGCAUCUUUUGCAAGCUGAGUGACAUUUUUCUCCAAUAUCAGCACAGUGACACUGAGGAGGAAUUGAUUUUGUGCAAGGGCAGCUAUUACAGCAUGCUGUUGUUGUGGAUUUUACUUCGUAAGUAGCUUCACCAUUGGAGAGCAGUUGAGUGAUGAAGGAUGAUCCGUCGAAACGAGCAUCAACAACAGUUGAAGUGAAGCCCAAAAGGAAAACCAACAAAGCUAACUUCAUCACCAUUGCCUUCUUGUUCAUCAUCAAAUCCAUUAUCACUAUCUCUUUCUCACUUAGUAUUAUCAAUGUAUCUUUUCUUUGUGAUGUAGGAAACAUGCAACUACAUUGGGUCAAUUUAUAGAGUGCAACCAGGGGUAUAUAUGUCAUUUUCUUCCUUUCUUUCUUCUAUUAUUUUUCUUGAAAAGAUGCAUUCAUCACAUGCCUUACAUUAUUAUGAUUAUAAUAGUGUUUAUAAUAU